GGUGGGUCCAAUGGUGUGGAACGAUACUCUUGCAGCCUAUGCACAGAGCUUUGCUAACAAACGUAUCGGAGAUUGUGCUCUAACGCAUUCCUCGGGACCUUAUGGUGAGAAUAUUAUUCUCGGGAGAUAUCCGGACUCCAACCUGAGCGGACCCGUCGCGGUUGGAUAUUGGAUGGAGGAGAAACCAAAUUACAAUUAUAAACUCAAUAAGUGUGAUUUUGCGUGCCAUGACUAUACUCAGAUCGUUUGGCGCAAUUCGGUCCGGCUCGGUUGCGGUUCGGUGAGAUGUCAGAAUGAUGCGAACGUAUGGAUCAUAUGUAGCUACGAUCCUCCGGGAAAUAUCCCUGGUGAACGUCCCUAUUGAUGUUUACUAUAAUGAAUCUAAAGCAUAUAUUGAGCUAUGUGCUUUUAUGAUAUUAAUUAAACAAAGAAUAAACUAAUCAAUGAAAAUUUUAUAGUUAUUAUGAUUAAUAAUGCCUGGUUACAUGAUAACAUUUGACCUAGUAUAAACAAUUACAUUGCAAAUCAAUAAAAUAAAAUAAAAGCAAUCAUAUACGUAAUAAAUUUACGUACUCCCUAUUGACCAAUUGUAUAGUUAAGCUAAGCCAGUAUGACAACUAUAAUCACAACUCACAAGAACAUUUGAAAAAUAUCGAAACGACACCGUUUCCACAUUUUGUGAUCUUUUCGGAUUUUUUAAUAACCGGAAUCCGGUUUGAGAUUUAUUUGGAUUUUGUUAAUUUUGAUUUGUCUCUGCAAUUUCUCAAGAGCCAGAGGCUAGAAUGCCACUAAACCAGAAAAAUGAAUCACACCUGCCAUUUUAGAGUAUGUAUGCCAUCAUAGUAUGUGUUAUUUCUAUUUUGCCCUUACUGAAUAUUUUUGAUUUAAUUAAUUUUGAGAAACUAAAACUAAAAGAAAAACAAAAAAAUAAAAACAAUUUUCUCGCAUCCUCACGAGACCUCCGAUUUUCUCCUCCCACACCGGAGCGGUUCGCCCACCGAUCUCGCCGGCCGUCGUCUUCGGCGUCUCAUCCUUGCAAUCUGUUUGUUCUUCUCUCUCCUCCGCCAUUGAUGAAACUGAGAAAUUCUUUCUUAGUUCCUCAAUCUUCCGUCAUGGAUAUCAACAACAACCACCACCGCUCCGACGACGAUGACGAUUCAUUCUGUUGUUAUAAGAAGUUGGUUUGGUUCGUUGAUAUAUGCUCAGAAAUCUCUGCUUUAUUUAUACGUCAAUUGUGGAGAUGUAGCUAAUGUAUACAAGGUGUUUGAUAAAAUGCUUGAGAAAGAUUUUGUGGCUUGAAAUUUUGUGAUUAAUGGGUUUGGAGAAAACGGUAAACCAAACAAAGCUUUGACGCUUUAUACUUAAAUGGAUUCUAAGGGUAUCAAGCCUAAUUGGUUCACAGUUGUUAGCUUGUUGUCUGCUUGUGCAAAGCUUGGUGCUUUGAUAUUGGGUAAGAAGCGAUUGAGCUUUUCACUAAUAUGGAAUCAAAGGAGGAUGUAUUACUGUGUGAGAUCACGUUUGUGGGGAUCUUAUCUGUAUGUAGCCAUUGCGGGAUGGUGAAGGAAGGGUUUUAGUAUUUCAGGAGAAUGAAAGAAGAGUAUAAGAUUGAUCGUAGAAUUGACAUUUUGGUUGUAUUUUCGAUUUGCUAGUUAGAAUUAGACAAGUGAAAAAAUUUUCUACUUUUCUUCUUUCUUAGUUUACCCAGUUGGACCGAAUAAUUAGAUCUCUGUUGUACCUAAUAAUUGCAGUUGUACCAAAAUACCAUCAAAGUACAUAAACAAAAAAUCUACUUUACCAUACAUAAACAAAAGGUCAAAUUUUAUUACAUGUAAUUAUAUUUAAAUUUAUCAGUUGUACCAAAAACAACAAACUAUCCGACAAUUAUAUAAUGCAGUUGCACUGAGUAGUUCUAGUUAUACAAAAAAUUGUCUCAGUUGUACCUAAGUGAUCUAGUUGUACAAAAUACCUCACUUUCACCAUAUGAUUUUAUUAUUUACAAUCAAACAAAUCUCAGUCUUUUAGUAUCUGCUGCAACUCUUUAAUCUUCUGCUGAUUAUAGCAGAAGUUGUUGCUUCCACGUGCAGUGUACAAUCAUGAUUGUCACAAAGAAAGACUUGACUUGUGCGCUUUCUUUCUAGUUCUUGAUGAAGCUCUUCCUUGCACUUAUUCUCUAUCUUUGACAAAGCAACACUGCAAAGCCAAAACCAGCCAAUUUAAGCAGAUGAAUGAAUGAAACAAGAAGCCUAGACAAAGGUCCUAGACUAAAGGAAAAAGUGAAACCAUUCUUACUGAGUGCCUAAGAGAUUUUCACACGGAUCAAAUCCCAUCCAGAAACUAAUGUAAUCUACUUCCUCAUGUCGGAAAUCUAAACUUCAUAACCAACAGAUUCACGCUAAAAAGUUUUAUACUUACUAAACAAAUCAGAACCUAUGAAUCAUUUCCCUAGAUUAUUUUUCUUUGAUAUCCUUAAUCAAGUUUAAAGCAUUUACAACACCUAAACAAAAGAAACAAACAAAGCUUAUAGCAAACAAACGAAACAAACAAGUGUAAAAGAUGCUAACCAAUUAUACUAGAAUGCAAAAUGGACUCUAAGAGGAUGUGAUUAUCUCUUACUUUCUAAGGAUGCCGUAAAUUCAACAACUUUAACUAAACUUGAACCAAGUAAACCCAAAUUCAAAAGUUAGUGCUAAUAAUUCAUUUUUCACUGUUUUCCCCAAAUUCUUCGAACGUUUCUUGUUCUAGAAAUUAAAAUUACCUUCUAUGUACCUCAAAUCCUAUAACUAGCACUGAACCAAACUAGACCUAAAGCAAGUUUAACACUUCCACUAAAUAGCUAGAAGAAAUUCGAAUCUGAAUUAGAUAUGACAAAGAUUGAAGGAAUUGUUUUUGGAAACGGUGAUCUUACGUCCUCAAGUAAAUCUUCGUCGAGUUUAUCAGCGAUUUUGAUUGAAGUGAAGACAGUGGUGGCGACAAGAGUAGCAGGAAUUUGCGAACGUGAGCAAGUAGCUGCUCGUACUAAGCCUUACUCGGGUCACCACAGAACAGUCUCUGAUUCUCCGUCUAAGACAUAAUCCCCCGGCUACACCAUCGGGGAAAUUUUUCACCAGCGGAGAGAAUAGUGGCUGGGAAGAAGACGCAGAGAAGCUUAUUUGUGUGGGUUGCAUAGGGAAAGAGACGAAAAGUCUCGCCAUUUUUUUUUUUGUUGAUUUUGGAAACAAACGAUUGGCAAAGGCAAGUAACAUGAUCUGGAAGAAGAGGAGGAGCGGAGGAGACGAGAAGCAGCGGUGGUCGUGCGCAGAGAAGUAUACAUGGUUGUGGUGAUUUUGAGGGUAUACAUGGUUGUGGUGAUUUUACAACCAAUCAAAAUCACCACAACCAUGUAUACCUCAAAACAACCGUGUAUUUGGUUGUGGUGAUUUUGAGGGUAUACAUGGUUGUAGAGAUAGUAAAUUUGAGGUAGGAUUUGUAAUUAUUGAUCUUUUGAAAGGGUUUUUGGACAUUUCCUUCGCUUUUGAUUUAGAAAAAAUGUUAAAUGAAAUUAGAAAUUAGGAGGUGGCAUUCCAGCAUUUUUUUUCUCAGAUAGUGGCUUUCUAGCCAUUGAUUCAUUUCUCAAUCCACCAUAGCUGAGCUCCGAGAUCACUUGUCGCCAAUCGCCGUCGUUACUCAGAACAGAGCCAUUGUUCUCCACCUUAAGCUGGUUCGUCUCUUAUCUCAAAUUCGAUGAUUCGUGAUUACUCUUGUUUAUUUUCUCCCUCUGUCUAGAUUUUAGUUUCAUUGUCUAUUAGGUCUAGCUAAUGAUUCUACUUCGUCAAUUUGAAUACUCAACUCGUUUGGUGCUCUUCGAUUCUAUAUUCAAUUGCAUUUUAACACUCGGUAUUCAGUUUUUGAUUGAAUUUAUUAUCGAGAUUCAGAUUCUAGGCCUUAUGAUUGACUGUACACAAGGUCUUGUGUAUUGAUCUUGAGCCUUUUUAAGAGUUUAGAAUCAGUUUGAUUGAUGUAAGGCUUGUUUAGGGAAGAUUUCUUGUUGAUAUAGUGUAUGAUAUAUCUCUUUGUUUUGCAGAUGGUUCAAAGCCACCCUACUGGCUUAUCCAAAAAUAAUCUCUUGAAGCUCUUUGAGCCACGGCCGCCAUUGGAGUACAAACCACCAUCGGAGAAGAGAAAAUGCCCACAUUGUAUAUCUGAUUGUUUUUUAACUUUAUUCUCACGAGCUUUAAAUUUGUUUCGUGUAUUCAUUUUAGGUAUGGCUCAGCUUGUGAGUAACUUUGCUGAGCCUGGGGAUGCACCUUAGACUUUUUCGAACAUGCCAGCUUUAACCAAAGUCAGUGUCUUACAGUCACGUGUGGUUUUGUUUCAAGUUCCAGGCACACAAAAAAGGAGAGAAUUCAUAAAUUACGACUAGAGAAAGGAGUUUAAAAAGCUGCUGGGAACUUAAGAAAUUGUAAUCAACUAUAUGUUAUGUAUGUUCCCCUUCAUGCCCUCUUAUGGUAAGAGGAUUUCAGAGUAAUUGAAUUUUUAUAUGCAAAUUAAAUGACCCAAAUAAUUAUCCAAAUGCUUCUUGAGAUCCAUACAAGACAUUGUUCAUGUCUUAGAUCUAAAUACCCGAAUUAUCUUUUGGUGAGUUAGUCUAUGGCUUCCUCCUACAUUUUUGAUUUUAGAAAUUUCUGAGGCUUUUUUUUCUGGAAUUGUCAAGUCAAUUGCUAUGAUUCUGGAUUUCAUUCUAUUUGAUUAACCAUUUGUUCGUUAAUGAGCCAGUGAUGUGAUUUCAUGUAUAGACGUUUUGCAUUGUUCUCAUAUUAUAAUUCGAUGACAUGAUUUGUAACGCUCCGACCAUCCCUACCAGUGAGCACCCACGUCCAAUCUCAGGCCUGUGGGCCUCAUCCUUGUCCGACGGUCGAUUCGCUACGUUCGGGAGGGUUGAAAGACUUGUUUACCGACCCUACAAAUCACCACGUGAUCUUUCCCCGUGUUUUGUCCUCACUCACACGGUUCCGACAAUCAUUUUCCGAAAGGUCAUCUAUCCUGAAACUACUCCAGCAUAAGCACGCUUAACUAUGAAGUUCUCUCAGGACAGUUGACCGGAAAGAUAAGUGCACUUUGGUGACAUAGGUAGCCAAAUCAAUUCUUAUAAACCUCUCCGCAUGCACCACCAUAUUCCUGAAUUCGGAGUGUUACAAUUCACCCCCACUAACUGAUCGCAACGUCCUCGUUGCGCACCAAGACCGUCACCCCCAAUGGUGUGAGCUCUCUUGACUCCACAUUCAUCUGGGUUCGGCUCUGAUACCACUUGUAACGCCCCAACCGUCCCUGCCAGUGAGCACCCACGUCCAAUCUCAGGUCCGUGGGCCCCACUCUUGUCCGACGGUAAAUUCGCUACGUCCGAGAGGCUUUAAAGACUUGUUUACCGACCCUACAAAUCACCACGUGAUCUUUCCCCGUGUUUUGUCCCCACUCACACGGUUCCGACAAUCAUUUCCCGGAAGGUCACCCAUCCUGAAACUACUCCAACAUAAGCACGCUUAACUGUGGAAUUCUCUCAGGACAGUUGACCGAAAACAUAAGUGCACUUUGGUGACAUAGGUGGCCAAAUCAAUUCUUAUAAACCUCUCCGCAUGCACCACCAUAUUCCUGAAUUCGGGGUGCGUGUUACAUGAUUGUUCCAGGAAUGCUAUGUCAAAAAAGCUUUAUGGGUACUUCAUGUUAUUGUAGAUGAUCAGAAUGUUGCCUUUGCGUAGAAUGUUGCUCAACGUUGUGUCAAUGGAGAGAGCUGGACCGGGGAGUUUCCUGUCAAGACCAAAUGUUGUGGGGAUCAUUUCUAUCACAAGUGACAUAGCACCAUAUAUGAACCCGAGAAUCUCUUUGGCUAAAUUAAAGGCGCAAGAAGGUGAAACGAGCUCUAUCUCUGCAAGGAAAAGUUUUGCCUAUAAACUUGGUGCUUAUGAGCUUAUGAGCUUUUCGAAAAGGAAGGAAACCGACCCAUCAUGAUCGAUGAACUCGCUUCGGUCUGUCUCUUUUUAUCUAACCCUAUCUUUAUACAAAAGUCUGUUUCAAGUCUUUGAAAAUGCCCAAAUCAACUCGUUGGUUAAAAUAUAUUUCAGGAACUUGGUCUUGGUCCUUCUGUACCGGUUCACGCAGUGCUUCACGAUUGGCUUAGGCAUACCGAUGGAAAGCUUAGCUUUCUCGGAUUUGUGAAAUUGCUACAUGGUGUGUCUAGCCGCACGAUCAAAGCUCAUUAGAAGGGUUUUGAAACAUGGAAUGAUAUGUAUGAGAUUUGUGUGAGAUCUCUUUCUCCUAGGAGCGCUUUCUUAGGAGUUAUAAUAUGUGGCUUUUGAAAUUUGUUAUGAAAGCUGAGAAGAAAAGAUUAAAAAAGAGUGUAGCAAAAAAGAAAAAGAGAAGUGUGUGUUAGUUUGUAGAGAGAAUGAGAUAUUUUUCCAAAUUUGGUAACUUAUGACGAUUGAUGAUGUCUCUGACAUUUCCUUCUAGAUUUUGGUUUUUUCACUUUUUGACACAAAUCUUAUUUUCCAAUAUUUUAUCUCUUACAAUAAAAGAGCAAAUGGGUCUAACUUCUUCAAGUUUUUUUCCCAUUUAAUCUUCGAUUCAAAUUCAUAAAGAAUAACAAACAUGAAGAAAUGAAUUUCCGACGAUGAUUUUGGUAAUUCAUUAUCACUUUAAUCGAGGGAUGGAAACCCCAAAAAAGGAGUAAAAAUCAAAAUAAUAAAUAGAUGGCUUUACCUGUCGAAUCUCGAUCGUGAAGUGAAACUCCCGUUGCAUCUUCUCUUCCACUUCCUGUGACACGAAUGAGUAAUGAAUCUGAUCGUUCGCAUUUGAUAAAUAUAUUGGAGAGGUUAGAGGAACACCUUAUUGAGGAAAAUCAAAGAAGUCUAAGGGAUUGUCACUGUAGUUGAAAGCGUUUUAUAAUUGUCCAAUUAUAUCAUUCAUUAAGUAACUAAAUUUAUGGUUUAGAAUUUCUGAUUAUUGUUUAACGCAAAUAAGAAGCAUAUGUGUGUUGAUGUGGCAAUCUAAGAGAGAAGUUUGAGAAGCUGAUGUGGACACUUUGAGAGGGCUCAAAUUGUCCUUUUUAUUAGUAUAGACUAGGGGCGAACCCGGGCUACGCCCGGGUAUAUCUAAAAUUUGAUAUUAUUAUAAAGUUUAUAACCAAACAUUUUUCUUAAUUUUUUUAUAAUACAUUGUGUAAACUCAUGUGAUGUUGUAUUCAACAUUUUAAUAAAGAAAACAUAUAUGAUUUCAUUAAAAUUAUUUAUAACCUUUUUGUUAUUGUUAUUGUUAUUUAUAUUAAAACUUAAUGUCUGAUUUCUCGAGAUUAUCUGUUACUUCAAAACAGAUGAACUGUUAACUUGUGGACUAUUGUUUGAAAACAUUUUCUUGACUACACAAUUCUUUGAUUAGGGAUUUAAAAUCAGCAAUAUACCUAAUAAUUUUUAACAAUAGCCUUGUGUAACAUAAGCGCUAGAAACUGAGAGAACUACUAUGUAUAUAAUUGGGAGAAAAUAGCAUGCUUAUGGUACGUAGUAUGAAUUGGAACUUUAGAAUCACUAGUAACAAAGCAUGUGGUGCCAAUUAUCUAACCAACAAUGUUGAGAAUUCUAAUAUGUUGAGGACCCCACGUUUGUUAAGCUAAGGCUAAGCGUUCAUGUUGCUCUUCCGUAAUUUUAGCAUAACAGAUUAACAGUUGACUUCUCUUUUGCUUAAGAAUGAAUUCACUUUGUUUAAGUCCAACCAAACAGGACUUGCUAAAGCAAAUCCUACACUAAAAAUGAGACAUCUAUUUUCAAUUUCUAAGAUAUUUUUGUUUCAGUCCUGGAUUUUUAUGUGAAGACUAAACGUAAACCAUAUAUAUAUAGCAAAAUUUGCAAGUUCAGUAACCAACCAAACAUAAUAUAUAACUCAAUUCGUAACAAUUUACAAAAAAAAAAUUUCCUAAAAAAUACGUUAAUGACCUGACCACAUAGCACAUAUGACAUAUGAUAGUAAAACCCCUCAGAAUACAACACAGUGUUGAGUUUUUUGCAUAAGGAGAUAAACAUUUUCUGAAAUUAAUCAUCUGUUAUUUUCUCUAUCGUUGAAACCCCUUAUGAUUUUUGAUAUUUUAAAAAAACAUCCUUAUGGUUAAUUUUCCUCUACAAUACCUUUGAUGCGGACCUUAUUUGCAGAUCUUUUUUGCAGCCACAAAAAUAUCUCCAAGAAGGAUCACCAAGAGUCAUACAAAUGAAAGAAACAAUUCGUAAGUGACCGAGAAAGAGGGAACCGCUUAUCUACACUAUAAUUUAUGAUUGCAGAACUAAAAACAAAACGGAAAAACGGGAGUGUAAGCUGACAGAGCUCUUGCUUCUUUUUUAUUAAAAUGACCGAACCGACCCGAACCGACCCGAACCGACCCGAACCCGAACCGAACCCGAACCGAAUUUUUAGAAUACCCGAAUGGGUCUCGACCCCCUACUCGAAUAAACCCGAUACCCGAAAAAAAAGAACCGAACCCGAACGGGUAUCCGAAUGCCGAGGCCUACCUAAAACCCUCAUUAAAUUACCACACUAGUACAAAGUUUUUGGUGUAGGUUUGGUUCAGUUCUACAAAACCGAUCGGUUUUUCGAGUUCUUAAGAUUGAAUUUGAGAUGGUAUUAGUUUGUUUGGUUGGUUUAGCUAUUUAACAAGAAAAGUAUAAUGUACGUAAAACCCUAGAACAGUAGAACCAAAACGUGGUAUGGCUUUUUGGCCUAACUUCAAAGAAAAAUGUUUAAGAGUUUUUUCACUCUAUAUAAACAAUGAUUGUGCCUCACAUGGACAAUGAUAGCUUAAAUUUGUAGCUAUAUGGUGGUCAAUGCUCAUUUCAUUGAUAUAUACAAGUUUGUGUCUGCACAUAAAAUCAUCAAUUUUAAGUCUAUCUCUAGCUAUAAAGGAUAGACAAUUGGAAAGCACCCAAUGAGUUGUUAGGGAUAUUGAGAAAAUGGUUCAUAUCUGCUAUUGAUAAUUAUUGUGUAGUUCUUAAAAAUUUAUGCAUGUCAGAUGUGCUACACUGCUACUCAUAUAGAUGAGAGUUCAUUUGUUACUAGGAAUGUUGUAGUAUGAGAGAUCUUUUGACCAAUAAUUUCAGUCUUAAAGAAAAAUACUCGAUUAUUUUUUUAGGUAUUUUCUAAUGAAAUAUAAAAUAUGCAAUGUUUUCUAUAAAAAAGCGCGAAUGAAAUCAAGCCGAAUAAAAAUAUUUGCUAAAGUUAAAUAUAUUGUCAAAAAUUUACAAUAAUUAUAUUUUUAAAAGAGUUAUUUAUGCUUAUACACCAUCAGAUCGAUAAAAUGCACUUGAAUGAUUUAUUUUAUUUUCUUUAUCAUUCCUUCAUUUGUGACAAUUGGGUUAGAAACAAAUUCUUAAAUAUGCAAAGAUGAAAAGCGUUAAUAUGAAAUGAAACAAUCCAAACUAAACCCUAUAUUAAACAAACACUUAGAUGAUAUAGUACCAAAAAGGUUGACCUUGAAAAGUAAAAAAUAUAAUAAAUUAUGAACAAAUUCAUUUUUUUUUGGUGAACAAUUAUGAACAAAUUCAUUACCCACUCAUACAUUUUUUUGACAAAAAAAUAAAUAAAAAAGUUAUUUUUUGCCUACAUGAAAUCUAAUUAUUAAUAUCAAUAUGCACAAACAACAUUAACUGCAUCAGCAAACACAACGGUAACUUCUUUCUCAAACUCCGAAGACCUGUCCCAGUCCGGUUUUUAUAAAUCGUUGGUCAAAACUCAAAAUCAAAUGUGAACCGAUCACUUAUCACAAAUAAUCACGUCAAUGACCGUAACUUAUUAAAUACGUGUACAUUUGGAAUUUUUUGCCAAUUCUUUUGAUAUUUAUCUCUCUCUAUAUAUAUACUAGAUUUACUCGCCCGCGCAUCAAAUUUUAACUGGCUACAAUAUAAAAUGUUAAAAAUAAUCAUAAUCAUUUGAAUUUCAAAAACUAUAUAUAUAUAUAUAUAUAUAUAUUCAUACUUAUUUUACAAAACAAUAUACAACAUAGAAAUUAUAAAAUACAUUUGGUAGGUACCACGUAAUAACAAAAGUUAUAUAAGAUCAAUCGGUCUCGGUAGUCAUCAAUGAACUUUUAUCAAAAAGAGAGUUAUUUCCAUAAACAAAUCUUGUAAGUAUAUUUGUCGUGAUGUUUUGACCUAUUCGUACCUCAUACUAAAAGUAAAUUUGCUGAGUUUGAACAUCAAUUUAUGAAAAUGUAUAAACAUAAUAUUCAUGUCGUUUCAAUAGGUUUGGAGAGCACAUUUUACCUAUUGAAGCAAGACCAUCAUACCUUAAAGAAAGUUUUGACCAAAUCAUGAAUGUUUUUAUCUUAUCUAUUCUACUACGCUUACAUGGCUCGACGAUUUAACUCGAGGUUGAAUAUGUUAGUCUGGUUUAUAGUCUGGUUUACUAAACCAAACUAUCCGAUAAUGCAUACAUAUAUCUGAUGCUUCAAGCAUUACUAAAUUUCUCUUCAAACAUUUUUUCGUCAUCUUCUAUAAUGCACUUGUUCGCUACCCAACAUCUACUAUUCUUUUAUCUUCUAUGCUCACUUACAUAUAAUAAAACUUUAAAUUGAUUCUUAAUUCAAAACUAUUUCCUCAUUUUCAUCUUCUUAGUUUAUUUUUCUUUUAUUAAUUAUAUGGUUUCCACGCUUUAACGUAAUAUAAUUUUACGAAAGAUAUAUAUUUGUUAAAAUUUCUUCAACAGUAUUUAUUUAGAUUCUUAAUUACCUAUAUUUAAGCAACUUCACCUUUUUAUUUAGAAAGCAAACAAUAAUAUAGAUAUAAUUAUAUUAUUUUAAUUCUUAUAUUUUAAUAUAAUUUAAUAUUAAGAUACAAUUAAUCUUUCUAUUUUUUCGUCAAUAUGAAUUUAUACUAUUACUCUCUUGAAAUAUAAUUUUCAAUUUCAAAUAUGAAUUAUUUCUUAUAUCUUAAAAAACUUAUACAAUCAUACAUUUACUAUAACAUUUAACCAUUUAUUUUUUAAAUAUAAAAAUAAUAUCAUUUUAAAUAAAUUUCUUCCACUUCAUUAUUAUCUCUUAAAGUUAAUGUUUCAAUGAAAUAUGAAUAUCUUCUUAUUAUUAAAAACAAAAAAACUCUUAUAGUCUUCCAUUUCAAUUGAAUUCUUUUGUUCAUCCUAAAUUAUAUUUGACGUUUUCUUAUUAAACGUUUUUUUAUUUUUAAUAAGUUAUUAUUUGUUUUAAUAAAUUUCAUUAAGAAUCCUUUUGUCCAUCUUAAAUAGCAUUAGUAUUUCUAUGAAAUUUUCAUAAUUAUUUUUUUAUUUCUUAAUUAAAUAUUUAGGGAUUAUGUUCAUUUUAAGUUAUAUAUUGACAAAAAAAUUAAUUUUAAGUUUUUUAUAUGUAUAUAUGUUACACUUGUGUUAUUAUUAUUCAAGUAACCUUUAUUUAAAAUUGUGCAUUAAUUGAUGAUUACUUCUUUGAUAAUGAGAUGUAAUUAACCAUAAAAUUAAAUAUUUUGAAAUAAUUAUUAGUGGGAUCCAUAAUAUUAAUUUGGUGAUGAUGUGGACACCCUAAGAGGAGAAAAACUCUCCCAUUAUAUAUAUAGAUUGCUAAGUUAAUAAAUUUUCUUAAUAAAUCAGAGUAACACAAUUAAUGUUUUUUCUUUUCAUUUUGAGGGUCAAAGAGUUAAACAGUUAAUGAUAAUCUCUCUACUAAUUAAUAGUCAACAGUUUCCAAAUUAAUGAAUAUCUUUACUAAUUAAAUCUAUACAACUUUUAUAUAUAACACAUUAGCCAAAAAAAUUAAAAAAAACUCUCGUAGAAAACAAAAAUGAAGAACAAGUCAAUUUAUGGCUAUAUCAUCAUCGUCGUCACAUUAUUGUCGGUCGUGGCUCGAGUCACCCUAGCUCAACCUCCAAAGGGACAUCCAGGAGCCGAUAUCAACCCGCAACAAACUCUUGCGGCUCAUAACAAAGCCCGAGCAGAAGAUGGGGUGGGUCCAAUGGUGUGGAACGAUACUCUUGCAGCCUAUGCACAGAGCUUUGCUAACAAACGUAUCGGAGAUUGUGCUCUAACGCAUUCCUCGGGACCUUAUGGUGAGAAUAUUAUUCUCGGGAGAUAUCCGGACUCCAACCUGAGCGGACCCGUCGCGGUUGGAUAUUGGAUGGAGGAGAAACCAAAUUACAAUUAUAAACUCAAUAAGUGUGAUUUUGUGUGCCAUGACUAUACUCAGAUCGUUUGGCGCAAUUCGGUCCGGCUCGGUUGCGGUUCGGUGAGAUGUCAGAAUGAUGCGAACGUAUGGAUCAUAUGUAGCUACGAUCCUCCGGGAAAUAUCCCUGGUGAACGUCCCUAUUGAUGUUUACUAUAAUGAAUCUAAAGCAUAUAUUGAGCUAUGUGCUUUUAUGAUAUUAAUUAAACAAAGAAUAAACUAAUCAAUGAAAAUUUUAUAGUUAUUAUGAUUAAUAAUGCCUGGUUACAUGAUAACAUUUGACCUAGUAUAAACAAUUACAUUGCAAAUCAAUAAAAUAAAAUAAAAGCAAUCAUAUACGUAAUAAAUUUACGUACUCCCUAUUGACCAAUUGUAUAGUUAAGCUAAGCCAGUGUGACAACUAUAAUCACAACUCACAAGAACAUUUGAAAAAUAUCGAAACGACACCGUUUCCACAUUUUGUGAUCUUUUCGGAUUUUUUAAUAACCGGAAUCCGGUUUGAGAUUUAUUUGGAUUUUGUUAAUUUUGAUUUGUCUCUGCAAUUUCUCAAGAGCCAGACGCUAGAAUGCCACUAAACCAGAAAAAUGAAUCACACCUGCCAUUUUAGAGUAUGUAUGCCAUCAUAGUAUGUGUUAUUUCUAUUUUGCCCUUACUGAAUAUUUUUGAUUUAAUUAAUUUUGAGAAACUAAAACUAAAAGAAAAACAAAAAAAUAAAAACAAUUUUCUCGCAUCCUCACGAGACCUCCGAUUUUCUCCUCCCACACCGGAGCGGUUCGCCCACCGAUCUCGCCGGCCGUCGUCUUCGGCGUCUCAUCCUUGCAAUCUGUUUGUUCUUCUCUCUCCUCCGCCAUUGAUGAAACUGAGAAAUUCUUUCUUAGUUCCUCAAUCUUCCGUCAUGGAUAUCAACAACAACCACCACCGCUCCGACGACGAUGACGAUUCAUUCUGUUGUUAUAAGAAGUUGGUUUGGUUCGUUGAUAUAUGCUCAGAAAUCUCUGCUUUAUUUAUACGUCAAUUGUGGAGAUGUAGCUAAUGUAUACAAGGUGUUUGAUAAAAUGCUUGAGAAAGAUUUUGUGGCUUGAAAUUUUGUGAUUAAUGGGUUUGGAGAAAACGGUAAACCAAACAAAGCUUUGACGCUUUAUACUUAAAUGGAUUCUAAGGGUAUCAAGCCUAAUUGGUUCACAGUUGUUAGCUUGUUGUCUGCUUGUGCAAAGCUUGGUGCUUUGAUAUUGGGUAAGAAGCGAUUGAGCUUUUCACUAAUAUGGAAUCAAAGGAGGAUGUAUUACUGUGUGAGAUCACGUUUGUGGGGAUCUUAUCUGUAUGUAGCCAUUGCGGGAUGGUGAAGGAAGGGUUUUAGUAUUUCAGGAGAAUGAAAGAAGAGUAUAAGAUUGAUCGUAGAAUUGACAUUUUGGUUGUAUUUUCGAUUUGCUAGUUAGAAUUGGACAAGUGAAAAAAUUUUCUACUUUUCUUCUUUCUUAGUUUACCCAGUUGGACCGAAUAAUUAGAUCUCUGUUGUACCUAAUAAUUGCAGUUGUACCAAAAUACCAUCAAAGUACAUAAACAAAAAAUCCACUUUACCAUACAUAAACAAAAGGUCAAAUUUUAUUACAUGUAAUUAUAUUUAAAUUUAUCAGUUGUACCAAAAACAACAAACUAUCCGACAAUUAUAUAAUGCAGUUGCACUGAGUAGUUCUAGUUAUACAAAAAAUUGUCUCAGUUGUACCUAAGUGAUCUAGUUGUACAAAAUACCUCACUUUCACCAUAUGAUUUUAUUAUUUACAAUCAAACAAAUCUCAGUCUUUUAGUAUCUGCUGCAACUCUUUAAUCUUCAGCUCAUUAUAGCAGAAGUUGUUGCUUCCACGUGCAGUGUACAAUCAUGAUUGUCACAAAAAAGACUUGACUUGUGCGCUUUCUUUCUAGUUCUUGAUGAAGCUCUUCCUUCCACUUAUUCUCUAUCUUUGACAAAGCAACACUGCAAAGCCAAAACCAGCCAAUUUAAGCAGAUGAAUGAAUGAAACAAGAAGCCUAGACAAAGGUCCUAGACUAAAGGAAAAAGUGAAACCAUUCCUACUGAGUGCCUAAGAGAUUUUCACACGGAUCAAAUCCCAUCCAUAAACUAAUGUAAUCUACUUCCUCAUGUCGGAAAUCUAAACUUCAUAACCAACAGAUACACGCUAAAAAGUUUUAUACUUACUAAACAAAUCAGAACCUAUGAAUCAUUUCCCUAGAUUAUUUUUCUUCGAUAUCCUUAAUCAAGUUUAAAGCAUUUACAACACCUAAACAAAAGAAACAAACAAAGCUUAUAACAAACAAACGAAACAAACAAGUGUAAAAGAUGCUAACCAAUUAUACUAGAAUGCAAAAUGGACUCUAAGAGGAUGUGAUUAUCUCUUACUUUCUAAGGAUGCCAUAAAUUCAACAACUUUAACUAAACUUGAACCAAGUCAACCCAAAUUCAAAAGUUAGUGCUAAUAAUUCAUUUUUCACUGUUUUCCCCAAAUUCUUCGAACGUUUCUUGUUCUAGAAAUUAAAAUUACCUUCUAUGUACCUCAAAUCCUAUAACUAGCACUGAACCAAACUAGACCUAAAGCAAGUUUAACACUUCCACUAAAUAGCUAGAAGAAAUUCGAAUCUGAAUUAGAUAUGACAAAGAUUGAAGGAAUUGUUUUUGGAAACGGUGAUCUUACGUCCUCAAGUAAAUCUUCGUCGAGUUUAUCAGCGAUUUUGAUUGAAGUGAAGACAGUGGCGGCGACAAGAGUAGCAGGAAUUUGCGAACGUGAGCAAGUAGCUGCUCGUACUAAGCUUUACUCGGGUCACCACAGAACAGUCUCUGAUUCUCCGUCUAAGACAUAAUCCCCCGGCUACACCAUCGGGGAAAUUUUUCACCAGCGGAGAGAAUAGUGGCUGGGAAGAAGACGCAGAGAAGCUUAUUUGUGUGGGUUGCAUAGGGAAAGAGACGAAAAGUCUCGCCAUUUUUUUUUGAUGAUUUUGGAAACAAACGAUUGGCAAAGGCAAGUAACAUGAUCUGGAAGAAGAGGAGGAGCGGAGGAGACGAGAAGCAGCGGUGGUCGUGCGCAGAGAAGUAUACAUGGUUGUGGUGAUUUUGAGGGUAUACAUGGUUGUAGAGAUAGUAAAUUUGAGGUAGGAUUUGUAAUUAUUGAUCUUUUGAAAGGGUUUUUGGACAUUUCCUUAGCUUUUGAUUUAGAAAAAAUGUUAAAUGAAAUUAGAAAUUAGGAGGUGGCAUUCCAGCAUUUUUUUUCUCAGAUAGUGGCUUUCUAGCCAUUGAUUCAUUUCUCAAUCCACCAUACCUGAGCUCCGAGAUCACUUGUCGCCAAUCGCCGUCGUUACUCAGAACAGAGCCAUUGUUCUCCACCUUAAGCUGGUUCGUCUCUUAUCUCAAAUUCGAUGAUUCGUGAUUACUCUUGUUUAUUUUCUCCCUCUGUCUAGAUUUUAGUUUCGUUGUCUAUUAGGUCUAGCUAAUGAUUCUACUUCGUCAAUUUGAAUACUCAACUCGUUUGGUGCUCUUCGAUUCUAUAUUCAAUUGCAUUUUAACACUCGGUAUUCAGUUUUUGAUUGAAUUUAUUAUCGAGAUUCAGAUUCUAGGCCUUAUGAUUGACUGUACACAAGAUCUUGUGUAUUGAUCUUGAGCCUUUUUAAGAGUUUAGAAUCAGUUUGAUUGAUGUAAGGCUUGUUUAGGGAAGAUGUCUUGUUGAUAUAGUGUAUGAUAUAUCUCUCUGUUUUGCAGAUGGUUCAAAGCCACCCUACUGGCUUAUCCAAAAAUAAUCUCUUGAAGCUCUUUGAGCCACGGCCGCCAUUGGAGUACAAACCACCAUCGGAGAAGAGAAAAUGCCCACAUUGUAUAUCUGAUUGUUUUUAACUUUAUUCUCACGAGCUUUGAAUUUGUUUCGUGUAUGCAUUUUAGGUAUGGCUCAGCUUGUGAGUAACUUUGCUGAGCCUGGGGAUGCACCUUAGACUUUUUAGAACAUGCCAGCUUUAACCAAAGACAGUGUCUUACAGUCACGUGUGGUUUUGUUUCAAGUUCCAGGCACAGAAAAAAGGAGAGCAUUCAUAAAUUACGACUAGAGAAAGGAGUUUAAAAAGCUGCUUGGAACUUAAGAAAUUGUAAUCAACUAUAUGUUAUGUAUGUUCCCCUUCAUGCCCUCUUACGGUAAGAGGAUUUCAGAGUAAUUGAAUUUUUAUAUGCAAAUUAAAUGACCCAAAUAAUUAUCCAAAUGCUUCUUGAGAUCCAUACAAGACAUUGUUCAUGUCUUAGAUCUAAAUACCCGAAUUAUCUUUUGGUGAGUUAGUCUAUGGCUUCCUCCUACAUUUUUGAUUUUAGAAAUUUCUGAGGCUUUUUUUUUUGGAAUUGUAUAGUCAAUUGCUAUGAUUCUGGAUUUCAUUCUAUUUGAUUAACCAUUUGUUCGUUAAUGAGCCAGUGAUGUGAUUUCAUGUAUAGACGUUUUGCAUUGUUCUCAUAUUACAAUUCGAUGACAUGAUUUGUAACGCUCCGACCAUCCCUACCAGUGAGCACCCACGUCCAAUCUCAGGCCUGUGGGCCUCAUCCUUGUCCGACGGUCGAUUCGCUACGUUCGGGAGGGUUGAAAGACUUGUUUACCGACCCUACAAAUCACCACGUGAUCUUUCCCCGUGUUUUGUCCCCACUCACACGGUUCCGACAAUCAUUUUCCGAAAGGUCAUCUAUCCUGAAACUACUCCAGCAUAAGCACGCUUAACUAUGGAGUUCUCUCAGGACAGUUGACCGGAAAGAUAAGUGCACUUUGGUGACAUAGGUGGCCAAAUCAAUUCUUAUAAACCUCUCCGCAUGCACCACCAUAUUCCUGAAUUCGGGGUGUUACAAUUCACCCCCACUAACUGAUCGCAACGUCCUCGUUGGGCACCAAGACCGUCACCCCCGAUGGUGUGAGCUCUCUUGACUCCACACUCAUCUGGGUUUGGCCCUGAUACCACUUGUAACGCCCCAACCGUCCAUGCUAGUGAGCACCCACGUCCAAUCUCAGGUCCGUGGGCCCCACUCUUGUCCGACGGUCAAUUCGCUACGUCCGAGAGGCUUUAAAGACUUGUUUACCAACCCUACAAAUCACCACGUGAUCUUUCCCCGUGUUUUGUCCCCACUCACACGGUUCCGACAAUCAUUUCCCGGAAGGUCACCCAUCCUGAAACUACUCCAACAUAAGCACGCUUAACUGUGGAGUUCUCUCAGGACAGUUGACCGAAAACAUAAGUGCACUUUGGUGACAUAGGUGGCCAAAUCAAUUCUUAUAAACCUCUCCGCAUGCACCACCAUUUUCCUGAAUUCGGGGUGCGUGUUACAUGAUUGUUCCAAGAAUGCUAUGUCAAAAAAGCUUUAUGGGUACUUCAUGUUAUUGUAGAUGAUCAGAAUGCUGCCUUUGCGUAGAAUGUUGCUCAACGUUGUGUCAAUGGAGAGAGCUGAACCGGGGAGUUUCCUGUCAAGACCAAAUGUUGUGGGGAUCAUUUCUAUCACAAGUGACAUAUCACCAUAUAGGAACCCGAGAAUCUCUUUGGCUAAAUUAAAGGCGCAAGAAGGUGAAACGAGCUCUAUCCCUGCAAGGAAAAGUUUUGCCUAUAAACUUGGUGCUUAUGAGCUUAUGAGCUUUUCGAAAAGGAAGGAAACCGACCCAUCAUGAUCGAUGAACUCGCUUCGGUCUGUCUCUUUUUAUCUAACCCUAUCUUUAUACAAAAGUCUGUUUCAAGUCUUUGAAAAUGCCCAAAUUAACUCGUUGGUUAAAAUAUAUUUCAGGAACUUGGUCUUGGUCCUUCUGUACCGGUUCACGCAGUGCUUCACGAUUGGCUUAGGCAUACCGAUGAAAAGCUUAGCUUUCUCGGAUUUCUAGCCGCACGAUCAAAGCUCAUUAGAAGGGUUUUGAAACAUGGAAUGAUAUGUAUGAGAUUUGUCUGAGAUCUCUUUCUCCUAGGAGCGCUUUCUUAGGAGUUAUAAUAUGUGGCUUUUGAAAUUUGUUAUGAAAGCUGAGAAGAAAAGAUUAAAAAAGAGUGUAGCAAAAAAAAAAAAAAGAGAAGUGUGUGUUAGUUUGUAGAGAGAAUGAGAUAUUUUUCCAAAUUUGGUAACUUAUGACGAUUGAUGAUGUCUCUGACAUUUCCUUCUCGAUUUGGUUUUUUCACUUUUUGACACAAAUCUUAUUUUCCAAUAUUUUAUCUGUUACAAUAAAAGAGCAAAUGGGUCUAACUUCUUCAAGUUUUUUUCCCAUUUAAUCUUCGAUUCAAAUUCAUAAAGAAUAACAAACAUGAAGAAAUGAAUUUCCGACGAUGAUUUUGGUAAUUCAUUAUCACUUUAAUCGAGGGAUGGAACCCCCAAAAAAGGAGUAAAAAUCAAAAUAAUAAAUAGAUGGCUUUACCUGUCGAAUCUCGAUCGUGAAGUGAAACUCCCGUUGCAUCUUCUCUCCCACUUCCUGUGACACGAAAGAGUGAUGAAUCUGAUCGUUCGCAUUUGAUAAAUAUAUUGGAGAGGUUAGAGGAACACCGUAUUGAGGAAAAUCAAAGAAGUCUAAGGGAUUGUCACUGUAGUUGAAAGCGUUUUAUAAUUGUCCAAUUAUAUCAUUCAUUAAGUAACUAAAUUUAUGGUUUAGAAUUUCUGAUUAUUGUUUAACGCAAAUAAGAAGCAUAAGUGUGUUGAUGUGGCAAUCUAAGAGAGAAGUUUGAGAAGCUGAUGUGGACACUUUGAGAGGGCUCAAAUUGUCCUUUUUAUGAGUAUAGACUAGGGGCGAACCCGGGCUACGCCCGGGUAUAUUUAAAAUUUGAUAUUAUUAUAAAGUUUAUAACCAAACAUUUUUCUUAAUUUUUUUAUAAUACAUUGUGUAAACUCAUGUGAUGUUGUAUUCAACAUUUUAAUAAAGAAAACAUAUAUGAUUUCAUUAAAAUUAUUUAUAACCUUUUUGUUAUUGUUAUUGUUAUUUAUAUUAAAACUUAAUGUCUGAUUUCUCGAGAUUAUCUGUUACUUCAAAACAGAGGAACUGUUAACUUGUGGACUAUUGUUUGAAAACAUUUUCUUGACUACACAAUUCUUUGAUUAGGGAUUUAAAAUCAGCAAUAUAGCUAAUAAUUUUUAACAAUAGCCUUGUGUAACAUAAGCGCUAGAAACUGAGAGAACUACUAUGUAUAUAAUUGGGAGAAAAUAGCAUGCUUAUGGUACGUAGUAUGAAUUGGAACUUUAGAAUCACUAGUAACAAAGCAUGUGGUGCCAAUUAUCUAACCAACAAUGUUGAGAAUUCUAAUAUGUUGAGGACCCCACGUUUGUUAAGCUAAGGCUAAGCGUUCAUGUUGCUCUUCCGUACGUAAUUUUAGCAUAACAGAUUAACAGUUGACUUCUCUUUUGCUUAAGAAUGAAUUCACUUUGUUUAAGUCCAACCAAACAGGACUUGCUAAAGCAAAUCCUACACUAAAAAUGAGACAUCUAUUUUCAAUUUCUAAGAUAUUUUUGUUUCAGUCCUGGAUUUUUUUGUGAAUACUAAACGUAAACCAUAUAUAUAUAGCAAAAUUUGCAAGUUCAGUAACCAACCAAACAUAAUAUAUAACUCAAUUCGUAACAAUUUACAAAAAAAAAAUUUCCUAAAAAAUACGUUAAUGACCUGACCACAUAGCACAUAUGACAUAUGAUAGUAAAACCCCUCAGAAUACAACACAGUGUUGAGUUUUUUGCAUAAGGAGAUAAACAUUUUCUGAAAUUAAUCAUCUGUUAUUUUCUCUAUCGUUGAAACCCCUUAUGAUUUUUGAUAUUUUAAAAAAACAUCCUUAUGGUUAAUUUUCCUCUACAAUACCUUUGAUGCGGACCUUAUUUGCAGAUCUUUUUUGCAGCCACAAAAAUAUCUCCAAGAAGGAUCACCAAGAGUCAUACAAAUGGAAGAAACAAUUCGUAAGUGACCGAGAAAGAGGGAACCGCUUAUCUACACUAUAAUUUAUGAUUGCAGAACUAAAAACAAAACGGAAAAACGGGAGUGUAAGCUGACAGAGCUCUUGCUUCUUUUUUAUUAAAAUGACCGAACCGACCCGAACCGACCCGAACCGACCCGAACCCGAACCGAACCCGAACCGAAUUUUUAGAAUACCCGAAUGGGUCUCGACCCCCUACUCGAAUAAACCCGAUACCCGAAAAAAAAAGAACCGAACCCGAACGGGUAUCCGAAUGCCGAGGCCUACCUAAAACCCUCAUUAAAUUACCACACUAGUACAAAGUUUUUGGUGUAGGUUUGGUUCAGUUCUACAAAACCGAUCGGUUUUUCGAGUUCUUAAGAUUGAAUUUGAGAUGGUAUUAGUUUGUUUGGUUGGUUUAGCUAUUUAACAAGAAAAGUAUAAUGUACGUAAAACCCUAGAACAGUAGAACCAAAACGUGGUAUGGCUUUUUGGCCUAACUUCAAAGAAAAAUGUUUAAGAGUUUUUUCACUCUAUAUAAACAAUGAUUGUGCCUCACAUGGACAAUGAUAGCUUAAAUUUGUAGCUAUAUGGUGGUCAUUGCUCAUUUCAUUGAUAUAUACAAGUUUGUGUCUGCACAUAAAAUCAUCAAUUUUAAGUCUAUCUCUAGCUAUAAAGGAUAGACAAUUGGAAAGCACCCAAUCAGUUGUUAGGGAUAUUGAGAAAAUGGUUAAUAUCUGCUAUUGAUAAUUAUUGUGUAGUUCUUAAAAAUUUAUGCAUGUCAGAUGUGCUACACUGCUACUCAUAUAGAUGAGAGUUCAUUUGUUACUAGGAAUGUUGUAGUAUGAGAGAUCUUUUGACCAAUAAUUUCAGUCUUAAAGAAAAAUACUCGAUUAUUUUUUUAGGUAUUUUCUAAUGAAAUAUAAAAUAUGCAAUGUUUUCUAUAAAAAAGCGCGAAUGAAAUCAAGCAGAAUAAAAAUAUUUGCUAAAGUUAAAUAUAUUGUCAAAAAUUUACAAUAAUUAUAUUUUUAAAAGAGUUAUUUAUGCUUAUACACCAUCAGAUCGAUAAAAUGCACUUGAAUGAUUUAUUUUAUUUUCUUUAUCAUUCCUUCAUUUGUGACAAUUGGGUUAGAAACAAAUUCUUAAAUAUGCAAAGAUGAAAAGCGUUAAUAUGAAAUGAAACAAUCCAAACUAAACCCUAUAUUAAACAAACACCUAGAAUAGAUGAUAUAGUACCAAAAAGGUUGACCUUGCUUCUAAUUUCUUUUCUAGUUUUCUUCAUUACUUUACUUCGCGUCUUUAGUUGUCCUAAAGUAUAGGAAUUUGAAGCUUCUAUUGAUUUUAAAAUUUGUCAAUUUCUCUCUUUAAAAACAUGAGUAGUUUGGUGGGCUGUCGCCAUGUUCCACAGGCCACAUUGAUGUUCUUAUUUGUUUUUUUUUCAUGUCAUAUGUGUCCAUCACGACUCAUUUCUCUCCAUUUUUUUUCUUUAGUUAAUUACAAGCUCAACGUAUUCUUCUCUUAUUUUUUUUCCUUGAAAAGUAAAAAAUAUAAUAAAUUAUGAACAAAUUCAUUUUUUUUUGGUGAACAAUUAUGAACAAAUUCAUUACCCACUCAUACAUUUUUUUGACAAAAAAAUAAAUAAAAAAAGUUAUUUUUUGCCUACAUGAAAUCUAAUUAUUAAUAUCAAUAUGCACAAACAACAUUAACUGCAUCAGCAAACACAACGGUAACUUCUUUCUCAAACUCCGAAGACCUGUCCCAGUCCGGUUUUUAUAAAUCGUUGGUCAAAACUCAAAAUCAAAUGUUAACCGAUCACUUAUCACAAAUAAUAUCACGUCAAUGACCGUAACUUAUUAAAUACGUGUACAUUUGGAAUUUUUUGCCAAUUCUUUUGAUAUCUAUCUCUCUCUCUAUAUAUAUACUAGAUUUACUCGCCCGCGCAUCAAAUUUUAACUGGCUACAAUACAAAAUGUUAAAAAUAAUCAUAAUCAUUUGAAUUUCAAAAACUAUAUAUAUAUAUAUAUAUAUAUAUAUUCAUACUUAUUUUAUACAACAUAGAAAUUAUAAAAUACAUUUGGUAGGUACCACGUAAUAACAAAAGUUAUAUAAGAUCAAUCGGUUUCGGUAGUCAUCAAUGAACUUUUAUCAAAAAGAGAGUUAUUUCUAUAAACAAAUCUUGUAAGUAUAUUUGUCGUGAUGUUUUGACCUAUUCGUACCUCAUACUAAAAGUAAAUUUGCUGAGUUUGAACAUCAAUUUAUGAAAAUGUAUAAACGUAAUAUUCAUGUCGUUUCAAUAGGUUUGGAGAGCACAUUUUACCUAUUGAAGCAAGACCAUCAUACCUUAAAGAAAGUUUUGACCAAAUCAUGAAUGUUUUUAUCUUAUCUAUCCUACUACGCUUACAUGGCUCGACGAUUUAACUCGAGGUUGAAUAUGUUAGUCUGGUUUAUAGUCUGGUUUACUAAACCAAACUAUCCGAUAAUGCAUACAUAUAUCUAAUGCUUCAAACAUUACUAAAUUUCUCUUCAAACAUUUUUUCGUCAUCUUCUAUAAUGCACUUGUUCGCUACCCAACAUCUACUAUUCUUUUAUCUUCUAUGCUCACUUACAUAUAAUAAAACUUUAAAUUGAUUCUUAAUUCAAAACUAUUUCCUCAUUUUCAUCUUCUUAGUUUAUUUUUCUUUUAUUAAUUAUAUGGUUUCCACGCUUUAACGUAAUAUAAUUUUACGAAAGAUAUAUAUUUGUUAAAAUUUCUUCAACAGUAUUUAUUUAGAUUCUUAAUUACCUAUAUUUAAGCAACUUCACCUUUUUAUUUAGAAAGCAAACAAUAAUAUAGAUAUAAUUAUAUUAUUUUAAUUCUUAUAUUUUAAUAUAAUUUAAUAUUAAGAUACAAUUAAUCUUUCUAUUUUUUCGUCAAUGUGAAUUUAUACUAUUACUCUCUUGAAAUAUAAUUUUCAAUUUUAAAUAUGAAUUAUUUCUUAUAUCUUAAAAAACUUAUACAAUCAUACAUUUACUAUAACAUUUAACCAUUUAUUUUUUAAAUAUAAAAAUAAUAUUAUUUUAAAUAAAUUUCUUCCACUUCAUUAUUAUCUCUUAAAGUUAAUGUUUCAAUGAAAUAUGAAUAUCUUCUUAUUAUUAAAAACAAAAAACUCUUAUAGUCUUCCAUUUCAAUUGAAUUCUUUUGUUCAUCCUAAAUUAUAUUUGACGUUUUCUUAUUAAACGUUUUUUUUUAAUUUUUAAUAAGUUAUUAUUUGUUUGUAAUUGUAUAAUAAAUUUCAUUAAGAAUCCUUUUGUCCAUUUUAAAUAGCAUUAGUAUUUCUAUGAAAUUUUCAUAAUUAUUUUUUUAUUUCUUAAUUAAAUAUUUAGGGAUUAUGUUCAUUUUAAGUUAUAUAUUGACAAAAAAUUAAUUUUAAGUUUUUUAUAUGUAUAUAUGUUACACUUGUGUUAUUAUUAUUCAAGUAACCUUUAUUUAAAAUUGUGCAUUAAUUGAUGAUUACUUCUUUGAUAAUGAGAUGUAAUUAACCAUAAAAUUAAAUAUUUUGAAAUAAUUAUUAGUGGGAUCCAUAAUAUUAAUUUGGUGAUGAUGUGGACACCCUAAGAGGAGAAAAACUCUCCCAUUAUAUAUAUAGAUUGCUAAGUUAAUAAAUUUUCUUAAUAAAUCAGAGUAACACAAUUAAUGUUUUUUCUUUUCAUUUUGAGGGUCAAAGAGUUAAACAGUUAAUGAUAAUCUCUCUACUAAUUAAUAGUCAACAGUUUCCAAAUUAAUGAAUAUCUUUACUAAUUAAAUCUAUACAACUUUUAUAUAUAACACAUUAGCCAAAAAAAUUAAAAAAAACUCUCGUAGAAAACAAAAAUGAAGAACAAGUCAAUUUAUGGCUAUAUCAUCAUCGUCGUCACAUUAUUGUCGGUCGUGGCUCGAGUCACCCUAGCUCAACCUCCAAAGGGACAUCCAGGAGCCGAUAUCAACCCGCAACAAACUCUUGCGGCUCAUAACAAAGCCCGAGCAGAAGAUGGGGUGGGUCCAAUGGUGUGGAACGAUACUCUUGCAGCCUAUGCACAGAGCUUUGCUAACAAACGUAUCGGAGAUUGUGCUCUAACGCAUUCCUCGGGACCUUAUGGUGAGAAUAUUAUUCUCGGGAGAUAUCCGGACUCCAACCUGAGCGGACCCGUCGCGGUUGGAUAUUGGAUGGAGGAGAAACCAAAUUACAAUUAUAAACUCAAUAAGUGUGAUUUUGCGUGCCAUGACUAUACUCAGAUCGUUUGGCGCAAUUCGGUCCGGCUCGGUUGCGGUUCGGUGAGAUGUCAGAAUGAUGCGAACGUAUGGAUCAUAUGUAGCUACGAUCCUCCGGGAAAUAUCCCUGGUGAACGUCCCUAUUGAUGUUUACUAUAAUGAAUCUAAAGCAUAUAUUGAGCUAUGUGCUUUUAUGAUAUUAAUUAAACAAAGAAUAAACUAAUCAAUGAAAAUUUUAUAGUUAUUAUGAUUAAUAAUGCCUGGUUACAUGAUAACAUUUGACCUAGUAUAAACAAUUACAUUGCAAAUCAAUAAAAUAAAAUAAAAGCAAUCAUAUACGUAAUAAAUUUACGUACUCCCUAUUGACCAAUUGUAUAGUUAAGCUAAGCCAGUGUGACAACUAUAAUCACAACUCACAAGAACAUUUGAAAAAUAUCGAAACGACACCGUUUCCACAUUUUGUGAUCUUUUCGGAUUUUUUAAUAACCGGAAUCCGGUUUGAGAUUUAUUUGGAUUUUGUUAAUUUUGAUUUGUCUCUGCAAUUUCUCAAGAGCCAGAGGCUAGAAUGCCACUAAACCAGAAAAAUGAAUCACACCUGCCAUUUUAGAGUAUGUAUGCCAUCAUAGUAUGUGUUAUUUCUAUUUUGCCCUUACUGAAUAUUUUUGAUUUAAUUAAUUUUGAGAAAUUAAAACUAAAAGAAAAACAAAAAAAUAAAAACAAUUUUCUCGCAUCCUCACGAGACCUCCGAUUUUCUCCUCCCACACCGGAGCGGUUUGCCCACCGAUCUCGCCGGCCGUCGUCUUCGGCGUCUCAUCCUUGCAAUCUGUUUGUUCUUCUCUCUCCUCCGCCAUUGAUGAAACUGGGAGAUUCUUUCUUAGUUCCUCAAUCUUCCGCCAUGGAUAUCAACAACAACCACCACCGCUCCGACGACGAUGACGAUUCAUUCUGUUGUUAUAAGAAGUGGGUUUGGUUCGUUGAUAUAUGCUCAGAAAUCUCUGCUUUAUUUAUACGUCAAUUGUGGAGAUGUAGCUAAUGCAUACAAGGUAAUCUACUUCCUCAUGUCGGAAAUCUAAACUUCAUAACCAACAGAUUCACGCUAAAAAGUUUUAUACUUACUAAAUAAAUCAGAACCUACGAAUCAUUUCCCUAGAUUAUUUUUCUUCGAUAUCCUUAAUCAAGUUUAAAGCAUUUACAUCACUUAAACAAAAGAAACAAACAAAGCUUAUAGCAAACAAACGAAACAAACAAGUGUAAAAGAUGCUAACCAAUUAUACUAGAAUGCAAAAUGGACUCUAAGAGGAUGUGAUUAUCUCUUACUUUCUAAGGAUGCCGUCAAUUCAACAACUUUAACUAAACUUGAACCAAGUCAACCCAAAUUCAAAAGUUAGUGCUAAUAAUUCAUUUUUCACUGUUUUCCCCAAAUUAUUCGAACGUUUCUUGUUCUAGAAAUUAAAAUUACCUUCUAUGUACCUCAAAUCCUAUAACUAGCACUAAACCAAACUAGACCUAAAGCAAGUUUAACACUUCCACUAAAUAGCUAGAAGAAAUUCGAAUCUGAAUUAGAUAUGACAAAGAUUGAAGGAAUUGUUUUUGGAAACGGUGAUCUUACGUCCUCAAGUAAAUCUUCGUCGAGUUUAUCAGCGAUUUUGAUUGAAGUGCAGACAGUGGCGGCGACAAGAGUAGCAGGAAUUUGCGAACGUGAGCAAGUAGCUGCUCGUACUAAGCUUUACUCGGGUCACCACAGAACAGUCUCUGAUUCUCCGUCUAAGACAUAAUCCCCCGGCUACACCAUCGGGGAAAUUUUUCACCAGCGGAGAGAAUAGUGGCUGGGAAGAAGACGCAGAGAAGCUUAUUUGUGUGGGUUGCAUAGGGAAAGAGACGAAAAGUCUCGCCAUUUUUUUUUUUUGUUGAUUUUGGAAACAAACGAUUGGCAAAGGCAGGUAACAUGAUCUGGAAGAAGAGGAGGAGCGGAGGAGACGAGAAGCAGCGGUGGUUGUGCGCAGAGAAGUAUACAUGGUUGUGGUGAUUUUGAGGGUAUACAUGGUUGUGGUGAUUUUACAACCAAUCAAAAUCACCACAACCAUGUAUACCUCAAAACAACCAUGUAUUUGGUUGUGGUGAUUUUGAGGGUAUACAUGGUUGUAGAGAUAGUAAAUUUGAGGUAGGAUUUGUAAUUAUUGAUCUUUUGAAAGGGUUUUUGGACAUUUCCUUAGCUUUUGAUUUAGAAAAAAAUGUUAAAUGAAAUUAGAAAUUAGGAGGUGGCAUUCCAGCAUUUUUUUUCUCAGAUAGUGGCUUUCUAGCCAUUGAUUCAUUUCUCAAUCCACCAUAGCUGAGCUCCGAGAUCACUUGUCGCCAAUCGCCGUCGUUACUCAGAACAGAGCCAUUGUUCUCCACCUUAAGCUGGUUCGUCUCUUAUCUCAAAUUCGAUGAUUCGUGAUUACUCUUGUUUAUUUUCUCCCUCUGUCUAGAUUUUAGUUUCGCUGUCUAUUAGGUCUAGCUAAUGAUUCUACUUCGUCAAUUUGAAUACUCAACUCGUUUGGUGCUCUUCGAUUCUAUAUUCAAUUGCAUUUUAACACUCGGUAUUCAGUUUUUGAUUGAAUUUAUUAUCGAGAUUCAGAUUCUAGGCCUUAUGAUUGACUGUACACAAGGUCUUGUGUAUUGAUCUUGAGCCUUUUUAAGAGUUUAGAAUCAGUUUGAUUGAUGUAAGGCUUGUUUAGGGAAGAUUUCUUGUUGCUUUAGUGUUGAUAUAUCUUUCUAUUUUGCAGAUGGUUCAAAGCCACCCUACUGGCUUAUCCAAAAAUAAUCUCUUGAAGCUCUUUGAACCACGGCCGCCAUUGGAGUACAAACCACCAUCGGAGAAGAGAAAAUGCCCACAUUUAUAUCUGAUUGUUUUUUAAGUUUAUUCUCACGAGCUUUGAAUUUGUUUCGUGUAUUCAUUUUAGGUAUGGCUCAGCUUGUGAGUAACUUUGCUGAGCCUGGGGAUGCACCUUAGACUUUUUCGAACAUGCCAGCUUUAACCAAAGUCAGUGUCUUACAGUCACGUGUGGUUUUGUUUCAAGUUCCAGGCACACAAAAAAGGAGAGAAUUCAUAAAUUACGACUAGAGAAAGGAGUUUAAAAAGCUGCUGGGAACUUAAGAAAUUGUAAUCAACUAUAUGUUAUGUAUGUUCCCCUUCAUGCCCUCUUACGGUAAGAGGAUUUCAGAGUAAUUGAAUUUUUAUAUGCAAAUUAAAUGACCCAAAUAAUUAUCCAAAUGCUUCUUGAGAUCCAUACAAGACAUUGUUCAUGUCUUAGAUCUAAAUACCCGAAUUAUCUUUUGGUGAGUUAGUCUAUGGCUUCCUCCUACAUUUUUGAUUUUAGAAAUUUCUGAGGCUUUUUUUUUUUGGAAUUGUACUCAAUUGCUAUGAUUCUGGAUUUCAUUCUAUUUGAUUAACCAUUUGUUCGUUAAUGAGCCAGUGAUGUGAUUUCAUGUAUAGACGUUUUGCAUUGUUCUCAUAUUACAAUUCGAUGACAUGAUUUGUAACGCUCCGACCAUCCCUACCAGUGAGCACCCACGUCCAAUCUCAGGCCUGUGGGCCUCAUCCUUGUCCGACGGUCGAUUCGCUACGUUCGGGAGGGUUGAAAGACUUGUUUACCGACCCUACAAAUCACCACGUGAUCUUUCCCCGUGUUUUGUCCUCACUUACACGGUUCCGACAAUCAUUUUCCGAAAGGUCAUCUAUCCUGAAACUACUCCAGCAUAAGCACGCUUAACUAUGAAGUUCUCUCAGGACAGUUGACCGGAAAGAUAAGUGCACUUUGGUGACAUAGGUGGCCAAAUCAAUUCUUAUAAACCUCUCCGCAUGCACCACCAUAUUCCUGAAUUCGGAGUGUUACAAUUCACCCCCACUAACUGAUCGCAACGUCCUCGUUGCGCACCAAGACCGUCACCCCCAAUGGUGUGAGCUCUCUUGACUCCACACUCAUCUGGGUUCGGCUCUGAUACCACUUGUAACGCCCCAACCGUCCCUGCCAGUGAGCACCCACGUCCAAUCUCAGGUCCGUGGGCCCCACUCUUGUCCGACGGUCAAUUCGCUACGUCCGAGAGGCUUUAAAGACUUGUUUACCGACCCUACAAAUCACCACGUGAUCUUUCCCCGUGUUUUGUCCCCACUCACACAGUUCCGACAAUCAUUUCCCGGAAGGUCACCCAUCCUGAAACUACUCCAACAUAAGCACGCUUAACUCUGGAGUUCUCUCAGGACAGUUGACCGAAAACAUAAGUGCACUUUGGUGACAUAGGUGGCCAAAUCAAUUCUUAUAAACCUCUCCGCAUGCACCACCAUAUUCCUGAAUUCAGAGUGCGUGUUACAUGAUUGUUCCAGGAAUGCUAUGUCAAAAAAGCUUUAUGGGUACUUCAUGUUAUUGUAGAUGAUCAGAAUGCUGCCUUUGCGUAGAAUGUUGCUCAACGUUGUGUCAAUGGAGAGAGCUGGACCGGGGAGUUUGCUGUCAAGACCAAAUGUUGUGGGGAUCAUUUCUAUCACAAGUGACAUAGCACCAUAUAUGAACCCGAGAAUCUCUUUGGAUAAAUUAAAGGCGCAAGAAGGUGAAACGAGCUCUAUCUCUGCAAGGAAAAGUUUUGCCUAUAAACUUGGUGCUUAUGAGCUUAUGAGCUUUUCGAAAAGGAAGGAAACCGACCCAUCAUGAUCGAUGAACUCGCUUCGGUUCGUCUCUUUUUAUCUAACCCUAUCUUUAUACAAAAGUCUGUUUCAAGUCUUUGAAAAUGCCCAAAUCAACUCGUUGGUUAAAAUAUAUUUCAGGAACUUGGUCUUGGUCCUUCUGUACCGGUUCACGCAGUGCUUCACGAUUGGCUUAGGCAUACCGAUGGAAAGCUUAGCUUUCUCGGAUUUGUGAAAUUGCUACAUGGUGUGUCUAGCCGCACGAUCAAAGCUCAUUAGAAGGGUUUUGAAACAUGGAAUGAUAUGUAUGAGAGUUGUCUGAGAUCUCUUUCUCCUAGGAGCGCUUUCUUAGGAGUUAUAAUAUGUGGCUUUUGAAAUUUGUUAUGAAAGCUGAGAAGAAAAGAUAAAAAAAGAGUGUAGGAAAAAAAAAAAAAAAGAGAAGUGUGUGUUAGUUUGUAGAGAGAAUGAGAUAUUUUUCCAAAUUUGGUAACUUAUGACGAUUGAUGAUGUCUCUGACAUUUCCUUCUAGAUUUUGGUUUUUUCACUUUUUGACACAAAUCUUAUUUUCCAAUAUUUUAUCUGUUACAAUAAAAGAGCAAAUGGGUCUAACUUCUUCAAGUUUUUUUCCCAUUUAAUCUUCGAUUCAAAUUCCUAAAGAAUAACAAACAUGAAGAAAUGAAUUUCCGACGAUGAUUUUGGUAAUUCAUUAUCACUUUAAUCGAGGGAUGGAAACCCCAAAAAAGGAGUAAAAAUCAAAAUAAUAAAUAGAUGGCUUUACCUGUCGAAUCUCAAUCGUGAAGUGAAACUCCCGUUGCAUCUUCUCUUCCACUUCCUGUGACACGAAAGAGUGAUGAAUCUGAUCGUUCGCAUUUGAUAAAUAUAUUGGAGAGGUUAGAGGAACACCGUAUUGAGGAAAUCAAAGAAGUCUAAGGGAUUGUCACGGUAGUUGAAAGCGUUUUAUAAUUGUCCAAUUAUAUCAUUCAUUAAGUAACUAAAUUUAUGGUUUAGAAUUUCUGAUUAUUGUUUAACGCAAAUAAGAAGCAUAAGUGUGUUGAUGUGGCAAUCUAAGAGAGAAGUUUGAGAAGCUGAUGUGGACACUUUGAGAGGGCUCAAAUUGUCAUUUUUAUCAGUAUAGACUAGGGGCGAACUCGGGCUACGCCCGGGUAUAUUUAAAAUUUGAUAUUAUUAUAAAGUUUAUAACCAAACAUUUUUCUUAAUUUUUUUAUAAUACAUUGUGUAAACUCAUGUGAUGUUGUAUUCAACAUUUUAAUAAAGAAAACAUAUAUGAUUUCAUUAAAAUUAUUUAUAACCUUUUUGUUAUUGUUAUUGUUAUUUAUAUUAAAACUUAAUGUCUGAUUUCUCGAGAUUAUCUGUUACUUCAAAACAGAGGAACUGUUAACUUGUGGACUAUUGUUUGAAAACAUUUUCUUGACUACACAAUUCUUUGAUUAGGGAUUUAAAAUCAGCAAUAUAGCUAAUAAUUUUUAACAAUAGCCUUGUGUAACAUAAGCGCUAGAAACUGAGAGAACUACUAUGUAUAUAAUUGGGAGAAAAUAGCAUGCUUAUGGUACGUAGUAUGAAUUGGAACUUUAGAAUCACUAGUAACAAAGCAUGUGGUGCCAAUUAUCUAACCAACAAUGUUGAGAAUUCUAAUAUGUUGAGGACCCCACGUUUGUUAAGCUAAGGCUAAGCGUUCAUGUUGCUCUUCCGUAAUUUUAGCAUAACAGAUUAACAGUUGACUUCUCUUUUGCUUAAGAAUGAAUUCACUUUGUUUAAGUCCAACCAAACAGGACUUGCUAAAGCAAAUCCUACACUAAAAAUGAGACAUCUAUUUUCAAUUUCUAAGAUAUUUUUGUUUCAGUCCUGGAUUUUUUUGUGAAGACUAAACGUAAACCAUAUAUAUAUAUAUAGCAAAAUUUGCAAGUUCAGUAACCAACCAAACAUAAUAUAUAACUCAGUUCGUAACAAUUUACAAAAAAAAAAUUUCCUAAAAAAUACGUUAAUGACCUGACCACAUAGCACAUAUGACAUAUGAUAGUAAAACCCCUCAGAAUACAACACAGUGUUGAGUUUUUUGCAUAAGGAGAUAAACAUUUUCUGAAAUUAAUCAUCUGUUAUUUUCUCUAUCGUUGAAACCCCUUAUGAUUUUUGAUAUUUUAAAAAAACAUCCUUAUGGUUAAUUUUCCUCUACAAUACCUUUGAUGCGGACCUUAUUUGCAGAUCUUUUUUGCAGCCACAAAAAUAUCUCCAAGAAGGAUCACCAAGAGUCAUACAAAUGAAAGAAACAAUUCGUAAGUGACCGAGAAAGAGGGAACCGCUUAUCUACACUAUAAUUUAUGAUUGCAGAACUAAAAACAAAACGGAAAAACGGGAGUGUAAGCUGACAGAGCUCUUGCUUCUUUUUUAUUAAAAUGACCGAACCGACCCGAACCGACCCGAACCGACCAUAUUUUAUCCUAUCACCAAAGAGUACAUUGUUUAAAUUUAACACAUGAAAAUUACACUAACAAAGCAAUACCCCCUACUCGAAUAAACCCGAUACCCGAAAAAAAAGAACCGAACCCGAACGGGUAUCCGAAUGCCGAGGCCUACCUAAAACCCAGUUAUUCUUUCGUUGAACACCUGGUUCGAAACAGGUUAGCCUACUAUAAGGAUUGGAUUCUACCUAAAAUAUAUUUUUCUGAGGUAUAUUAAGAUUCAGUCGUCUCUACGACAUCUUACUGAGUUUCCCCCUCAUCUUUUUGCAAAAAAUCGCUCUCGGCACGUCGGAUUCUCGUGAGUUCACCGGGGUGGAGCACAAUAUUUUUUAUUUGCAGGGUCCUGAUCUUUCCUUACCUUCACACAUCUACGUCGCUUUCUCUUCCCCUGUUGCAGCACAAAACCGCUUCUUUAUGUUCCACUGACUCUGUUAAUAUUAGUGGGAUUGCUUUAGAAAGAGUUUCAUAUCAUUUUUGACGUGAAACAUGAUUUGAAAGCUUAAAUGACCAGCAAACUAUCUGAAAACCUAGGGAAAAUAUUUCAUCAUUCAUAAACACUACAACUGCAAGAAUAUUAGGUAACAAUGUUCAUUUCUCUAAACCCAAAAGCCACUGUCAAUUAAGUUCAAAGACACAUGGAUUUAGUUUCUAUUUAAUUUCUAAAUGAAGUGACACAUAUGGAAGAAAACGUAGGAAUUUAUAUAACUAACAUCUCAUAUCCAAAGAGUUCGAAUGAAAAUGAACAAAAUUUUACCCCAGAGAAGUGUGAUUGACAAUCUACAAAUAGUGGUGGCGGAGGAAAUGUUGUGAAGGCACAAAAUGUAGAAAAUGUUUUAGGCACCAAAACUGUGAUCAAUAACUCCUAUGUCUAAACACCACCAGUAAGAGAAUACUAAUUGUAAAAAUAGGCAAAGAGGAGAAUUAAGUUUUCUUUUUACAGGGUAAAAGCUAAGUCAAAAGAAGAGCUCCAUGAAGAAGAUACAAUAAACCUUUCCACAAUCUAAACUCUUAAAAAUAGUACAUAACUCAUUCGCUUCUUAUUUUGUUUUUAAUUUUAAACUCCUUUGCUUUAUUACUACAAAUAACAUAAGUGUAAUAACUCACCAAGUCCAGGACGAAGCUGGAUGAAAUGAUGUAAUGAAAUCUAGGAAGAAAACACGUAAAAAUCUGAAGUUAGAAUGUGAGUUUGAGAAUAAAUCAUACUAAUCAUCAUAUAUGUAUCUUAAAUUGGGAUGGGAUUACUAAAUCAAUUCAAUCGCCAUUACAAAGUAAUAAGCCAUAUAUAUCUUCUGUAGCUUGUUGCACUUGCAAAACUUACACAUAAUCAUAUUACAUUCAAAAUAAUAAUUAAGUACCGUAAAAUAUGCUUGACAGAGGAAAAUGAGACGAUCGAGAGAGAAUGUCGUCGUAAUGAAGUAAUAAAGAUCUCACUCUUCCCAUCAAAAAACUCACGAACAUGUUCAAAGCCGGAGGGAGGCGAAGUUAAACCCAAAAAGAGAAAGAAAAACGGUUAGAUACGACCAGCGAGUUUCAUAGUUCCUAACGCAAGCGCCAGUUGAUAGCCAUAGAUUUAUGAAACAGAUUUACUCUUAUGUUAUCCAAAACUUCAGAAAGAAAUAUAUUCCUCCUCGCAAACUUAAGACAAUUGUUGAGACGUAGUCACGCUGAUACUUGCCUUGCCAAUAACAUCGAGCCAUUUUGAAGUCGAAGAGACGUUUUCCACCGAGGUAAGAGAUGUUUCAAUGAAAAAAUGGUGUUUUUCUUAUUGCACGACCUCCUCUACCUCUUCUUCCCCUUAUUCAAACUCAAAGUUCGAUCCUUACGACGAUCCAUUUCUGAGCUUGAAAAAAGAAGUUGAAACUGAUGGGAUCGUGGCCUUAUGGGAGAUGAUACGUUUAGGAUAUAAGAGGGGAGCGAUGAAUGUAGAUUCCCGAAUGAAGUCGUUUCGAGAGCUACAUUUUAAGAGUGGAAUGGCUGACGUGGCACUACAGGAAAAGACUUUAGAAUGCUGAUGUGGACACGGGCUCAAAUUGUCCCUUUUAUUAGUAUAGAUUAAAAUGAGGGUAAAUUUCAUGUUAUGGCAGUUGACCAAGUUUUAAUUUCAAGUUUUGGCAAAGUGAAAAUGGGCUUUCAAGUUUUGACAAUUUAGCCAAAAUCUGACCAUUUUACCCCUACCGAUGUACUGUUCACUGUACGGUUCAGUGAAGCGGUUCAGUUACGUACACUGUUCUGGUUAAGCAAUAUAUUUCGUUCUUAAUUGAUUCGUGCGGGAGUACAGUGACAAGUUGGGAUUAAUAACAUUAAAACACAAUGAGACAUCAGUAUUUAAUGACCAAAAAGUUUAGACAUGACUCAUGUCACAAUUAAUGCAAAAGUCAUCAUUACUUUUUCUAAUAUUAGUUUAUAUGUGUGAAUAGUUGUAAGAGACAAACAUGAUCCAUCAAACAAACAAAUUUUUCUGAACGAAUGUGAUUCUGCAUCGGUUUGAUCUUCUUGAUUUACAAAGUUUGGAGCCAAGACAAGCAUUGAACGUGUAAGUAAUGAAAUUGGUUAAGAAGUUUUUUGUUUUAACACACUAGGGUCUUGAUUGUGUGCUAAGAUCAACAUUGUUUUUAUAUAAAAACCCAGAAUAUUUUUAUUUCCACUUUUUUUAGUUGAAAUUGCUAAAUGAGGAUAGAUUUAUGUUUAUAAGUGUGUAGUUGGGAAUUCUUUUUGUUUUUUGUAGAUAUAAUCAUGCUUUCAUUUGCAUUUAAUGAGGUUCUGCUGAAUUUAUGAUGCAGGUUGGUAAUGGAUAUUCCCGUAUUUACUAUGGUGGGUGAGUGGAAAUGCAAAGAAGAAGAAUGGAAAUUUGAACCAUGGGAAGGCUGGUUUGGUCGUUGUGUACGUGUUAGGCAAAACAUGACGUACACGGCAUUUGUACGUAUAUUAUGCGAGGUUUUCAGUUUGAAGUGCACCGAAUGCAAUCCAAUAAUUAGUUACUGGAUGCCGGGAAAGAUGUCAGUGAUGAUAGAAAGUAAACGCCCUCCUGUAUACAUUGACAAUCAAAUGAACCUGGAUACAUUCUUUUUGAUUCAUGGUGGGGAUCCUAGUGUCACCUUGUUUGUCUCUUUCAUUACAACCGUCAAGGCACUCGGGAAUACUGUCCCUAGGACCGAUGGUGAGAGUUACCGUGUGUGUGGGAGUGCAACGACACCAAAUCCCAUCGUAGCGGCUUCAAAUGUAGAUGGAAAUAAUGAGGCCGUAGAUGAGCAAGACGAUGUUGAAGACGAUAAAACAGAUGAGGAUGAAGAAGAGGAGGAGGACAACGAAGAUGGUGCUGGGUAUGAUGAUUAUCAGGGUGAUGAUGGAUCUAUGGGGGGAAGUACCCUCGAUCCUACUAUAGACGGUAGUGAAGGCAGUGGCGAAGAUUACGAUUACAACAAGUGGAACGAUUUAAUUAUUGAAGAAUAUGGAAUAGGGAAUGUUGAGGAGGACGUCAUUCUCACUCAACAAACGGUUCAACAUCCAGGGGAAUUCAGUCGUCUAUUGGCAGAGUGUACGUACACAAGUCAUCGUGUACGUGGGGGAGAUAACUCGGUUGACCGUACACCAACGGUGACUCCAAGACGUACGUGUCAACAUGGUUUGUACCAAUGUACGUACACAACAGAAUGUGUACAAGAUACAGGCUGCGAAGGUAACACCGAUAACAAUAUUAAUGGUAUAGACGAUGUCUCUGGGGACGAUGUUAUCGACCGUGGUAUUGGAGAUUCCCCAAGUGGGACACUGAAUGAUAAUCGGCUAGUUACUGCACCUGGCGGAGAUAACAUUUCUCAUUCGGGUGACCGUACACCAACGGUGACUCCAAGACGUACGUGUCAACAUGGUUUGUACCAAUGUACGUACACCACAGAGUGUGUACAAGAUACAGGCUGCGAAGGUAACACGGAUACCAAUAUUAAUGGUAUAUACAAAGUCACUAUCGACCGUGGUAUUGGAGCUUCCGCAAGUGGGACACUGAAUGAUAAUCGGUUAGUUACCGCAGCUGAGGCUUACGAAGUGUAUAAUGACUUUUCUACAUUACAUGGUGGCGAGUUGGAGAUUCUCGAUAAUGAUGCUGCUCCGGUAUUCGAUGAUUUAGCCAAUUUACGAGAUGAUGAGACACAAGUCGAACUGAGUACGACAGGUGAGACUUUGUAUGUCGGGAGUGUUUUUAAGAACAGAAAAGUCAUACAACAAACAAUGUCUUAUCUCGCAAUCAAACAAUGCUUUUGCUACAAGCAACGUAGGUCAUGUCCUACAAGAUUGGAGAUGGUCUACGUUGAUGAUACUUGUCCAUGGCAUUUGACAGCUCAAGUUGUCAAGAAUUCAGAAUGUUUCAAAAUCACAUCGUAUGAUACCACCCAUACGUGUGACAUCGACACUCGUAAGAAUUAUAAUAAACAUGCUAGUUAUAAGCUUCUCGGAGAGGUAGUGAAGAGCAGAUACAGUUCUACGCAAGGGGGUCCGAGAGCUGUCGAUUUACCACAGUUGCUCCUAAAUGAUCUCAAUGUUCGGAUUUCAUAUUCUACCGCUUGGAGAGCUAAAGAGGUUGCAGUGGAAAAUGUAAGGGGGGGUGAUAUAAAAAGUUACAGGUUUUUGCCUACAUAUUUGUAUCUUCUUAAAUUAGCUAAUCCGGGUACGAUAACUCACCUACACUCUACACCUGAAGCUGAUGGUACGCAGUGCUUUAAGUAUGUUUUUGUAUCUCUCGGGGCUUCUAUAAAAGGUCUGAAGUAUAUGAGGAAGGUAAUUAUCGUAGAUGGAACGCAGCUAGUAGGACGUUACAAGGGAUGUCUCCUCAUUGCAUGUGCCCAAGACGGGAACUUCCAAAUAUUUCCAAUAGCGUUUGGUGUUGUGGAUGGUGAGACUGACGCUUCAUGGGUGUGGUUCUUUGAUAAAUUAGCUGACAUUGUUCCAGACAGUGAAGAUUUAAUGAUUGUAUCGGACAGACAUUCUUCAAUAUAUAAAGGCCUCAGUGUGGUUUAUCCGAAAGCUCAUCAUGGUGCAUGUGCAGUACACCUUGAGCGAAAUAUCUCCACCCAUUAUGGUAAGUAUGGUGUAUCUGGAUUAUUCUUCAGCGCUGCUAAAGCUUACAGAGUGAGAGAUUUUGAAAAAUACUUCGAACAGUUAAGGGCUAAGAGUGCUGCAUGCGCAAAUUACUUAGAGGAAAUUGGAUUUGAGCAUUGGACAAGAGCUCACUGUAAAGGGGAACGCUACAAUAUCAUGUCUAGCAACAAUUCGGAGUCUAUGAAUAAUGUCUUAACAAGAGCCAAAUCAUAUCCGAUUGUGUACAUGAUAGAGUUCAUUCGAGAGGUCCUAAUGCGAUGGUUCGCAGCGAGGAGGCAAAAAGUGGCUAGGUGUAAGUCUUUAGUGACGCCUGAGGUUGAUGAGCGUUUUCUCCAAGAUUUGCCUGCGUCAGGGAAAUUUGCGGUUAAGAUGUCUGGACCGUGGAGUUAUCAAGUUACAAGCAAGUCAGGUGAGCAUUUUCAUGUCGUUCUGGACGAGUGUACGUGUACGUGUCUUAGGUACACAAAGUUGAGAAUCCCAUGUGAACACGGUCUAGCAGCUGCAAUCGAGUUUGGAAUAGAUCCGAAGGUUGUUGUAGGAUGGUGGUAUGGACUUCAAACGUUUUCCGAUUCUUUUCAAGAACCGAUUCUACCUAUCGCGGAUCCGAAGGAUGUUGUCAUCCCACAACAUAUAUCGGAUUUGAUACUAAUUCCUCCAUACUGUAGACGACCACCAGGAAGACCAACAACCAAAAGGAUUCCAUCUAGAGGUGAAAACCGGGUAAGUGGUAUCAUUCAAACGUGUACAGAUUUUUCAAACAUUAUGUUUUGAAUAUAAGAUACGUAGAUUAUUAACUUAUUGUUGUUGUCAUUUCAGAAAAAGAGACAGAAAAGACUUAUUCCGAAUCAGUGCACACGAUGUAGACAAGCAGGUCAUAACAAGAAGACUUACAAAAAUCCUAUUUAGUUCUCCUCAUAAGCUUUAUGUCUCCGCGAAGACAGUGUACGUUUAUGUGUGGACAGUGUGUACCAAAGUGUUGUGACGGUGUACGUACGUUUAAUGUUUGCCAUCGUAUAACUAUGUACGUUUUCUGAGUGUACGUUUUUGUUAGUGUACGUGUUUGUUGUGUCUGUGUACGUAUAAUCUUCAUGCAAUAAACGGUUACAAACGGUUACAAACAUUUGUAUCUCAACCGUUGGAACACUUUCGCACUACCCACCGCGUCCGUUACGGAAUUUCCUUAUUUAAGCCACAUCUCCUCCUCAAUUUUAUCCACGUUCCUUCAAACGAAAACCCUUUCACAUUCGGCAGUUACAUCAAUCAAACACAAAGUCUUUCGAUUGUUCUUGCUAACCGUGUGAUGGACGGGUAUCACACCAUCUCUGAAUUGUGUCCUCAGAUCACUGGGUGGACAAUUUGUGUAUUUGUCGUGAGAGUGUUUAAGAAGUUUGUUGCGCCCAACAUCUUCGAACUCGGCCUUAUCUUGGCAGAUAAUUCGGUAGUUUCCCUGUGCCGUGUUUAUGUUUUUUUAUCAUACGUUAGGUUCAAUUCUAUAUAAAUCUGUUAUAUAUCAUAUUCUGUAGGGAUCCCGUUCCCGUAUCGAGGCCACCAUUGAUCGUCGCCUUGCUCCUUUUUACAUAGACCGAAUCAAAGAAAAUGAGUGGAAAAUUGUGACCACUUUCUUGGUCCGUAACGUCGCUGACCCAGUGAGAGCAACAUCUCAUGACUACGGCAUAUGGUUUAUGGAUCGGACCGUUGUUACUAACGCCUUACGAAGGGACCCAAUAUCGUUUUACGAUUUCACUCAAUUCGACUACAUUUUGGAGAAAACAGUUGAUAAGAAAGUUUUAGUCGGUGAGAUGUUUUUUAAGUUACGUUUUAUUUACACAUUUUUGAAAUUAGAAGUUUGUUUCUAUUUUUUGGCCCUUGAUGUAGAUGUCAUUGGAGCGUUGUUGGAGGUUGGCCACUUGACCGGAGACUUCUACGGUCUCAAGCUUCCUUUCAAGAUCAAAGAUAGAUAGUAAAUGUUCUUUUCACAUUUGAUUCACUUACACUUUUUAAUCUAAACGCUGACUUGAUUCUUCUUUUAAUCUAAUGUAGCAACGAAGUUUUGGAAUGCGAAGCACACAAUGAACAGGCGUUGGAAUUCCAAACCUUCUUUCGGAGUCUAGGUCAGCGCAAUGUUGUUGUCGCACUCGUCUUCUGGCGUUUAACCGACAGAGCUAAUCCUAAGGUUGUGAGUCAUGGUCCUGUGUCAAAGGUCUUUGCCGAUCCGGACACACCGGAAGAGGAAGAGAUCAAGCAGGUCGUUUUUUAGAUAGGGGGAUUUGUUUUCCCCAGUCUUCUUAUUAUUAAAGACCAGAUUUAUAUUAAGUAUUGUAAAACUACAUAAACUUGUUGUCGUUUUCUAAUUACUUGAAUUUGUAUAAUAAACUAUUGGGUAAUUGUACGUACAUUUUAUACGUACAGUGUCUACAAUUACAAUUAAUUUGCCAUGUACGUUUUACUCGCUUUUUGGUUCUUCAAUCAGCAAAUUGUACGAAACCCGUGUUCGUACACGAAAACAUACAUAUAUCAUAAUUGUUGUCCUCAAACAACAAAAACUUCAUUCAUUCAUAAUUAAGUGCCCGAAGAAGGACAUACAUUCAAGAAAGACAAACUAUAUAUUAGAUGCGGAAGCAAUAAACUAAAAAGUAGAGCCCGAAGCAUACACAUGAGCCGGAAAAUUGUAUGCCUCAUCCGUCAUUAUCAAAGUCAUAUCUAAUAGAAGACACACAUCUCCCUCGCGUACCAGUAAAAGAAACACCCUCUGCAGCCGGAACUGUACGUGCAAAGGCCAACACAUGCCGGUGUGUGCACAUACAUCCAUGAACGUUGCCAGAGCCGAGGACCUUCGGUGUGAAGCUGGCUUAUGUGAUACAUCACCAUCUCCCCCACUGCGUGAGCUGCCGUUAAUGUGGGUGUCAUCGCCCAGAACAUAUCGCUGACUGGAAGAAAGUCGACAUGGUUGCCAGUACAAGUUAGGAAUAAGCCGGUCGCGAAGCAGGCGAGAGGGUUAGAUGGAGCGACGGAGUUGAGUAGUGUAAUGCCGUGGGCCACCGUUAGGAAGCUGCUUGCAUGGCGGACACCUUCGAGGUAUAUAGCCGGGAUCGCACCCCUUUCCAGCAAGAGGCUGAAGUAGGCCCUAAAGGGAGACUCCGGCUGCACGAAGUGAGGCCAUGUGAUGAAGUCGUCCAUCACUAUUGCGUUUACGUCACUUGCUUCGACCAAGUGGCGGAGGGUCUCGAUGGGAGUCUGGGAUACGGGCAGGUAGUUGAUGAGGACGGAAAUCGGGUUUGGUAAUUGUAUUGCAAGGUACAUCUCGGUUGGAGGGGUUGCGGGGAAAGCCAUGUUGUUAACAAAGGAGGUUUAGAAAUAAUCUUGUAGUUGAUAAAAGAAGGAGGUUUUAGAAUAAUGUGAGCAAAUAAAUUAGUGUGUGUGAUAUCGUUUAUAUAGGGCCUAAAUAUUGAGUUCAUGUAUAUGGCUACAUUUGGGGGGGGAACGCAUUAAUAAAGUGUCAUUAUUUUAAAGUUCCUCUUAUCUGACAAAUGCAAGUGUACAUUAAUUGCAAACCGUGUACGUAAAGUAAGGAGAUUUAGUGCGAAAAGAUAGAGGUCAUUCUAUGAAUAGAGCUUGACAGUAUGCAUUAAAUAACCACUCCAAAACUUGUAGAUAUGGGUUAUUACAGGUCAAAUCAAUCAGCAUUGCAUCAUCAUUUACUACCAUCUCAAAAGUCGCUUCUCAUAUUUCUAGUUUCAAACCAACUAAAAUCGUGUACACAGUAACGUAUACCCGUGUACGUAUGUCUACCCUUAUUACGUUCUCUGACUAAAAGUUUGAGUUAAUGUCUGUCGCCGAAUUAGGGGAAAAUAUUGAGUUCAUGUAUAUGGCUAAAUCUGGGGGAAACGCAUUAAAAACCAAAUCUCUUUCUUUUGCAAUUUCGUUUUAUCUGACAAAAGACAGUGUACAUUAAUUACAGGGAUGUGUACGUAUAUAUGUACAUUAAUUUGCGUUUCUUUUUUUUUUUUUUGAAAAGAUAGAGGUCAUUAUCAAUGGCUAAAUCAGGUCAAUAUGUAUUUACUGAUAAUUCGUAAGCCAGUGUAGACAAGGCACCAUUAUCUAACAUUAAGAAACUUGUUUCUCAAUUUAAUAUAAAAUAUUACAAUUAUUUGUAACCAUUCAUAAGAUUGAGUAGUAUAUGAGAAACAAGCAAGGAUGUAGAUAAAAAGAUAUUCAUUACUGAUAAGCAAAGUACAAUUGCAAAGGCCACAUAUUAUAACAUAAAAACUUAGAAAUUCAGAUAAUAUUACGUAAGAAAUCCCUAGAGAAUUUGACUAAUUCUUCUCGCACACCACCAGAGGUAACAUACGUUGCACACAUUCUUGAAGGGUCCAAAUCUGAUGUAACACAGCAUCGCGCAAGGAGGCGUUUGAAUACCACGUUCCUCAGGGUACGAAAAGGUUGCGCCGUAUGUGUUGUUUAACCUAAUUCCAUAAUUUUUUAUUUCUUCUAGGAGUUCCUCACAUAUGUCACGUGUUUCUUCUGAUUCCAAAGCGUAAUGGUUGUUUGCGAACAGGCGUAGGUACACACCACCCAUGUGAGCAUUCCCGUCGCAUAUGCACAGAAUAGCGCAGGCCAGGGUUGCAUCGGCAUGCCUUGGUACAUUCCGCUGUAAAAGUACAAUGGCGCCCUUAAUGUCAGACUCAUGGGUAACUAGACGCAGUCCUUCAUGGUAAAUAGCAAUCGGGUUACCAGCCUCUAGACACCUUUUGAAAAAGGGUCUAUAUCGACCUUCAGCGUUGAUGUCAUUCGGAUCAUGGCCUGCCGCAUGGAAGUCAUCGGGAUCACUGCACAUUCUAUAAAUAUUAGCAUCUUUCAAGACAUCCGGCCUGUAGACAAUGUUUCUUCCACCACGCCCUGAUCUUAACAGAGGUCCGAGGUACCACCAACAUUUUUCAGCCAUUUUUUUGGCUAUCUUGGCUAGCAAAUCUUCUGGUAGAUUUGGUGUAGACAUUUCUUGGAAUUUGGUGUUUCAAAACAAUGCAAUUCCUACUCUUAAAUAAAGAACAAUGAAGUUAGUUGGUUAAGUUAUGGUUGUAGUUAAUGCAAUCUUACGUAAGUGAUGAUGCAGUGGGGGAGGGUUGUCAAAUCAAUGUAAGUAAAGAAAUAGAUAUCUUAUUAUGAGAAAAAUCGACUUUGUGUAAAAGACGUACGUUAUAUAAGAUGUACGUACACAUGUUGGUUUUUGAAUAAGUGUACGAUGUGCAGAUUGUUUAGAGAAGAUAGUUAUAACGAUUACAUAAAUAUUUUGAGGAUCUCCAUAAUUAAUUACGUUGUUCUAAUUAGGUUGUUGAAAUAAGGAAAUAAGUACUAGGAAAUAAAAAUAAUUCAACAUCCAGGGAUGAUUACAAUAAACGCCGAUUACCACACUCGCGCUUGCCGUGCUCGUAGAUUUCUGUUGCGUACACCUGACGGUAGGUGGCCAUAUCUGCUUCUUGAAUAUUCACCAAGUCUGACAUUGGGUUACCAAACGCCAGCAACUCCAAGAACUUCAUUGCGUAAGGCCCGCAAUCUCCUGUACUUGGGUUUUGAGCGACCAUAACAUUUCUCUCAUAGGCAAAAGGUUCAACUGAGUACUUCGCAGGCAAUACAUCCGCGCACAUCGCUCUCACUAGGUACGGCAUCAUCUCGCAGACAGGCUGCAUCUUUGACCAUGCAACAGACUCCCGCGUGUGUUCUAUGAGAGCGUCAUAGACAACUAUAUUCCGGGCUCUGAGGUGGAUUGCCAACCCAACCCAAUGAUCACCUUUCCAGUUCAUCAGAGCAUAUACCACGUCGACAUCCUUGAACCACCUAAGACUAGGUUCAUGGUGUAUGUGUAUUCCAUUGGCCAUGUCGUAUAGCCGGUCGCCCCAUUUGAACCCAAGCUUAUUUAUACAAUUCCUGAAGCUGACAGCACGCUUAGUAAGCUCAUAAAGCAGGAAGGAGUCCAAAACAACGCAUCGGUUUGCUAUCAUUUGUUGACCGUUCUUGUGCCACAUCAAGAUUGCGAGCAUUUCCAAGACCUGAAUGAUAAUAGCAUAGGCAGUCAGUGUACGUACAAUUCAGGCAUAUUUAAAAAAAUGUACACAAAUGUACUAUUUCAACUUACCAUAUUAUCCACCCACUGUCCUUGUGCUAUAAGCAUGGAGAAAAACUCGUUGUCCACUUUGCGAUACCCGAAAAGAGUGUGCUUCCUGUAUAUCCAAUAUUAUAGUAUGACUGGUUGUUAUAGAAAACCAAUGUAUCAAUUAAGGGAUAAUUUUGAUAAUGCACGAUACUUACACAUUCGGACCGCGGAGGACAUUGGUUAAGAGCUCUAAUUUGGAAGCAUCAACCUUCUCCAAGGGGUUGUAAGGGACAUUUCCAGCCGCUAUAACCACCUCUGAAUCUUCAGCUCGUCCAGGAACAUCCUCCACGAGGACUGUUGUUUCCUUAAAACCUUCCGGAAGGGCUUCAUCCAUCUCAACAAUUAUUUGCUUCUUCACUUUUUUGGGUACAACCGGCGUAGGAAUUUUAACUGCUAUUGCUUCGACUGCAGCAUCGUUGUUUGGUUCAUCCUGUAAAGAAGUAUUAUUGUAAACAGCAUGAUUAAACAAUUUCAAAAUGUAAUGAUAAUAUUUACUGGGAAGAUACUCACAAUAUUUUCCAGUGUACCAACUGUCGUGUCUGCUUCAUCUAACCCUGGGUUUGAAUCCUCUUGUUCUUCCACCCCGUCGACAAUCCCCUGCUGCUGCAACACUCCCUUUUCAAAUUAACGUGCAGAAUUAUUUAAAUGUACGCAUACAAUCCUAUGUACGUAUGUUAAUAACUGUGUAUAAUUUUAAACCAAACACGAGAUUUUUACCUCUUUUACAUUAGCUGCAUCCACAUCCAUGGAGGCUAUCGUUGCCAACUCCUGUAACACCUGCAUAAUAGAAGAUUAUAAAUUUAAACAAGCCUACACUAUUUUAUUUAAAAAUAUAGUUAGCUUACAUUCUUAACUACUGCAAAUGGUGAAGGGGGAUCCCCUAGGGUGCCCUCAAGUACUGAGUCAUCCACUUUACUCUCUGCAACUACAUUGGGUACAUCUCCCGCAUCAACCUGUGGCAGUAGUUAUCAACUUCAUCAGCUAUAUCCUCUAUUUUGUGAUGUCUGAAACAAUCAUUACUUAUACAUACACGGGAAAUAAGAAAGACAAAUGUACGUACACUUACACCGGGUUCCUCGGUGUGUUCAGCCUGAUAAGAUGUAUCUCUAUCAUUAUCCUCAGAAAUUUCUGGUUGCUCCCCAACAUUUGCUUCACUCUCAAGACCGGCACCAUGUUCUUCUCCCUGAAACAAAUAUACCAUACACGUCUUAAGCUUUAUGUGAGUACACAUAUGGAAAACUACAUUUGACUAUUAGCAAACCAUAUACCUGUCCAGAUGUUGCAGGUAAACCUGAUGGAUUUUCUACCAUCUCUGUGUCAGCAGUUGGUUUUUCAUCUGUCCCUCGCUGUGUACCAACUACGACAGGCUCACCACCAUCAAUUGGUUCUUUAUCCUAAAACAUAGUAUACCAUACACUUCUUAAGCUAUAUGUACGUGGAGAACUGAAAAUAAUUGAUACGCGUACACUUAUGGAAAACAGUAUGUGACUAUUAGCACAAGACAUACCUGUACAGAGGUUGAAGGUACAAAAGAUGGAAUUUCUUCCAUCUCUGUGUCAGCACUAGCUUUUUCCUCGGUCCCUGACUGUGUACCAACAAGGACAGACUCACCACCAUCACGUGCUCCUUCAUCCUGAAACAUAGUAUACCAUACACUUCUGAAGCCUAUGUGUACGUACACAACUGGAAAUAAUUGAAAAAAAAUUUGUACACGACAUACCUGAUGGGAAGGUGUAGGUCCACCAACUGAAAUGUUAGCUACUCCAGUGUCAACCAUACCUUCGUCUCUGUUCGAAAAAUCUCCUCCAUCAUUUACAGAAAAACCACCUUCAUUGUUGGCUUCAUCCUGUACCAUAGCAGACAAGUUACAGUUAUUAAUCUUCAUGUACGUACAUUUAAAAUACUAUAUAUAAAUGUACGUACAUGCCAUACCUGGUCAUCUUCCUCAGAGGAAGAGUUACCAUCAGAAAGCUGAGUAAUCUCCGCAACUGACGUCAUUAUAUUCUUCAGCCUUGAAGACUUUCUUGUUCCAGACUUGAAGACUUUCUUUGUAGACAUCUUUUUAGAUGCCUUCGUCACACUCAUCGGUGCCUUAACCACCGAUUUAUUUGGGCCCUGUGAAGCAUGGGAAGUUUUGGUUGGUUCUGUCUUUUUGACCUUUGGAUCUAAGGCAGCACGAAUCUCCUUACGGACAAAUUUCUUCAAGUCUUCUUGCAUUUGUUUAUUUUGUGCUUCCUGCCUCUUGAAACACCUCCUAAGUUCAACUACAAACUUCUCAAACUGGGGAUCUUCAGAACAAUCCUCAGCAGUGUCCUCAUUUUCUUCUUCCACAACAUAUUUCUGUUUUUUCAAAGAAGGUGCAUUCGGGGCUGGUACAUUUCUUUUCCUCUUCUUCACACCUACGAUAGACCAGUUUAAUCAUUGAUUGGUCUUCAAGGGACAAUAAUCAGAAAGUAUAAAACAACAUUUACACUCACGUAUCUCUCCAAGUUGUGGUGGGCGCUCCUGCUUUGGAAAUGCAGCAUUACCUCCAACCCAUUCUUCCUCCUUCCACUCAUGACCAGCUAACAACAGUCGCUCAAUGUAAGCAACUCUUGGAUCCUCAACUUCAUCAUCCCAUGACAGGGAUGAAGGACAAAUAUUGUCCUCUGGUUUCACAAGAUAGGUUACCUCAACCUACACCAAUAAGUUUGUUGACCACUUAGAGAAUGUACACUUACUUUUUAAAUAAUGUACGUACAUAAACAAUUGUACAUACCUCUUCAGCAGCCUCACACUCCAAGAUGCUGGAUGUCCUGAUUGCCCGCAGUGAGGCAAGAUGAUGGAUAGACCUCUGAGUAAAUGUCUUGUUAGCUUCAUCAUCAGGUACUAGCUUAGCAAGGGAUGGGAUUGUUUCGAACGCAAACAGCUGGAGUGCUAAUGGGAAUCCAUGUAGUGCAUAAGACCCAUCCUUUACACACCUUAUCAGUUUUUGAGCAUCUGAAGGGGUUUGGAAUUUUGCUAUCCUCUCCAAAGUACGGGUAAAAGACACCCUUCCCCAAGGGUAUUUGCAGAAGAAUUGCACGUCCUUCGUCAUCUCAACAGUGAACUCAGAAGGCCUUAUGGGGUUAUUAUGGCACCCUAUCACACCAUCUACCAAGAUUAUAAGAGAUAAGGCCAGCUGCUUCCACCCAUCCAUGGUUUCCUCCUCCUUCAGCCAGACCACCAAAUCAUGCACUGUUGGAUUCGGCUUCUCCCCAAACUUCUCCUCAAACAGAGUUUUCCAGACACUUUGACUACCAGCUUUAACCUUUAGCACAUCCGUCACGUCUUUCUUGUUGGGAUAUGUCCCACAUUCUAGACCAGUUACCAGACUAAAUUCUCUUAAUCCGAAUUUUAUUGGAUGACCGCCGAAGACCAUCCACAUCUCAUUCACUUUACUCGUCACUAACUGACGACAUAUUAGUCCAAGAACAAGCUUACCUGAGAAGGAAGACUUGUUAGCACGUAUCCUAAAAAGGUCCCCAAAUGGAGACUCGAGAAGAAACUUCAUCUCCUCUUUUCCCUUAAGAACUUACGCUAUGUCAGAAAGGUACUCCGGUUUGGAGUACGCGUUCAUCUUCGUCUUCACAGGGUACCGGUCUAGGGCAAAGAGUCUAGGUGGUAACUCUUCAACUAUAAGAUCUUCAGUCGGAGCCACGCUUGUACUGCCUGCAAUUACAAGUAAUAUACAAUUAAGUAAGGAUGUAAACAAUACAAAUUCGUGUACGUACACAGUAAUUAUCAACAUUAUAUACUCAACAUCUGAAUUUUGGCGGAAAAAGAGAUUUCCAAUUCAUCUUCAAAUUUUCAAACUACAGAUUUAGCAAAAUCCGGCAACUUCUAUCCCUUUAAUCAAACAAGCUUUAAGAUUCCGAUACACCCAAAGAAACUACAAACAAAAUAAUAUCAGAACUUACUCAAUUCCUCCGGCGGCUUUGUCGGAGAGAGUUUCCUCCUCGGGGAUACUCUGAGUACCCGCUUCUCCUUCUCGGGGCCUUCCCGCGUAUGCUGCUUCCUCGGUACUUCGUCGUUUUGUUUAUUCCCAGCCAUCUCGAAGGUUUCUAUCUCGCCGGAGGUUUCUCAGGUCGUCUUCGCCAGAAAAACUUCAACUUUCUAUUCGCCGGUUUUUGGAGUUCAAUGCGAUGCCUCAAAUCAAGUAUCCAACAAUUCGAACGGUGAUGUCGAAAAACGAAGAUGGAUGAAUGAAUUUCGAACUGAUUUCAACUUCUCUCGAAUCUCUCUGUCUCUCUCUCCUUCUUCUUCUUCGUUUUCUUCGACAGUUUUUUUUUUUUUUUUUUUUUUUUAAACCGCAACAAAAAUCAAAAGAAACUAAACCGGUCAGUAACUGUGCGGUUUGGUUUAAUUUGUUAGGGGCAUUUUCUUCAAAAAAUGUUGUAACUGUCAAAACAUGAGAAUGAAAUCUCACUUUGCCAAACUGUGAGACAAAAUCUUUUUUCCAACCCAAACGUGAAAAUUUUAUGUAAGAAGUUCAUUACAAUUUGUUCAAAAAUAUAAUACAAAAAUGCAUCAAUUUAAUGUGGUUGUUAAUUGUGUAGAUAAACUGUGUUCUUUGACAGUAGACAUGAUACGAUUCCUGAAUUAAUAAAAUUUAAAUAUCUUCCCAUGGUGGUUAAUUUCUUUCAAUUAUUACGUGGAUUUAUGUUAGAAAUAUUAUUUUAUUUAUAAACCCUUUAAUUUAUAAAUGCCAAAUGACUCAAUAAAGAGAAAAUGAAACCCUUAUUAUAUAUAUACUAUUUAAUCCGCGGUAUACCACAAAAUAAUUUUGUUUUUUUUAUAUAUAAUCACAGUUUAAUCAACAUAAUUUGAUAUGUUUAGUAUUCUAUUGAUGGUGUUAACAAAAUAAUGAAAUGAUGAUUUACCCAUGUUGGAGCAUCGAGUCAAUCAUUUUUUAACCGUCCCGUCAUAUAACCCCGUCCCGUGAUGUUUUAUUUUUUUUAGAAAUUUAAAUUUAUAUAUCGGGAUAGUUUAAUGGUUCGACUAAAGACCGAAUUAAACCGGAGACAAACUUUUUAAUAUAGAUUUGUUAAGUUAACUUCAUGUUUAUUCAGAUUUAGAUUAUUUUGGUCUUAUUUAUAAUAUGACUCUGAACUAUUGUCUAAAAAUUUUAGCCAAUGUGGGACGUUAAUACUUGAACACAUAAUUUUUUAUCAUUACUUGAGUAAUACAUGUCCUUUUUCACACUUCGAAUCACGAUAAAUGCAGAAAAAUAAUCUAAAGAUUUAUUUGUUUUAUGUAUUAUAUGAUGAUUCAAAGCAAGUAAAUAAAAUAUCAAACAAAGAUGAUAGGUGAAUCAUAAUUUUUUAAAUCUUAACAAAAUCUUCCAAAUAUCUAUAAAGAACAUUAUAUGGAUAUUUCAUAUUUUAUAAUUAAAACUAAAUUUUUUUUAUCGUGUUUGGUUAUAUGGAUAGUAGAGAUAUUGUAAAAGUUUGUUUGGAUGCUUGUAUAUUUGUAUUUUUAUAUUACCAAAUUACUCUUAAUGAGCUUCUUAAAUUAUUUUUUAAUACAAUUACAUUCUUUGUAAAUACUUAUUAAAACAAAGAAUUGUUCUCAAAAUAUACUUCGAAAAUGUUAUAUAGAUGAUUGAUUUGUGCCUAUUAUGGGUUAUUAAACCGAACAUAACAUGAUUUGAUUCGACUUCUAUUCAGUUUCCUUUAUUUCCUUUGGUGUCACAAUAAAAAAUAUCAACCAAGAACACAUUACAGAAUCAUAUUUUUUUCUUCUAAUAGAUUGAUAUAUUUUAAUUUAUUCUAUGUUUUAGCCAUGAAUUUAUUUAAUAUAGAGGUUCAACAAGUACCUUUUACAUGUUUUUUUGAAGAGAGAGAGGGAAAAAUGGGUAGAAAAACCCUCACUUUUCCUAAAAACAUAUUAAAAACCCUCAACUUUUUUUAUGGGUUUUUAAACCCUCACCUUUUCAUAAGUGGUAAAAUAAACCCUAAUAUUAAUAAACUCAACUUAAAUUUUAAAAAAUCGUUAUAUUAAAACAACAAUAAACGAAAACAAUUUAAUUUAUGAUUUAUUCUUUUCAAAUUCGAGUUUGCUAUUUUUUUUUCUAAAAUUAAGGUUUUUGCGAUAUAAAAAUUCAUUCACAUAUAGUUUUUUUGGUAGGCAAUUUAUUCACAUAUAGUUGAGAUUGGAUAAAUCAAUUUUGUUACAAUUAAAAUUUAUGUUAUGUAAACUACAAAAAUUUAUAGGAUAGCACAUUUGAUUGUUUUGGUUUGUUCGAGUUUUUCAGCUUUUGAUUUAAGAAAUAUUCAAAAUUAUAACAAAAUUCAGAUUCAGUUGGAGGUUAGUUAAAUAAUGAUUAACUAAAUUUAAUUUAAAUUAUAAUUUAAAUAUAUCAUAAUUUACAUAGAAUUAUUAACUGCUAAUAAAUGUUUAUUUAGUUUAUUUUGUCCGAUGAAAAUAUUUUCACGUGGAAAUUCUUGUACUUUUCGUAGUAUUAUAAAAUUUGCUUUGGUUUCAUGUUAGCAAUUUGUGUGAUCGAACCUAAUAAAUAUUUAUUAACAUAAAUUCAUAUUCAGUUCGGUAUAAGAAUGUAUAUAUCACUCGUAACAAAAUUUGUUUAGUUUCACGUUGAUGAAUUUUUGUAAUACAACCGAAUAAAAGUUCAUUAAUUAACUUUUUUACAUCAUGAUUUAAAAAAAAAUUUAAUUUAGAAAAAGAUUGUAAACUAGAAUUUUAUAAGAAAAAAUCCUAAAUCAAAUUUUUUAUAUUUAUUUGUAUUUUAAUAUAACGAUUUCUUUGAAUUUAAGUUGAGUGUUUUAAUAAUAGGGUUUAUAUUACCAUUAUGAAAAGGUGGGGAUUUAAAAACCCACAAAAAAAAGUUGAGGGUUUUUUAUAUGUUUUUAAGAAAGGUGAGGAUUUUUUUACCCAUUUUUCCGAGAGAGAGCGUCAUCUAUCUUUCAAUCAAUUUUUCUUUAAGUAAAACAUAACCUUUUAAUGUAGACAUUACUUUAUUAUAUAUAUACUCUCUCCGUCACAAAAAGUGUCACUUUGUAUUUCCAAAACAAAAUUUUAAACCAAAUCUAAUAUUAACCCUACUAUUUUGAUUUAUUAAUUAGAAAAAGAAAUAUUUUUAGUGUAUUAGUGAAGGACAAAAGAGAAAUUUCUUUAUUUUUCUUAAUAUUUGUGAAAAUGGAUCGAAUAACACUUUUUAUGAAACAAAGCGAGUGAGAAGUAUGUGUGCAAUUUGCAUGCAUUUUUUGUACAAACGAAGCAUUAAUAUUGCUACAAGAAUUUUGUCUUGGUUCAUCCGAGAGAUCUUAGAUUAGUUUUGCUUGGUCCUUUCACAUAUCAUACAAAAUAAAUCAUUAUUCUUUAAUUCAAGAACUUGCUAUUUUGAUUCUUUUUCACGUAGUUUUUUUUGGAAAGCUUAGUUUUUUGGUGUUCUAAUGGGGAUCGAACCAUGUGGAAUUGGUGUUUUGCAUGAUGAUUAUUUGUUAGCUCACAAAUUGUUUACACCAAAAAAAAAAAAAAAAAAAAAAAGUUAAAGAAACAUGAUUGUCACUCAAUCAUGAAUUUAAAAUUAUUUCUCUAUGUUUUAUAAUCUUCAUGAUUUCCAACUCUCUCCUUACCUCUAACAGACUCUUCUAAGUUAAGUGAGAAAAUUUGUCUAACUCAAUUUCAACGAGAACAAGCGAGAGAAUGUGUGUAUAUCUAACAACAUGAACAACAGAUCUUCUUUCUGCUCUCAUCGCUUUUCAUUUUCAUCGCAGUGACUCAAACAUUUAAUUUACUUUAUUUCAAGUCAAAACUUUUCGCAUUAGCUUUUUUUUUUUUUGUAGAUCAAAAAAUGUAUGCUAAGCAAGAGUUUCCUAAAGAGGAAAUACGUACCUUAUGUGUGUUUGAUGUGAGUUUUUUCAAGGAAGCUAUGGCAAGCUUUGAAGACAUAAAAGCACCUAAACCAAAUCAUUAGCACAAUUCUCUUGCAUACCGGUAUAAAAUCCUAAAAUAAUCCGACCGGAUAACGAUUUACCCGUUGUUGGUGGGUUUGUUCGGUUUUACCUGUGCAGAAUAUCAAUCUAAAGACAUAGAAUAAAUUGAUUUUCAUCGGGUUCACAAAGGUUGUAAAUCUAAAUACAUAUGUUAUUUUGAGAAUAAUAUAUAUCGUUCAUACGUAAUUAAUUAAGAUACAAAGUUACAAACGAAUUCGCAGGGAUUUGUAUUAAAUACCAUUUUAAAAACAUUGUUAUUCAUACCAACUCCUCUAAUCAUGCUUAAAAGCUUAACUAUCUUAGAAUCUAACGAAUUAUAUGAUAAUACUAAAAAAAAAUGCUACGGAACUGGCUUUGCAUUACAUAUUUUUAGACGCUUUAUCUUCACCUUGGUAUGUUUGACUUCCUCCCGUAGUGGCUCCUCAACUCAACCACACUAUUCACAAUAUCAUCUCAUUGUUACAAAAAUAAUUGAACGAUCAAUAAUAAUCUUUCUUGGAUGAUUAGGAUUUAUGACAAAAAUCCACGUUAAAACAAACAAAAGAAAACCCCAUUGGUAUUAAUAAAAAUGCAUAAUGUAACUUAAUGCUAUUUAGCUUCUAAUGUUCCGCAAGGUAAAAGAAAAGGGAAUCAAAUCUAUUCACUACACAAAAUCCCAUCACGACAAACUCCAACUAAAAUUCAGACACGUAUUUGUACUUAAAACUUCCAUCUUUAUAUUCUAUUGACGACUCUUAAUUAACUACUUCAUCUUAUCUCCAAUAACAGCUUCUAAUGCAGAAUUGCUUCAAGCUGAGUUUAUUGGUGCCCCAAGACCCUAAGAAGGUUAAAAUAAUGUUGCAGUUUUGAUGUCUUGAACAGACGGAACACCUCAUACCGUUAAAGAUCCACAUAACAUCCUCACAGUUAUGAACUACUGGACUUGCAAAAUUUAUGUACCUCAGGGUUUUGAUUCUCAACUACCAAAUUCAUCCUGUGAGAGCCUACACUUUUAUGGUGCAUCAAUACUAUGGUGCACGUCCUAUAUAGUAAGAUCAACUUUUAAACAAUUGAUGUGACAUGUGAGACUUCACAUUAUGCUCUAUAAUCUACGAUUGUGGACGAUUUAAAUAUUUAAUAUAGAUUUAAUAUAUCUAAUAAUGACCGAAGAAAAUCACAACAAUAGAACUUUUAUUACACAUAAAUAAAUAUACUAAUUUGUUUUUUAUAUAUUACUAGAUUAGGUCCCGCGUAUACGCGGGAUUUGUAAUUAAAACUUUUUAUAACCCGUGUGAAAAAAUCAAAAGCCAAAAAAAUGUGGAAAACAAAAGGAGAUGAGAUGUGAAAAUAAAUCAGAAAAUUAUUAUUUUAAUAAUCCUAAAUUUUUUACUAAUUUUUUCCAAUGAAAUUUAGUAAUUUACUCACAUAUGUUCAAAUAUUUCUGUUUUUUUAUUCUUAUUCCUAUUUUGAAUGAAAUUUAAUAAUUGUUUUUUUAAAAAAAAAAAUUGAUCGGUUGAUUAUCUUAUUCUUAUUUCACUUAAACCUAUUAUUUUACCAUGCGAAUUUUGAAAAUUUUUUGCUCAUUUUAUUUUUGAUGAUAACUAUUUUCUGUAAAUUGGAAGUAAAAACAAUUGAAAUUAGAAGAAAACUUAUUAAUCAUAAAAAUCUAAAAGAAUUUGAUAUAUGCAUGGUCUUGAUCAAGAAUAAUAAAUCUUCAACAUUUUCGUUUGCAAACAUAUGGUUGUGGUCUUACUUACUUGUUUAUAGAAACAGACGUGGUCAAAUAUUUACAGACUUUGAGAAUUAAAUAAAGAUAAAACAUAAAUAAAAGAACGUUCUCGUCAUCAUGAGUCAUGACAUACCCCAUAGGAAAAAAAAAACUAUAGAGUUAUAGUGUAUCUUUACUCUAUAAUUUGAGACGAUCUCAUAAAAAAUAUAUUUUUAAAAUAAAAAAAUAAAGAGAAGAUUUACCAAUAGAACGAAGUUGAAGCAGUGGUGGUGUUUUGUUUGAUGAAAAAAAUAUGAAACAACUUAUAUAGAGGUGAAUAUUUACAAUUUUUAUUUCCUCUAGGAUUAAUUAUUAAUUAUAUAAUUUCCAACUAUUGAAGUUCAUAGUUUUAAAGAAAAAAAAUCCUUUUUCUUUUAGAAUUAGUAAUUUCUAAGAUUUUGUUUUGUUAUCGAUUACGUUAUCAUUAGAAAUAUUUGUAUGAUUUCCUUAUAAUUAUUUUACUGUAUUAAUAAUUAAUUGUAGAAUUUCUUUAAUUAUAGAAGUAUAUUUUUUAAGAUACAUUAUUGUUAGUAAGACAUUGUAUAAUUUUCUUAUAAUAAUGAUAUUGUAUAAUUUCCUUAUUAUAUUAUCUUUAACAUUUUUGAAACUUAUUUAAUUUUAUAAGUGUUUUCUUUUUAUUUUGACACGUGUCAAAUUCUUAUCAAUAUAUUUGACACGUGUCACGAUCACAUGAGUUACUAACUUUGAAACCAAACUUUAUAAUUUUAUAACUGGGACUUAACCCGUGCUACAGCACGGAUAUAUGUUUAAUUUUUAAAAACUUUUAAUGUAGAGUUUUUGUAAAUAUAAAAUUUAGUUUUAAGAUUGUAAAAUUGUUUGUAAGUUUGUUUUGUUUAGUGUUUAAAAUUUUAUAAUUGUAUUUUGAUUGUUAAUUCUAGGAUUUCACCCGCAGUAUACCUUCCCAUAUUUAUAUCGACCCAAACUCGUCCCGUCACAUAAGUCCGUCCUGUGAUAUUUUAGUUUUUUAAAAUUUUUAUAUACUUUAAAAGUUUUAUAAAGUUUAGAUAUUUAUAAUGUUUAAACUUCUUAUAAAAUAUUUAUAAUAUUUAAACUUCAUAUAAAUAUAAAUAAUUAAAUAUUUAUAAUAUUUAAAUUUUUAUAAGUUUAAAUAUUUAUAAUAUUUUAAACCUUUUGAAAAGUUUAAAUUUUUUAAAUUAAAGCAAAGAAUCGGAAUAAACCGAAUAAAACUUGUAAAUUUAGACGUCUGAUAAAUCAACCACCCUGCUCAUUCUUAUUCGGAGUCAUGUUUGUCCUUUUUAUAGUAUGACUCUUAACCAUUGCAAAACAAUUUAGGCGAUGUGGGACAUUGUACACCUAUUUUUUUCGAUUGAGUAAUAUAUGUCCGUUUUUAAAAUUUUGAAUCACAUCAUACGCAGAAAAAAAUCUAUAAUUUUAUUAACUAUAUGUAUUUUAUAAUAAUUUAAAUAUAAGAUCAAAUAAAAGUGAAAGUAUAAUCAUAUAUGUUUAUGUUUAAAUUAGGUAAACAAAUUUUAGGAAAUUAGCUUAAAUAUGUUAUAUUAGAAUUAGGAAAUCUAAAAGAUACAGUCAAUCAUGUUUGGAAAGCGGGUUUUCUUAACCAUGGUUGGAAUAGGAUUAAAUUUAAAGAUGUUGUUAGGCUACAUUGUCGUACAUAAUUGCCCUUAAUGAAUGUUUAUUAUGUGUCUUUGGCUAGUGGCAUUUGCUGUAAAUACUUCAAAUUUUUUGGAUAUGUUCAUAUGAGUACUUCAAAAAUACUAUAGUAGAUUGUUUUCUUUUUUGACACGUGUCAAAAUCUUAUCAAUAUAUUUGACACGUGUCACGAUCACAUGAGUUACUAACUUUAAAACCAAACUUUAUAUAAUAAGAUUAGGCAAAAAGAAAAAUCCUCCGAGGAAAAAAAUGAUGAAGAAGUCGUAGGAGUUACUAACUAUAAUUUUUGGGGGUGUUAUUAGUUUAUGAUUUACAUGGAGUUUUAAUGACUUAAAAUGUUAUGAAGAAUCUUUUGUUAUUCAAUUAAGAUUGUUUAAAAGUCUUUUGAAGUUUGGUGUUAUUGGUUUAUAAUUUAUCAAAAAUAAUCUAAAAUCUUUAUAAAUUUGGUGUUAUUGGAUUCAUACUUUUAUAAAGUCAAUAAAAUUUUUUUAUUAAUCAAUUAAAACAAAAGUAUCUCGGAUUUUUCAAGAAUUAAAUUAUUAUGUUAUUGGUUUAAAAUUUGUAACAUUUUUCUUCAUAAAAUGAAAUCAUGGAAAAUAUCAUUGAAAUAGAGAUUUGUCAAAAUAUCAACUUAACCAAGGUAGAGCUAAUUUAUGUGGCAACUUUUAUUCACGUAGAGGUUGAGACGUAGCGGAAGUGGUGGUUAUCACCGGUGGAUCUGUUCACACAUCUUAUGGUUGUGGUCUAUGGUGAUGAAGGAGCAUAGAUAGACCAGAUCAUAGAAGAGGAAGGAGAAGUAGAGAAAAACAAAAAAAAAAAGAAGGAAAAGAAGUGCAGUUCCAGUAGUCUUUUUUGGAGGCUCACCGGCGCUGGAGGAGAUGGAGGCUAAAAAAAAUAAAGGCACCGUCAUGACCACCACCAACCCAAGAGUCCACGGCAACUAACGGUUUGUCAAUCGGAGUUAAGAUCCGAAAGUUAUUCGCGUUGCUUUUUGGCCAAGAAACAGAAAUUGUGAAAAACUUGCAACAUCAUCUGCAUCUAUUGAAAAAUAUUGCUGGAAGAAAAUUACUGGAACUGAUGCAUCAAUUAAAACUAGUAACAUGCUAAGAAAUAAUUUAAUAACAAUGUUUAGAACAAAAGAUUAAUCCAACAGAUGAAAAGUAAGAUUCCACAAAAUAUUGAAAAUAAAAAUUUCAGGAUCUUCAUUGCAUACUCCCUGCUCCUGUAGCUUCUGCCCACAUAUUAGCAGCUAUUGUGUCUCCAAUUAUUAGCAUAUUCUCUUUGUUGCGAUUGGAGAGUCUCCGUAUCUCGAUUUUCCUCAAAAUUGUUAUUCUCGUUAUUCUCAUUGUAUGCUUCGUUGUUUGCACUGUUUUUUCAGGAGAAACUCAUCGGACCGACAUUCUUUACGAAGAAAGUUAUGUAAUCCAACACAAGCUAAUACAAGUUCUGCUUGAACAUUAAAAGGAAAAGGCGGUGCUGAUUUAAAAAUCUGAAAACAAGAUUUGAAGAUACCAAAAAUUAUCUUGAUCACAUUUCUCAAAGAUGCAUGAUGCAAGUUGAACAACUCAUUUUGAUUACUAGGAUCACGACCUUGACCUCUAAAAUCUUGUAGAACUUGGUACCUCUGAAUGGAGUUAAAAAAUUACGCCGAUUUGCAAAUCCAUAAUCAACUAAAUAAAGUUUUCUUGAAAUUCAUAUAUGAUAACAUUAUUAAUAGUUAUAUUAACAAAAAGAAUAAAAUAAAAAAUUAAAAAAAAAUAAAAAAAAUAUAAUAUGUAAUGCAUAUGAUGUGCUGUAAAUUUCAGCUCAAGGUUUUACCUUAGAUGACACACGAUACUACAAGUGCACAGUGAAUCGGUUGUGUAUUUAAGGAUCGAUCCCACAGAGAGUGAAUAACUACGCGAAUGAAUCCUGAAAAGAAAUCCAACUAAGAAAAACGAUUAAGGGGUUUUGGUUUGUUGUCACGUUGAAAACGAAAUAAGCAAAUAAAAUGAAGUUGUAAAUCAAUAAGAGAAAGGCGCUGGGCAUUAGGGAUUAUCUCAGGGUUUUCAUGGUUCUCUACAAAUCAAAUUAGAAGAUUAAUUAAUAAAUGUUGUCUACUAGAUUCCCGACUCAAAGCACUGGUAGUACACUUGAUCCUCUUUCGAGAAACCAAAUGUCUAAACCUCUAUACUCCGUUACUCAACUUUCGCAGGCAAUGACGCAUAGAGAUCAGCAGUUUUAACAAGUUUGAUAGGUCCACGACACUCCAUAACUCAACUUUCGCAGGUUAUGGCGCGAAGCUCUCGCAACCCUAGAUCUGAGAUCAAGUCACGCGGUUAGCGCUUCCCUCUCCCUGAGAUCAGAUACUCGUGAUCAAUCAAGUAUCAUGCAUUAAGAAUAAGAAGUCCAAGAGGAAUCAUAAAUAUAAAGUAAAAAAUCAGAUCUAACAACCUAACUAGUUUUGAACCAUGAAUCCCCUUUGAAUCACCCCAUCAAACCCAACAAAAAGAACUACUCGCUCAUGAUGCAAAGAAACGAAAUCAUAUUGAAUUGAAACAACAUAAUAAACGAUUCAAUAAUCAAAAAGGGUUCAAAGAAAACUUCUCUAAAUGUCACAGAAGAGAUCUUGUAUCCAAAAGCAAGAAAGAGUAGAAUAGAUGAAAGAAACAAUGAAGAACAGAUGAGAUCUUCAAAGGAUGGCUUCAGGAGAAGAGAGGCGGCGUCGGAUCUGGAGGAGAAGAGAGGCGGCUCUAGGGUUCUGAAGAAGGACGUGUGAGGCACUCUGAAGCAUACCCUAACCCUAGGCAAGAGCCUGUAUUUAUAGGCUUAGGGCUCGGGAAAUUGGAUUAGGGCUUCCGGGAUCAAAACUACGCCGUUUUGAUUAAUGAGGGUCGAAUUUGUCUGGACCGGUCACGUGAGCUGUGACCGGUGGUGGUGAAGGUCUGGCCGUCUGGGACCGAUCACGGCCUCUCUGGCCGGUCUGGGAGCAGCUCCACGAUCGGUCUCGUCUCUUCUGGCCGGUCUGCGACAGGCUUCAGUAGAUUGGGCGUGAAAAACAAUUGGCUCAUUGUAUCGACCUAAUUCCACUUCGACAUGAUUCUUGACUCCUUCAGCUUUCCAUAGAGACCAAGAACACUCAAUUUCAUGUACGGGAAGGUCUUCAACGAUGGCCAAACUUCUGAUGGUACGAAACUGUCCAGAAACGGGGUUUUGCUCGUCUUUUACUCCUUUUUGCCUGAAAACUCUCAAAAGCUUCUGGAAGCUUAAAUACUUGGAAAUGACCUUGAAGAUUCUCAAAACACCUGAAUUCUUCGUGAAAUACCUAUCAAAAACAUGCUUAAAAUGGGCCAAUAUAUGAUGUUAUCAGCAUAUGUAUAUACCUUCGGGAACAAGUAGCUUGCUCGCACUUCUCAUUAGAGCAUCACUUGAUACUUUUGAAUCGUGAGCUGUACCUUCCCAUCCACUAAGGACAUAUAUAAAUUCUAGAUCAAAGUUACAAGCAGCAAUAACAUUUUGUGAUGUAUAUCCUUUCCGAUUACGAUAGCUUGGUGCAUUAGAAGCAGGCACCAUUGCAUGAAUGUGUGUACCGUCAAUUACUCCAACGCAAUCCAGUAAAAAUCAUGAAUAUUUAAAUUGUUUUGAAGUGUACCUUGAAUAGAUUUCUUAGUAACCAUACCUUGAAAUAAGCAUAAUAGCUUGUGUUUUCUCUGAUUUUUGCAGGAACUGUGAGUCCAGGUUUGGCCAUCAUAUAUACUUGGUGCAAUAGUGUUUAGGAGUUACACAUCCCCUACAAGAUUAGAACCCGUGCUAAAACACAGGGUUGAACUUUUUAAAAGAUAAUUUUGUAAUCUUGAAGAUGGAACUACAUUAUGAAAACAACUUUGAAAAUUGUAAACAUUAUCAAUGAAAUGUCAUUAGAAAUAUAGGUUUCAAAGAACAAAUUAAUGAUAGUCAUUAAAGAUAAAAAUGUCAAAUACUAAUUUAUACAAUUUAAUUAAUUUAUAAAAAACGAAAAUACAUUAUUAAUUUUUAAAAUUUUGAAUAACCAAUCAAAAAGAACAUUUAAGAUUUGAUAUCUAACUUACCAUAUUAAUUUGUUAUUAAUCAUUAGACUUCACCUCUCAUAUUUAUAUGAUUUAAUAUUUGUGAAACAAAUAAAUUAUCAUAUCAUGUAUAUAAUAAAAAAUAUAGAUUUUUUUUUCCGCAUAUGGCAUGAUUUGAAUUUUUUAAAACGAAUAUAAAUGUAAAUUUUUCAAUCUGAAAAUAAAAAAUUAUAACGGGUCAAAAUUGUGAAUGAUCAAUAUAUUUUUUUAAAAUAAAAAUAUAUCUCUUUAUUAUUAAAACGGAAGUUCAAGAAAAAGCAAACUUCAUUAAGUGUAAACAAUCACAUCUUAAUGCCAUUAGAAAAAAAAUAAUCAAAAAAUAUAAGUUGAUUGCUUAAGGUUAAAUUAGUCAUUAACAUACAUCUUCUAAUUAAUGAAUUACACGCAUGUCCAUGGAUGAAAUAAAAAAAACUCGGAUCCAGGUAAAAUAAGUUUUGCCAAUCCUAUCUAUAACAAAUAUAAAUACAGAAAUUAAAAACUAUAGUAUACUAUUAGUUGAUGUAAAUAUGUUUUUUUUUUAUUCAUUCACCGGGAAACAAAUGUUUCCCGUAUUUUAUCAAGAAAAGUAAAUAAACGUCAUUACACACGGAUUAGCCUUGGUCGUGUUGACCCAAGGCUAUCCUCUCUGAAUAUUGAAUCCAAAGUAAUCGGAACAGAAUCAAAUGAAUGAAAACCUAAAGAAAGCGAAAACGCAUAGUUAGCUAAUCCAUCUGCAAGACGGUUAGCUUCCCUAUACACGUGAGAAAUCCGGACAAUCCAGUCCUUCGAUAAAAGGCCGUGGCAUAGUCGUACCAGGAAUGACAGCGGAUGUUGAUGUAAAUAUGUUGCAUCAACAAUUAGUUUUAAAACACAUAUUAUACAACAAUAUAAAUAACUAAACAUAUUUUCUUCAAGAGUGAAUAUAUAUUUAAUUUCUAAUCUACAUAAAUCUAACAUUUAUUUCAGAUUAUCCAUAUUAGUUUUAGAUUCUUUUUUUGUAAACUAACAUUUAUUUCAGAUUUUCUAAAAUAUAGAUAUUUAAAAGACUUUGUCAAGAUUUAAAAUUAUGAUUUUCUUAUCAUCUUUGUUUGAUUUUAUUUUUGAUUGUUUUGAAUCAUCAUCUAUAUAGUUUUUUAAAAGUCAUUUUGGAUUCCAAACACCUUUAUUCUAAUUAAUCUAUAUAACAUUUUUGAAGUACAUUUUGAAGAAAAGUCUUCGUUUUAAUAAGUACUUACAAAGAAUGUCAUUGUAUUUAAGAACAAUUUAAGAACCUCAUUAAGGGUAAUUUAGAAAUAUAAAAAAAUUAUAUACAUACAUCCAAACAAACUUCUACAAUUUCUCUACUAUCAAUAUAAUCAAACACAGUUAAACGAUUUUAAUUUUAAUUAUAAAAUCUGAAAUAUCCAUAUAAUAUUUUUUAUAGAUAUUUAGAAGAUUUUUUUAAGUUUAAAAUUAUGAUUCACUUAUCAUCUUUGUUUGAUAUUUUUUACUUUAUUUGAAUAAUCAUAUAAUACAUAAAAUAAAUAAAAAAAUAUAUUUUUUAUAUUUUUCGUGAUUCGAAUUGUGAAAAAUAGACAUGUAUUACUCAAUUAAUGAUGAAAAAUUGUGUUCAACGUCCCACUUAGGCUAAAAUUUUUAGACAAUAAUUCAGAAUCAAAUUAAAAAUAAGACCAAAAUGAUAUAAAUCUGAAUUAACAUAAAACUUAACUUAACGAACAUCUAUAUUAAAAAGUUUAUUUCCGGUUUAACUCGGUUUUUUAGUCAAACCGUUUAACUAUACCAUAUAUAUCUUCCUUUUUAAAAGGAGCUAACGAUACGAUGUUCAAGAUUUGCCAGAAGCCUUUUGGAGAGAGAAAGUUCGAAGAUCUGGCAAACUUUCAAAAUUUUAAAAUAUUAUGAAUACUUUACACUUCUAAAAAGUUUAAAAUAUCACGGGACGGAGAUAUAUGGCGAGACAGGUUUAAAAUAUUAUUGACUCGAUGUUGUAACACGGGUAAAUCAUCAUUUCUUUAUUUUCUUAUCACAUCAAUAAAAUACUAAACAUAUUAAAUUAAGUUGAUUAAAUUAUUAUUAUAUAAAAAAUAAAUUAUUCCGUGGUAUACCGCGGGUUAAAUUCUAGUUUAUAGGUAUUUUUAUAAACAAAUAUAAUAUUAAUAUUAUCCAUAUUAAUUAUUGCUAUUUUCUUUUGUGAAUUUACAUAUUUUUUUUCUUCUGUCAAGAUUUAAAAUUACGAAUCUCAUAUCUUCUUUGGUUGAUUUUAAUUUUAAUUGUUUUGAAUCAUCAUAUAAUACAUAAAAAUAAUAAAAAUCUAAAUUUUAUUCUGCAUAUAUUGUGAUUCGAAUUUUAUAAAACAGAUAUAUAUUACUCAAUUAAUAUAAAAAUGUAUGUUCAAUAUUCUAAAUCGGCUAAAAUAAUUAUAUUAUGAUUCAAUUUCAUAUUAUAAAUAAAAUCAAAAUGAGUCCAUAUCAGAAUAAGAAAGAAGUUUCACUUAAUAAGCAUCAAAAUUUAAAUUUUGUAUAUGGUUUAAUUCGAUUUUUUAUUGGAAAUAUUUAAUUUUACCGUAUUAUAAAAUUUUAAACUUUUAAUAAGUUUUAAAUAUUUGAUAUAUCUAAACUUAAUAAAAACUUUUAAAGUAUGAAUAUUUAAACAUAUUAAAAGUUUAAAAUACCAUGACCAGGUUAUAUUGCAAGACGGGUUAUAUGACGGGACGGGUAAUUAGAAUCGAUAUUACUAAAAUGUUAAAAUCUCAUUAAUAUGAUAUUUCAAUACGGGUUAAAUCCUCAUUUCACUAUUAUUAACAAUAUCAAUAUAAGACAUGUCAAAUCAAACUGAUUUAAUUAAUUAUGUACAGCAAAAAUUGUUCCACGGUAUACAGCUGGUUAAAUUCUAGAAUUAACAAUCAACAUACAAUUGUACAAUCUUAAAAACUAAACAAAACAAACAAAAUUAACAAACAUAUACAACUUUGUUGUGAAACUUAUUGUUAUCUUAUUCCAUUCCAUGAAUAACGAUACAUAUAUAUAGGCAUAUAAACCUAGGGUUUUAGAAUACAUAAUGAAUAACCCUGAUGGGCUUAUUGGGCCCGGUUAUAAGUCCAAUAUGAUGUAUUAUAACAAACUUAAAAUUUAAAUGUUUUAGAUAAAAGAAUUGUCUCGCGAUGUACCGCGGGUUAAUAUCUAUAUUAUUAUUUUUGAAGUAUAUUUUGACCAUAAUACUUAUUGGGUCAGUUUUAUUUUGAUCAGAAUACUUUAGUCGGAUCUAACUCAAAUAUUUGUUAAGAUUUAAUUAACAUUUUUCCUAAAAUAUCUCUACAUUUAUGAUUUUGGUAAAAUUUAAAAAAAAUAUCCAUAUAAUGUUCUACAAUUAAUAGUAUAGAUAUUUAGAAGAUUUUGUUAAUAUUUUAAAAUUAUGAUUCUCCUAUUUUCUUUGUUAAAUAUAUAUUUUUGUUUGCUUUGAAUAACCAUAUAAUACAUAAAAUUAAUGCAACUAUAAAAAAAUUAUGCAUUUGUCGUGAUUUGAAUUUAGAAAAACGGACAUGUAUUACUCAAGCAAUGAAAAAAAAUUGUAUGUUCAACAUCCUAUAUCGUCUAAAAUUUUAGACAAUGGCUGAGAGUCAUAUUAUAAAUAAGAUCAAAAUGAAUCUAAAUCCGAAUAAGCAAGAAGUUGAACUUAGCAAGUUUCCAAAUUUAAAAAUUUAUAUCCGGUUUAAUUCGGUUCUUUAGUCGAAACGUUUAAUCAUAACGGAUAUAAUAAAUUUUAAACUUUUAAAAAUUUUAAAAUAUUAUGAACAUUUACACUUAUAAAAAGUUUAAAAUAUCACGGGACAAGUUGUAUGGCGGAUCGGGUUUGAAUCGAUAUUAACAUAAAUUAGUUUUAAAAAUUAUUUUAUUAUUUUGCUAACAUCAUCAAUAUUAGAAUAUUAUACAUAUUUCAUUAAAUUGAUUCAAUUAUGAUUAUGUAAAAAAAAAUUUGUCCCGCGAUAUAUUGCGGAUUAUUGCUACUGAGUUAAUUAAAAUAUAUAUAUAUUAUAGUGAUUUUUUUUGUGCAACAUAUAAGUGUUCUUAAAAUUUUAAUAUAUAUAUGCCAAUUGAUUCAAUAAAGAGAAAAUGAAAUUCCCGUAUUAUAUAUGAUUGAUUUGUGGCUAGUAUGGUAACCCAAAACGUUUUCCUACAGAAUUGUAAUUAUACACCGAACAGAACAUGAUUUGACUCGACUUCUAUUCAUUUUUCUUUCCUUCCUCUGGUUUCACAAUCAACAAUAUCAACCAAGAACACAUUAAGGAAAGGCCUCACUUGAUCUUUUUAUCACUCCAAAGACACAUCCGAUUCAAUAUCCGGUCCUGUUUUUUAUAAACCGUUGAUCAAAACCAAGUAUAAACCGAUCACUAAUCAUAAAUAAUAUCACGUCGAUAAAAACAUAUCGCAAAUUAUGAAUUACAUGUGCAUACUGCAUAUGGACUUAUUUGCUAUUCCUUUUUAAGUUAUGAUUAUAAUGCCAGGUUACAUGAUAACAUUUGAUCCAGUAUAUGUGAAUGCUAGUUAAAGUGGUAAUGAAAUUAAUUAAAACUAGAUAUCAUAAAUCUAUAUUAUUAAUUGGGAAUCACUCAAAACUAACAAACCUUAUUUUGAUAGAUUAAUUACAAUAAAUGCCAUUAGAAUUAUUGAAUUUAAAACAAAAAAAAAGAAAAAGAUUCGAAAAAAAUAUAUUCAAAAAGUAUAUAUAUUUAUUUCACUGGAGCAUUAACAAUAUAUAUUCAAAAAGAUUUUUCUGCCUUUUGUAUCCAAAACUUAAACAAAGUAAAUUUACUGUUAUGAUUUAAUAAGAUUUCCAUAUAUAACAAUUGACAAUAAUAAAUUCAAAAUAAUUAAAAUGAAAAAUACAUCUGUUUACGAUUAAAUCAAAUCUUAAAUUAGUUUAUGAAAUCAUAUCACGAACAGUUAUUAUACUUGCCAAAUAUAACUCUAAUUAUAGAUUACUAUUUUUAUUUUUUUUAAAUCAAGCAUAUAACUGGAAUCUAUAUUUAAUACUUUGAUUCGCAAACAUAUUGUUAAGAUUAUAAUAGUCUGUUAACCCUAAAUAUUUAAACUGAAUUUUUGUAUCCUAUAAAUAUAGAAGUCGAUUAUUCAGUACUACUCACUAAUUAUACGUGUUUUCUAAAGGACUUCAAUGAAACACAUGGUGCUAUUUCUUGAAUCUUCUUCUCAUUUAUUAGCAAUGUGUUGUUCAUGUGUGAAUCUGUUGGUUGUUUUAUAUAAAAACAAUCGAUUGUUUUGACUUAAAUACAAAGAUAAAUCUAAACGUAUACAAAAAAAAUUCCUUUUAUUUUUCAUUUUGACAGGUAAACACCUUUCAUACUGCGAUACGUUUUCUACAUAUUACGGAUCUUGGCCAUCUAAUGCAAGGAAUAUUGAAUUCAUGUGGUUUGGAUUUUAUGUGUUUAGUUCUCGGUUUGUGUUGUAUUAUUGUAUUGUUUUUUGUUCUAACAUAUACAUAAAUACGACAUAUAAAAUAAUUCACAUAAAAAGAUUGAAACAAAUCAUUGAUCUUACAAAGCUAGACAGAGUGAAUGCAUACUUCUUUCAACAAAUUUGACACAAAUACAUGAGUAGACUAUAUUUCUAAAGAAAAAAUUCACUGAAGUAGGAAAAGUUGUAGAAAAGUAUCCAUAUCAAAGUAAGUGUUCUUUGAAUUAAUGUAACGGUAAAAAAUGAAUUAAGACGAGCACGAAGAGAAAUUGUCUAAGUUGUAGACAGGUAAAUGAAGUUCUAACGCUUGCAGUAGAACUCGAACAUGAAUUUUUGAUUCUCGAGUGUCCCUCAUGGCUGCAAAUCAACAUUCCAUAUUUGUACUAUCAAAAGUUAUUUAUGUCCUAUUUAAAUUUUAGGACGGGAUCGAGAUUGAACGGGAUGGGAUGAGAAUUCCUAAAAAAAUGUCGUAUAACAUGUUACAAUUAAAAUAAAACAUUGCUUGCAAUCAUAUAUUUAAAAUGUUUCUUUCAAAUUAUCUAGCAUAUAUAGCAUGUGCCAAAUAAAAGAUUUUGGGACGGGUAAAGUUUAUUUCAUGAUGGAAAUUUUGGGAAAUUUGGGUAUUUUCAAAAACAUAAUAGUGAAAUAUUGAGAAAAUAAAGAAAAUAUGGAUAACUUCCACUAAUUAUGUAAAAAUUAAAUACCUACAUGAAAAUACAUAAAAUACGGGUAUUCCAUCCGAAUCUUAGACCUACACGAUAUACAAUCACAAACGAGUAAAUCAACUCUUAUGUGAUUAAAUGUGUGUGGUAGAUAUGUGACCAUACAGAUUUUCUGUCUCAAAAUUGAUAUGUCUAUUUUCUCUCUCUUUUUGAUUAUGUAAUUGUCUUUACUGUAACCAAAAACAAAUCUGAUUAAUUAUUUUUUUUUUUUUUUUUUUUUUUUUUUUGACAAAAAUUAUUUUGUCUAAACAAAAUUGAAACUAAACCGAAUACCAAACUGAUAUGAGGUAGGAUAAUGAAUGUUAUACCAAAUAAAUACAUCUACAAACAUAAUCCCGCACGAAUGUGCGGGUCCGAAUCUAGUUAAUUAUAAUUAGGUAGAAUUAGGAAAAUAGUGAAUGCUAAUUAAAGUGGUUAUGAAAUCAGUUUAGAAUAUAUGUGAAAAUAAGAUAUCUUUGAAAUUAAGAUAGAAUGUUUGUGGAAGCCCCCUUGGCCCAUUGGUUGACCAAGGGUUAAUUAAUGCUUCUACACCAAGAGGUCUGGGGUUCGAGUCCCAGAUACUGCGAUUUAUUAAUAAAUUUGCAGAUUAAAUGAGGCAAGUGUGCAAGAGAUCUCCAGCGAAGUACAAUUAUAGCCGUUCGCCAGGAUUCUACGCAGAGAGAGAAGUGUCGUUAGGUCGUGGAUCAUUGAAGGUGUCCGUCAAGAGCAUGGAGAAAGAAGUGUCGUCUGUCGUGGAUCUAAUAAGGGUCGGAAGGAAUUGUCCGUUGUAGAAUCGUCUAUGUAACAGUUCUCAUAAUUUGCAAUAAAUAAUAAAUCUAGACGUCAAAAAAAAGAUAGAAUGUUUAAGGAAUAUGUUUUUAAUUGUGCUUUUGAGAUUUACGCAAACUAACUAGUCUGUGAGUACACUUCUUUGACUUUGCUCUUCAAUAGUGUUUAUGAUUACUCUAAAUUUGGCUUUCUUAUUUUUCGGAAAUUUUUGUAUUUUUAGUGUCUUGGAACCAAAUCUCAGACAAGCUACUGUCAGAUUUUGGAAAUCUAUAGAAAAUUCAAAGGCUGUAAGAAUAUGUUCCAAGUUCUAUCAAACUGUUUCUUUUUCUUUUUUUCUAACAGCUAUUGGUCUUUGUUGGUGUUGAGACUAUGUGUACUCUUUGUAUUCGUAUAAUUUAAGAUAAGAGAAGAACAAUGUUCUUUAUAUUUUUGUAAUAGAUAGAGGUUUGAAAUCAAGGUUUCAUGUUUGACUAUCUAUCUAUUGGGCUAUUGGGUCAACCCAUUUGAUUAUUUAACCAACUCAAUUUAAUGGAUCAUGGGUUGAUCCAACCCAUUUACUUAAAGGAUUGGGUUGACCAUAAUCCAUAUAACAUACUAUUUAUUGGGUAAUGGGUUUGAUUGGGUUGGAUUAUCCAUUUUGACAUCUCUAAAUAAAACCAUAACAUUUCAAUGUAGACAUUACUUUUUUUUCUAUAUAUACUCCUUCCGUUUCACAAAAAGUGUCAUUUUAAAAUUUUAUUUUUGUUUCACAAAGAGUGUCAUUUUGUAUUUCCAAAUUAAAUUUUUAAACCAAAUCUCAUAUCACUACAAAAAAAUGUGUGUUUUACAUCAUUUAUUUUCUAAUUUUAUAUCAGUUAUAAAUGAUGCAAAAAAAAUAACAUCACUUAAAAAAGUGACUCCAAAAGUGGUGAUGCAAAUAUUUUGUAUCAAUUCUUUGUAAAUCGAUGUUAACAUAUAUCAAUUAUAAAAAAUGAUGUUAAACUUUGAAUCAAUUAAUAUGAAUGAUGUUAAUAUUUGUAACGGUUAUACUAAUUGAUGCCAAUAAUCAUAUUUCUAUCACUUGUAUCAAUUGAUGUCAAAUUAGUAUCAAUUUUCAUAACUGAUUUAAAAUUUUUGUCAUUUGAAUUAAUUAAUUUGACAAUAAUUAAUUUGUUGUAAUUUAUUAUUAAUUUUUCAAUAAAUACGUAAAAUGAAAUAUAAAUUGGAAAUCAUUAUAUCAUUUUAUUAUAAUUAUAAUAGUACAACCAAUGGUAAAAAUUACAAACUAAAACAUAUAACUACAAAAAUCUAAAGCAAAAGUAUGAUUAAAAGUGUAGACACAAAUAAUAACUAGGUAAAGCUUAGCGGCAAGCCUUCUGUCAUUGAGGUGGUGGUUUUCUUUGUUUGAUAGGCUUCUAUAGAUGAAUGUAUGUUUUGUUCGUUUCAACUUCGUCUGCCAUAGUUUAAAUCCUGCAAGAAAAAAAAAGAUAAAUAAUUUAAAUCUUAUCACUUAUAAGAACUUGUUCCAAUGCUUUGAAAUAAACCAAGCUUGGGGAUAUAUUUAAUGUACUAUCUUAUAUCAUUUAGAAACUGAAAUUUAUAAAACCAAUAUGUAUAAUUUAGGAUUCUAUAGGAAAAAUCAAUGAACGAGUAAGAAAUUAGUACAUGAGAAGUGACAAAAUUACAGAGAAGCAAACAUGAGAUUUGAAAAUAGAAAGAGUUAGAAAGAAAAAAACACAAAUAUAAAGAAAAAACCAUGAACUUAUCUAAUCGAAUCGGCAAGAUUGAGAGGUGUUUAAACUUCUGUAGUUAAUGGUAAACCUUAUUGUUCAUCAAUGGUGGAUUUGAGUAUAGAAAGAAUGAGAGCGAGAGAGAAAACGAAAACAAGGUAAGUUGAUCUUUAGAAAAAAAAGAUGAUUUUUUUUUUUUUAAUUAGAGUAAACAGUUGUAGAAUAAUGUUUAUAGAACGUGAUUAGAGGGAGAGAUUUUAGGGAUUUCAGUUGUUAUAUCUGCCGAUAGAUAUAUUGCCAUUUGAUUUUUUUCACUAUUGUUUUUACUAUUGAUAUCAAUUAAUUACUUAAGUUAAAAUCAUUAAUAUUUUUAUUAUCAAUAAUUAAAGUUUAAACUAACAGGCCGAUAUUUUAAAUGAUGUAAACUAGCUUUUAUUAGUGUUAAAUGUUUUAACCGAUACAAGUUAGUAUCAAUUUAAUCCAACAGAUGUAAAAUGAGUAAAUAAUUACAUCGUUUUUGGAAUGUGAAGCUAAGUCACAUACAUAUUAGAAUCGUUUCUUAUUGAUGUAAAAUCUCUAUCAUUUUUUAAACGAUUUUAACAAAAAUGAGUGAAUACAUCGAUUACUUAAUUGAUGUCAACUCAUAUAUUUGUCUCAAUUCUUUACAAGUGAUGUAAACCAAUAUAGAUUUGUAUCAAUUUUAUUGACUCGAUGUAAAACAAAUCAAAAAUUAUAUCAGUUAUUAUAAUUGAUGUUAAACUACAAAAUUUGUAUCAUUUAUUAACAAAUAAUUUAAAAUAAUAUCAUUUAAUUUUGUGAUACUAUUUAUGUGAUGCAAUACACACUUUUUUUUGUAGUGUAUUUACCCCUACUAUUUUGAUUUAUUAAAUAGAAAAAAAAAUAUUUUUAGUGUUUUAGCGAAGGACAAAAGAGAGAUUUUUUUGUUUUUCUUAAUAUUUGUGAGAAUGGAUAGAAUGACACAUUUUAUGAACCAUAACGAGUAAGAAGUUUUGUCAAAGUCAUAAGUGGUAGAGCUCGUGGGUUAAAAAAACCUACAUAAAAAACAAAUAAAACUACUAAAAUCAAAGUUAUAAAAUAAUCAAUUACUAUGAUUUAGUAAAAACAAAAAUAAUAACUUAUGAAUACCUUAAUUAUUAUAUGAUACAUUAAUUGGAUUAGGCAUGAUAAUGUAAACCUAGAUUUUUUGCAUGGCAUUGCGUUCCGUAUAGCUUACUUAGUUUCUUUAAUAAAUUAUAAAUAUUUAAAUUAUAAAUAUUAUUAAACUUUUCAAAAUCUACCAUAUUUCUCACCCACACCGAUUAUGAUGUUUGACCACUAGAUAUAUUUGGGAUAUAUUUUAGAAGAAGCAUGUGUGCAAUUUGCAUGCGUUUUUUGUACAAACGAUGCAUUAAUAUUGCUUCAAGAAUUUGUUCUUGGUUCUUCCGAGAGAUCUUAGAUUAGUUUUGCUUGUUUCUUUCACAUAUCAUGCAAAGUAAACUCAUUAUUCUUGAAUUCAAGAAUUUGCUAUUUUGAUUCUUUUUCACGUAGUUUUUUUGGAAAGCUUAGUUUUUUGGUGUUCUAAUGGGGAUCGAACCAAAUGGAAUUGGUGGUUUGCAUGAUUAUUAUUUGUUAGCUCACAAAAUGUUUAUUUGUUAGCUAACAAAUUGUUUACACAACAACAAAAAUAAAAUAAAAUAAAAAAGUUAAAGAAACAUGAUUGUCACUCAAUCAUGAAGUUAAAAUUAUUUCUCUAUGUUUUAUAAUCUUCAUGAUUUAAAAUUUUGAUAUCAUUUUCAAGAAUUCAUGUGUGCGGAUUUUAAAAUCUUUGUAAAAUACUUUGGAUAUUAUGUUUCUAAUAGCUUAUACAUAUAACUUCAUUUGAAUUCAUAUACUUAAGGCUGUAAAUGGGAGUUGGGUUUAGAUGGAGUUGUUUGGUUUUUAAAGUUAGAAAAUGUAUUCUAGUUUUAAACUUUUCUACGGGUUUAUCUACUUACACCCCUUAACAGAGAUAACUCUAAGUGUAAGGUUUGUUAACAACGCCUGGUUGUUGCAACCAAUAGUCAAAAGGCUAUAAGACCGCCUGGUAGUAUAAGGAGUUCCCAUGAGAUUUAACAAACUGUCAAAUUUUUUUCUUUCGCUUUUAACCUAAGUUUUGGGCAUCAUAUCGAUGUACAUAAUUUGUGCUUGGACGCGAAUAGAACCAUAAGGAUUGAGUAUGUCUUUCCUUGGUAGACUAUAAUCUCGAGCAGUGUCUUGUUAAUACUUGGGAGGAAUGCCACAUGUUCACCAUAUUUCUUAUCUCUCUUACAUUGAACUUCAAAGAAUUUGCUGAGGUAGCAAUUCUUUUCAAUGCUAAACGGAUACAUUAUACUUGUCACAUUGUCGUUGGCAUGAUUUUUCAACAAAUGCUAAACUCGAAACUAGUACAAUUAGAGUCGGAAACGGUGUCAACCAGAACAUUCUUCUUCACUGAAACAAGUGAAAAGAUAUAUAUUUAAAAUAUUAAAAUCCAUCUAAAGAGGAGAGACUUUCUCUCAAAGUUAAAAUAAACCAAUGCAAAAAAGACUUAAAAGGGAAACAAUAUUUUAAGUCAUAAAAAUCAAAACAUUUAUCCUCUCCUUACCUCUGAUAUAGAUUUAUCAAAGUGUAAUGCUUAUAUGGGGAUGGAAUGGAAAGAUGAUUAUGUACAUAUAAUAUUUUGUAAUCGAAUUAUAAGAAAUUGACACAACAAUCCUUAGUAUACUUGUGCAAUUCAAUAUGAAUAUGAAAAAAAUUACGGCAGACAAAAUUACAAAGCAUCGAUCAUAUUUAUUUCAUAUGGAAUAGAAAAAAUAUAGUCAUACCAUUAGAGCAUCUCUAUCUAGGGUUUUUCAUUGAGAACAUGAUUUGACUCGGAUUUCUAUUUAUUUCUCUUUCCUUCCUCUGGUUUCACAAUCAACAAUAUCAACCAAGAACACAUUAAGGAAAGGUCUCACUCGAUCUUUUUUUUCACUCUAAAGACACAUCCGAUUCAAUAUUCGGUCCUGAUUUUUAUAAACCGUUGAUCAAAACCAAGUAUAAACCGAUCACUAAUCACAAAUAAUUUCACUUCGAUAAAAACAUAUCGCAAAUUAUGAACUACGUGUGCAUAUGGACUUAUUGGCCAUUUCUUUUUAAGUUAUGAUUAUAAUGCCUGGUUACAUGAUAACAUUUGAUUUGGUUUUAACAAAUACAUCGCAAAUCAAUAAAAUAAAAUAAGAGUAACUAGCCAUUUUUGAUGAUUUAAUUAAGAAUAUAGCAUCAUAUAUAUAUAAAUUAAGAAAAUAGCAUGUGAGGGUUGAGAAAAGACAAUUUUGGGGUGGAGUUGUUGUGAGAAAUGUCUAUCGUGGGGUUUGUGAAGCGAGCAAAAAGAGAGUAGAAGAGUGAAGUCUCUGAAGCUAUGAAAGAGAUUUUAAUAGCACUUAGUAUAACUUUCAUCCAUUUAUAUUUGUUUGCAUUAUACCUUUUCAAAAAAUUGGAUUCGAAAUCUCAAAUUUAUUAGCAUAUGACAUAGUUUGAAUUUUUAUACUCGGAUAUGAAUUUCAAAAAUGAUAAAUAGUGUUUGUAAGUAAAAAUAUGUUGUACUAUUUAGAAUAUAUAUGAAUACAAUGUUGUACUAUACUAUUUUCCAUUAAUCAUUCAUAAAUCAAUUUUAACUUUAAUAUAUUAAACGCUAAAUCGUAAACCCUAAACCAUGAAUGAUAUACCCUAUAAGAUAUAGCAUAGGGAACCGAAAAUGUCGAAACGUACGACAAAUAAGAAACGUUAUAUCAUAAAGAUACAACUUAGAAAACUCAAACAACCAAACUAAACGCACGCCAAAAACAAAUGUUAUAUCAUAAGACAUAUAUCAUAGUGAACCGCAUUUUUUGAUUAAACACAAGCCGAAUAAGAAACACUAUACCCUAAAAGAUACAACAUAAGGAACCCAAAUUACCAAAUUAAACGUUUUGUCUAUAUAGAACACGAAACAUAAAUGGUAUAGAACAAAAAAACACUGUAUCUUGUUUGUUGAUUUAAUCUCUAUAUCAAAUAAUUAAAUCUUUCAAUCAUGUGAAAAGUAAAAACCAGCAUGUUUUUGGCAUUCCAUAUAGUUUCAGCCAAGAAAAAUAAAAUAAAUUUAUUACGGCGAAAAUUUGCAUAAUUAGUUAAACAAGCUUUACAAAAUUUAAUCACUUUUGUAAAAUAGUACAGACUUUAAUUAAAUAGAAUAGUAACAUGUUUAAGGUUUCCAACCAUGGAAGCUGAAUCAGUUUCUAUAAGUGGCUAUUAUGUUUGCUUAGGAUUUUGAUGUUGGAAAGUUUAGGAUGAUCAAAAUCUUUAAUCGAAACAGAAUAAUGGCAUCUCCAAAACGAUGUAGUGAUGAUGGUGAUGCUAGCGGCCAUGGUGGUGAUCACGGCGGUGGAGGAAGUUGAAGUUGCAGCGGAGGAGGGAGCAUAAGAGGAGUGGUGGUGAGAGUGACGAGGAUAUAGAGGAUGCAGGUUGGAUUGCUGUUAGACCUCCAUUUCGAUCACGGCAGAGCCAACGAAGAAGAAGAACAUAACAAAAUAUAUAUAAAGCACUCAUAUCAGUAAAAAAUACUUACUCCCUAGUGACCAAUGUUAUGGUUAACCAAGUGUGACAAUCCCUUAAUAAUAUUAAUGUUAGUUUUCAUUGACUGUAAUCAUAACUCACAAGAACAUUUGAACAAUAUCGAAACGACACCGUUCCACGUUUUGUAAUAAUUUCAGAAUUUUUAAUAACCGAAAUCCGUAAAAUUCUCAAAACUCUUUGCAAAUAUAACAUAUUCUUUAAACUUUAAAAUUAAAACAAAUCUCUUUUUUUUUUAUAUAUAUUUAUCUAAACCAAGCAACUCCAUCUAAAUCCAACAUACACUAACACCCAUUAAAUAAUUUUUUUGAUCAUUGUUCAUAAACUCGGUCCUUGAGUUGAACAUCUUAUAUUAUAGCAUCGAUAGAUAAUAUAGUUUUGCAAAUUUGUUUAUGAACAAUGACUUAUAAGAUUAUGGACCAUUAAAAAUAUAUAAUAUAGUUUUGCAAAUUUGUUUUACAUACAAUGACUGAAAGAAAAUCACAAGAAUAAAUCAGAUUGCCCAAGGCUCAUUCAUCGUUGUAUAUUUGUAUGCUUUUUUUUUUUUUUUUUUCUCCAAUAGUGAACUUUAUUCAAACCAUUUGAUACAAGGCCAAGGAAAGCCCAACAUACAUGAACUGUUAACGAAGCAAACUAAAGGCCUAGAAGAAACCAACAGCGCACCACUUAUAGAAGAUAUUUUUGAUCGUAAAAGACCACUCAAAGACACGUGACAAGACACGUGGAAGAUGAGCAAAACAAGAUUUCCAUCAUCAUCCUUCUGUUGAAGGAUGAGUCUUCGAUUAAACCUGCAAUAAGACAAGAAGAAUUAGUCAGAGAAGAAGAAACAAAGCAAGACAAAGAAGGCGUCAAAGAGAAGAAGAAGCUUCGUGUGGAGGAGUCAACGAGAAUAUACAAGUCAACAAGAAAGAUGGUGUUGGUGUGAUGGGCAGAAAAGCCAAACGAAUUAAGUAUGUUUUUUGUUUGUAAACAAAGUUAGUAGCUAAGGAUAGUAUUAAUUAAAAUAUCUAGUGGAGUGUAGUUGUUAAAGGUGGCUUGGAGAAGUGAACCUAGUUCCUAGAAAUAUGGUCUAGUGGAAGAGUUUUGUCUAAAGUAGCAAGUGAGAUAAACCACUAUAUGUAUGUGGGUUGUGGGGUUGUGUGUUGAGUAUCUAAGCGAUCCGAAAACAAGAUGUAGUAUUCAAGUUUAUUCUCUCUAAGUUACUAAUCUGUUUUUGGUGUUUAUCAAACAGACGCAAAACAGAGAGUGAAACAUAUAACUAGAGAGAAGAGUUGAACUAACCUUAAGUGGUGAGAGUGAGGUUAGUGAGAAUACCAACACCUUCGCUAUCGGAGACAUCGAUUUUUCGGUGAAUGAACCAUCGCCGAGAUUACAUCGUCGGUAGAAUCGUCUGUUUUUCACCAGCAAUAGCAAAACAGUAACAUGGAGAUAUUUCAUAACGUUUAAACUCAACCAAAUUGCUAUAAUUAUCAAGAGAUUUGAGAUCCAACAAUAUGAGAAUAAAAUCCGAUCAAUCCAGAAACUGUUGAUUAAAACCAACCGAAGCUCUAAAAGCAAGUAACAGCUAAAGACAAUCCAAAUAUGCUGAGGAAAGUGUUUCACAUCUUCAUAUCUUUGCAAAGCGCAGAGAUCUUUUCCGUGAACCGCAAACUUAAAGGAUGCACUGGAAAAGAGACUUUUGAGCGAAAAUCGCCACAAACGCCGUAACCACCAGCACCGAUCCGACGAAGAAAAAACUAAAACAAACAACGGCAACAAAGACACCGUGGUAGAAACCGAGAAAAGAAAGAACCGAACAACGCCAGAGGAAAACUAAAGCUAGCCAUCGUCGCGAGAACCGAUCGAUGCUAGACAAGAAGCCAUCCAACCACCGCUAUAUGAGCUGAUAGCUGACGGACAGAUGCCGAAAUACAAACCGGACGGCUAAAAGGAAGAAUAAGCUACUCUCUCUCUAAAAGAUUUGAGAGAGAGAAGAGAGAGAAGAGAGAGAAGAGAGAGUAUUGUGUUAUAUUUGUAUGCUUAAACAAAGUUUAUAUAGUUUGUUAGGCGAACACAGUUCACUAGGACGGUCCUACUAGGACCCAACUAAUUACGACAGACAAGUGGAUCCGGUUGGAUAGUUUCGGGGCUACGACAAUGUUUUAAUGGUUUACUUCAAAUUAAAAAACUCAAAAUUCAAAAGCCGUUUGCUUUUUUUGAAAUCUACAUGACGGAUAAGAAGGAGAUCAUCGAUAUCUACAGUUCAGAUGAGGAAGACGAAGAAGAAGAAGAUGAUGAUAUCGAUGGCGAGAGUAGCGACGAAGACGAUUAUGAAGAAGAUGAUGAUGAUGAUGAUGAUGAUGAUGAUGAUGAAGAAGAUCGGAGUUUGAGGUAUUUGCGUAUUUUUGGCGGUGAUCUAUUUCUCGAUUUGAUUCUAGUUUUUGAUCGAUUCUGGAUUAAUUCGAUUUCAGUGGAGAUGAUAGCGAAUUGAGCGAAGAUGAUUCUACGGAUUCGAAUUCGGAUUCUGAUGACGACGAUGAAGACGAUGAUGAGGAAGACGAUGAUGAAGACUCUCUAGUUGAUAAAGUCACUCGUCUAUUCAAAGGUUUAUCAAUUUAGGGUUUUAUGAAUCUUAAUUUGUUCAUACUUGCUUCGGUUUGCAUCAAUUUAGGGUUUAUGAAUCUUGGUUGAUUGAUUAGUAACAAUCGUUUAUAUGGGUACAUUUUGCUUAAUAUUUGGGGAAAUCAUUGAAAUUUGAAUUGGAUCAUUCUAAGUCUAUGUUAGAAAUUGGGAAUGUUGUUGCUACAUAUCUUUCACUAAAAUCUCUGUUGGGAUUUGGUCUUUGGGAAACAAGAUUGACUCAGAAACAUUUCUUAGCUCAGAAGCUUUUUUAAGGUAAUCAAAGACUUGAGCUACUAUUGAGGUGAUCUGGUUCACUUUCGUAUAGAUUUUUAGUAAUAUGAAUUUUAAAGAAGUUUCUAUACCUGCCUUAUAGAGCUGCAUGUUUGUUUGAUAUGAAGCAGACUUUUAUCUGAAAUAUCAUCUUGUUCUCACAGAUUUUGGUUUGUUAAUGUCUUCCUCUAAAACUCCCCAGGUUCAUUUGGUGACUGAUCAGCUGAGCAAUAAACCCAAUUGAUUAUCACAAUGAUAUCUUAUGAAAGGUCCCAUCUCAUCUGUUUCCUUUACAAUCCUUUUUUUCCUCUCCCUGAGAUGAUGUGCUCUUUCUUACUGAGUGUGCGAUGUGUACUUUGUUGGUCGUCUUACAGAUUGAUGGUCAUAAGACUGAUUGUAUAAGAGUGUUGGUUGAUGUUGAGAGAGGUAGAGGCAGAGCUGUCCCAAACUGGCUUGGUGGUGACUUGGGACCUCAAGAGUUGGUGGAGAACCUCCCGUCCCGGUUACUGUCAGAGGAACCAAAAAGACCAUGGGAGGAGUGGUAACGAUAUAUUCACUUUCACUUUCAUUUCGUUUGCCUUGUUUUGGUGCUGAUAAUGCUGUGGCCUUUGUCUGCAGUGAGGAAUCUCGGGAUAAGGAGAAAGAAAGGGAAUGAUUGAGGUAAAGCAUCACAGACGCUAGGACCGAGGAGGCAGGGAGAGCAGACGGGAUCGUGCUACAAUGAAUCAUGUCAGAGACUGUGAUAGGAGCUGUAUGAUACAAACCAACGAAGUAAAAUGGUUCUUGUAGUUGUUGUACCAAAACAAUUUCCAAGUUUGUCAUCUUCUCUUUGAUUAUUUCUUUUGCUAUCUAUACUCUUAGGUAAUUUACACACUUUUUACAAUUACAAAUCAUUCAAAAAUAACGUAUGAAAAGUUCCAAGUUUUGUAUUUGUUCCUAAAGAAAUAGCUUAAACAAAGCAAAAAAAAUGUGCAGACGAUGCAUUUUAUAACUCCAAAAGAGACGCGUUGAGUUUCAAAUCAGCUUAAACAUGUUCUCAAAAUCCAUACGAUCCCAAACAGCAAACUAUCAUCAAAGAAAUUCACACAUCACAUGAGCAUACAGCACAUCACUAAUCCACUUUUGUCUUUAACAAUACACCAUUACAGAGACUUCGAAACUUACAUAAAACACUUUAUUCAAGUACCCGGUGGUAACAAGAACGAUUCGGACGUUGCAGCGGUUUGAAAUUGGGAUGUUGAAGCACUUGAAUCCCAAUUUAUGUCAAACUGCAGAACUUCAUUUUCUUCAUCACUGUCGACCAUUGGUUGUGCUCCAAGCUGCAACGAACGGAUCCGCUCCAACUCUACAGAUACUUCUCUCAUGGUUGGUCGUUUGGGACCUCUGGGACUCACGCACCUCCUAGCUAGACUUGCCACCGCUGUGACUUGUUCAAUGUUGUGAUUAUCUUUCAGCUUGACAUCAAUCACCUCGACCAAUCUACUCUCUUUAACUGCAAGAGCAAAGUCCCUCGCUAAGCACCUGUUUUGUUGAGUAACCGUCUUCUCACCUGUGAUAAGCUCUACCAACACAACACCAAAGCUAUAAACGUCGCUCUUGUCCGUGUACAACAUCGUUUGGAAAUAUUCUGGAUCCAUGUAACCGGCGGUACCUGCUACUUCAGUGAUCAAGUGUGUGUUGGCUACAUUUACGGACCUUGAAAUCCCAAAAUCAGACAGUUUGGCUUUACGGUUCUCAUCGAGCAUGAUGUUAGAGCUUUUUAUGUCCCGGUGAUAGAUCUUGAUUGAGGCGUCUGAGUGCAGGUACGACAAAGCUCCAGCAAUGUCUACUGCGAUGGCCAAACGCAGUUCCCAAGGGGAAUUAUCAGACCCAUGAUGAAGAAGAUUGGACAGGUCUCCGUUGGGGACAAAUUCAUACACCAAGGUUGGCACUUCUGUCUCGAGGCAACAUCCUAAGACUUUGACGAUGUUUCUGUGGUUGAUCUGCGCGAGGAUCACAAGCUCGUUGAUGAAAUGCUCGAGCCUGUGUUCAUCCACGGAUGUGGACUUCUUCACAGCGACUAUCCUACCAUCCACAAGCAUACCUUUGUAGACAGUACCUUGACCACCUUUUCCCAGCACCCUGUUAACGCUGAAGUUUUCUGUAGCUCUAUUGAGAUCGUUCGAAGUGAAGACUAUUAUCUUGUCAAUGCUGCCUGCCGUUGAAUUCAGCUGUUGUUGCAAGAGUAGACCACCAUUGCGUUUGAAGAAUCUCUUUUUUCGGUUGAUCUGCCUUUGUCUCUUGAUGAUAACGUAUAGCCAGAAGGCCACACCGACACUUAUCAACACACCAAAACUCGUGCCAACACCUGAAAAUGCACAAAAGAAAACUGAAUAAAGACACUCUGAUAACAAGACUCUGAUAAUUAAUACAAACAGAUGGGAGAGUGUGUGAACAAUAACUUCUUACAAUGUGACAAUAGUAUUCUUUGAUUCAAAGCCAUAAUGAAGAUGAUUAAGAAACAACUUUUAAAGAUCUUAACCAUUCUUCUUCGACCAAUUAACAACAAAGGAACACAAACUUUAUCAUACAGAGAGAUAAGAAACUGAUAUUUAACAUAUCAUUAUGUACCAUUAUUAUAUUUCUCAUGCAAUUUCGAUGGUAAAAUCUUUCAUAUAAAAAUAAUGAUAAUAACAAUAAUUCUCAUGCAUUUUCACCAUCCUGCAUCAUAUAUAUGUAUGUUUAUAUGUGUGUUCCGUCGCUUUGCAUUUUAUCCCAAAAUAUGUUGGAUAUAUAUGUAUCUUAUAUUUUCCAUAGAUCUUCAAGUCAAUCUGUGUGUUGAAUUAGGUUGUUAAACCUUCUUCUCCCUAAAGGAUCCUUUAGUUAAUUUGCACAGUAAGAUCUACCUAGCUAUUGUAUUAUACAUUUCUCAUCCAAAUCUGGCUUGAUUUUUGUCUUUUGACCAGAUAAGUUCAUCAAAAAUACAACAAAAAACAGAAUCCAAAAAUAAUUGAAAAUUGUCAGUUUUUAAUUGUCUUUUCAAUCAAAAUUUUUCCCAAAACGUUUCUUCUUAAACUAUGGCUGAAACAGAGCUUCACUAACUUUUAUUCUUAAACUACGGCUGAAACAGAGCUUCACUAAAACUCUUACCUAUUUCUAGACAAGAGAUUAUGAAUACAUAGAUUUAGUCAAAUUUAUGUACCUAUGAUAAUUGGUAACGCCUUGUUCUUAUGGAACACGCAGUGAUACCCUCCCGGAGUGUUAACACACAUGCUACCUCCUCUACAGUAUCUGGGACGUCCAUCAUUGUUGAGAAUUCGACACUCGUCGAUAUCUGUAAAUGAAAAACCAAAUAAUUGUUGUACUAAGCAAACAUUUAUGGUAAUACAAUAAAACCGAACGAGUCAGUUUCUCACCUUUGCAUCCACCUAAAAGAUACGGGUUACCAUUGUAACCACUGGAACAUGCACAAGUUGAAUACCCAAUCUCAUACUCAUACUCCGUUAGGUUAUGGCACUUGCAACGGUGAUCUGAGCACCCGAUAGAUGAGCGAUUCACAGUUUGAAUUGACCACCGUAGCUGCACCGUUGUAUGUUUCAUCGCAUAAAACCAUCUAGGAUCACUGAUUUUUGAGGAAGGAUAUCUAUCAAACUCAUCCGUCAAAAAUGCCACUUUGCACCUUCCUAUUGUUGUGUUUAUACUAUCACCUAGUAUACUGAGACCAGUCACCUGUCCGAUCACAUCAGGUGCUUUCUUUCUGCAGCAUAUGUAACCGUUGCAGCCUUUUUUAUCCAUUCUAGCUUCUGGCGCACAAGUGGAGACACAACCAACUAUUCUUGGCUCAAUUUUUCUCAAAGAAGCCUUGAUGUUGCAACCAAUACCAACAACGUCGUUAGCGCGACCAAUGACAAAAGGUGUGCCCGUCAAGUUCAAUACAUCUCCAACCUCAUUGCCAUCAAAUUUAAGAAAGACAUUGGUUGGAGAGCCGCAUCCUGUGGAAAAGAUGUCCAUUUGUAUGCGAAUCGACCCAUAUGGAGUUGAUGCCCGUUGCCUUGGAAGAUUGAUUUGCAAAACUGUUUUAUUUAUGCCCGGCAAGAAUGGCAGAAGCUGACCGGAAGCAGGAUUCCUAUGGCAUUGAACUUCGUGCCAUUUACUGAGGUAACAUGCCUCUCCGAUCCCGAACGGAUACGGGAUUGAAACACUUCCACAGUUUCUUUGGCAAUUGUUCUUAGCUAAUGCUGAACCAAAUAUAGCUAACGCUAAAUGCACCAACAAGAGAAACACGUUCUUCAUCUUAGACAGAAACAUGUUUUUCCUCUCAACAGAAACAGAGCAACGAGACACUUAACCGUAAGCCUUAAUUCUUCCUAUACCUAAGCAGAGAAAAAAUUUCUUCAGUAUAGAAUACCUUUUCACUUCAUAAGCCGAUAUACUGGAUCUUGUGUAAUUCCUUCUUUUUUUCGUGGUUUUGAUGCAGAGCAAUGAGCAGAGAAAUCAGAAAUGUUUGUUCUGGACUUGAUUUGCUUUUACCGGGAAACAUUUUGUUCUUUUCAUUUCAUUAAAACAAGUAUACGUAGUUUCCUAUAACAGAAGGUUGUUUUGUUGUCAAUGUCAACUUUUGUUUCAAAUAAAACAAAUACCCUGGAUUUUUGUAUAGCCUCCAUAUAUUUUUUUUUUUUUUUUUAAUUUCCAUUAGAAAAAACGUCCAACAACAUACAUGGCAAAUGCCCAAAUAGAGGCCACAGGCCCACACCAGAAAGAAACAAACCAUUUCUUGGAAUCAACAACCUACAAAAGAGAGAAACGAAAAGAGCAGAGGAACAUCACUGAAACAAUGAGAACCAAGUUGCUAGAAGGGUUAGAGCAGGAGGAAUACAACGCUGUUUUCUCGAGAGAGGGUCGAGUCUCGCCCUGGCGAUCAUCUUAAUUUCCUUGAUGAGCGAAGGCGCAGACCUAGGAGAGGCAGAAUGAAUGCGCUGGUUCCUUUCCCGCCAGAUUAAGUACAUGGAGGCUUGAUGAAGGAGCUUGAUUAUGAGAGUGAUAUUCUUGUUUCUCGAAACAGUAUCAACCCAAAGGAGACAGCUCAUAAACUUGGUUGGAGGAGUCAGGUUAGCCUUUGAAGUAAAGUAGCCCCAAAUGCUAGCACUGAAUCUGCAGGCAAAAAACAAAUGAUCCCUGGACUCAUCUUGGGAAUUACAAAGGAUGCAGAACGCCGGGACAGCCAAGCCCCAGUUCCUCAAUCUGUCUCUCGUAUGCAGCCUAUUCCAAGCAACAAUCCAAGAAAUGAAGGCAUGUUUUGGGAUGUUGCCACUGAACCACACAGACUUGUUCCAAGGUACCGUGGCUUGAGGAGGAUAGAGGGCAAGCCAAGUCUUAGACGCAGAGAAGGUGUUUGAGGGAGCAUGAUGAUCAUAUUUCCAUAGAUAUGAAUCGUCAUUCUGGCUCUCAAUCAUGUUCUCCGGACUUGGGAGGAUAUUUCUUAGUAAGGUGAUGGUCUGGUUCCUGCUUCUAGAAGAAGAAAGCCUCCAGGAGUUACCAGCCACAGCAUCCCUAACCACAGCAUCAAGAGGCAACCCAAUAGUUUGUGGACCAAGAGGACUUGUUAAAUCAAUAAGAGGCCCAUACCCUGUCCAAUUAUCCUGCCAAAACUUUGCAGUGAUACCAGACCCCAAUUCGCAGACAAACACUACAAGAAAACAGUCGUUUUACGACUACGACAAUAGUCACUACUUAGUCGUAAAACUGGAUAAUACGACUAGGUUACGACUAAUACCCGUAGUCGUAAAUAUUUAGUCGCUAAAAUAAAUAGUCGUAAAUUUAGUCGCCUUUUAACGACAAACAUACGACUAAUAUAUAUGAGUCAUAUAUUAGUCACUCAUUAGUCGUAACUUUUGAUGACUAUUUGGCGACUAUGUUACGAUUAAUCAACACUCAUAUAAGGUCUGUUUAGUGCAGUCGUAUACAUAGUCGUUAAUUUGUAGUGACUAAAUGGCGUCUAUUUUACGACUAUAAAUGCGACUAUUGUAAGACAGUCAUUACUUAGUCGUUAAUAAAAGCGACUAUAUUGCGACUAAUAUACGACUUUUUUAUGACUAAUUGGCGACUAUUGUUGCGACUAAUAUAAGAAUUUGGCAUUUCGGAUUUUGUUUUCAAAUUGUUUGGAUUCCGAUUUUGUUUCAUUUCCGAUUUUGUUUUGAAAUUGUUUGGAUUCAGAUUUUGUUUCAUUUCUAAGUUUGAUUCCAUAACCCAAACAACAUUAAUCUAAAACCAAAUAAAAAAAAAAGAACUCCAAAUCAAAUAAAAGCCAAAACACAUACAAAAGUACAUCAUUCACUAUCAAAGUACACAUACACACCAUUCACAAUCAAAGACACUUAUAAAAAACUGAGAGAGUGAUAAAGUUUUUGUUCAUGAUAAAAGAGAGAUGAAAAGGAGAAACCUAUGGAUCAUUUUGAGGAAGAGGCGAGAGAGGGUCUGUGGUUUCUUGAGGAGCUGAAUGAGUGGCCAUGAAGUCCAGGAAGUGCGGAUCGGUUUGCCGCAGAUACUUCUCUACCAAAGACAAGUGUGCGAGCUUCUCCUUUUGCUCAGCCGCUACUCGGGUUUGCUCAGCUUUACGGGCAGCUUCCUCAAGAUCUCUCUUUUCAUUAUAUGAUGCCUGCUCUUCUAUCUUGCGUUGAGCUUCCUUCAGCUGUUCUUGCAGAUCCAGAAAGGAUGUAGAUGAAGAUGAAGACUGUCCAUAGCGCUUGCGCUUGCCAAGAGUCUCUUUGAGGCUUCCAAUUCCAUACGGAAUUCCUCUAGAAUCUACCUCAGUGGACUGUAAAAAAGUAAGAGAACAGCUGAGAUUAGAGAAGGGUUAAUUGAACUCCAGAUUAUAUAAAUGUAAUUUGGAAAAUUGAAACUUAACCUGCAGAAAGAUGGUGGUGCAGUCCUCUGUUGUGAGCUCCCGGAGACGUGACUCGCCAUCUGAAACACUCGAAGCAUCUGCCUCUAGCUGAGACAACCUCAGUUCCAAAUUCUGCUGGUAUGUUGUUGCUAUUUUCUCCUCCUUCCGAUCAACAUACGUACCAUCUGGCUUAGUAUGGGUCUUGAUGAAAACCUCACCAAGACUGACCGCUCUUCCCAGUUGCUCUUCCUUCAUUGUAACCAAAUAACAUGUGUUAACCAGUCAUAAUGAAAAGAUAAAUAAAUAACAGAUAUAUGAAGUCACUGACCAUUUCAUCUUUGAUUUGUUGAAACGACUUAGGGCCUGAGAAAUGAACGUGAGGACCAAGUCCGCCACGGUCAGACUUGCGAACUUUUGAAUAUGUUUCACUCCUCUUCUUCGCUUCUUCAGUGUCCCAGUAGGUGCACAUUGUUUCCCAGAGAGUGUCACCAAUCCAUGGAGGUCGCUCUCGACUUGUCCUCGCUCCGCUAACCAUAUCUUUCAUCCGGCGCUGACAUAUAUCCUCAAAAUAAUAUUGCACGGUGCCUGUUAUCAAGGGAUCCCAAUGGUGUGUUUUCUACAAAAAAAAAAAGAAAAAAAAAAAAAAAAAAAAAAAAAAAAGCGGCUCAACAAUUACCUCAGACGGCAGUCAGCUUCAUGCUGCAGGCCACUCUAGACGAACAAAAUUUAACUAUGCAACAGGUCUGACGAAUAAGUCAAGUAAAUUAGCCAUCAUAGAACAAGAAACAACAACUCCAUAAACCAUAAAAUAAAGGCAGAAUAAGAAGUAAGCAAGAAUCAUACCAUGAGGUGUUUUCCACGGGUUCGGGACAGAGCACGGUGGUCCACUGUUCCCUACCAGGCACACUAAGCAACGCAUUCAAUGCCCGCAGCGAGUCCUCCUGCAGCUCCGGCAACUCGUGAGGAAUCUCGUCCUGGAAGUUGUUGCCUUGCGAGGAAGUCGUGUGGGGAUGAGCCUCACUAUGAGCCGGAGAAUCCUGAACAAUUGGCUGAGGAGUCGCUUGAGGCUGUGGGUUGUUCUCCACUUCUUCUGAGUGAGUCGCAUCAACUCCACGUGGUUGAGUUCCGGAGUUCUGGAAUAGUUGCUGAGGCGGUGGAUAGUCCCGGACUGUCGUUGCCUGAGCUUGUAAAUUAGCAGGUGGUACUUGAGGAGACUGCGUCGGAGGCACUUGGACCGCCGGAGUGAAGUUGUACUGACUGGGUAGACUAUUAGGUCGUAGACCAGGCGUCGUCCCUACGACUCUCUGAGAAACGUUAGGCACGUUUCUUCUCCUUCUUCCUCGGCCACCCAUCUGAGAGAUCUGAGAGAACUGGGGAAGAAUAUGGAAGUAAAUCGAUCGAUUUCAGUGAGAACUGGGGAAGAAGAAGAAGAAGAUCGAAGUAAAUCGAUCGAUUGGGGAAGAAAUCGAUCGAACAGAGAAAGAAAAAAUUAGGGUUUUCAGAGGCGAAAACCGAUCGAUCGAUUGGGGAAGAAGAAGAAGAAGAAGAUCGAAAGAAGAAGAAGAAGAAGAAGAAGAUCGAAAGAAGAAGAAGAAGAAGAAGAAGAAGAUCGAAAGAAGAAGAAGAUUAGGGUUGUGUCGUCAAUUGGCUCAUAAGUUAAUGGGCUUAUUGGGCUUGGACCGAGUAAUUGGCUCAUUUCAUUUAUUUUAGUCGCUAUUUAGACGUCAAUUAGUCGCAUAAUGUGAUAUAUAGUCGUUUAAAAGACGGUAAAAUGUCGCAUUUUUAUUUAAAACAUAAUAAACAUAAGUAGAUAACCUUAACAUAUAAACAUAAUUAAUAUCAUACAAAAAAACACAAGUACAAACAUAUAGAAAAUAUUUAGUAAGGUUCAUCGGAUUCUGGUUCUUCCUCAUCAGAAGACGAUAAAUUGCAUCGGAAUUCAUCUUCUGGUUCAGCAUCGCAGACAUCGUAAUCGAGUACUAUUGGGUUUGAUCUCUCUACCGGAUUGUCUAGUACAAGAUCUUCAAUUGUAGUCAUCAAAACAGCAUCAUCAUUUUCUGUUUGCAAAAGAGUCGGAUCAUUGGUUUCAUAUUCUCCUGAAAUGUUUCCUCUUGGAUUCACUUUUAGAACAUUGAGCCAAAUUUGCUUCGGUUUCUUUGUAUAUGGAUAUGGAAUAUAACAAACUUGAUCUGCUUGAGAGGCUGUAGACAUAAAAAUUUGCAUGAGAUUUAUAGAUAUAUAUAUAUAUAUAUAUAUAUAUAUAUAUAUAUAUGAUAUCAAGAAUAAAUGGUUGGUAUACAUAAGUACAUACCUAGAAUAAAUGGCUCGUAUUUAUUGUAUUUUCUCGAUGAUAGAACGUCUACUACGCCACCAUUUCUCCUCCGAGUACCUCGACCGAGUUUAGGGUCAUACCAGUUACACUUAAAAAGAGUGAUCCUCAAAUUGACCAUGCCUUCAUACUGGAGUUCAAUAAUAUCCGUUAAGGUUCCAUAGAAAUCUGCCUCAUCUGAUGCAUCCGUGUAAUUUUCACCUUUAACACACACACCAUAAUUACAUGUCUUUCGUCCAGCUCCGUGCUUCUGCGUAUGAAACAAAUAACCUCUUGUAAAGUACAUUGGCCAAGUUUUGACCUUGUUCAAAGGUCCAUGGACUAUCUCUUGAACCCAAGUAGGAAAUGGAUUAGUCGAGUUCCAAUAUGUAACCUGCAUAUAAAUAUAAACCAACAUCAAUACAAAAGUUGAAAUCCAUGCAUGUAGAAGUUAUUUAAUGACGUACAUAGUCUUUCACCCAUAAAUGAUAUUCUUCAGCUCUUUUCGUGGAGAGUUCUUUUUCGGUCAAAUCUGGAUAUUUUGUAGAUAAAAAAUCCUCGAACAUACUAUGCAAAACAGAAACAAAUAUAUUAGAAAUUAUCAUGUAUAUUACAAAUUAAAGAGUGAUUUUAGGAGAGAUAUUAACUUAUAUACCUCUCAAUUGGUUGAAAAUAGUCACAAUUUCGUAAAACAUAUGCAUGUGCGCAUUGAUAGUCUUUUUCGGAAAGCCAUUCUUCAUGCAUUUCCCCACUUGGCCUCCCGACGUGAGUAAAAAUAGUAGGUACUCCAGGGACAUGAUAUACAGGUACUUCGCCUUCAUCAAAUCUUGUUAACCUGAUCCAAAUGAGUUAAUUAAAAGUAAUUCACAUCAAAAAUAGUGAUCAAUGCAUUAAAUUACCUUGAUUUUGUUUGUAUAUGAUCGGCAAAGUAGUGCUCUGAGAAAUAAGCAAUCUCGUCAUUUAUAUAUGAUUCAACAAUUGAUCCUGCCGCAUAUCUUUUGUUCUUUGCUUUUCCUUUCAACUUUUUGAAAAACCUCUCAUAGGAUACAUCCACCUAUAUUGGACAGGUCCACCCAAUUCAGCUUCGUACGGGAGAUGUAUAGGCAGGUGCUCCAUCACAUCAAAAAAUGAUGGUGGAAAUAUCUUCUCCAAGUUGCAUAUGAUUAGGACAAUAUUCUGCUUUAAAAUCUGAACGCGACUACUCUGCAAAGUCCUCGAACAUAAGUCCCGGAAAAAUGCUCCAAUCCCUAUACAUACAAUUAAGAGGUUAAGUGUAUCAUCAAAACAUGUUUAAAGAUAAGUAGAAUAAAUACUAUAUGGAAUGUGUGAUUAUUAGUACCUGAUAACGCAAUGUGGACGUUCCGGUCUAGGAUUUCUGCAAAGAUAAAUGGAAGUAGUCGCUCCAUAAAAACAUGGCAAUCAUGACUCUUCAUGCCUGAAAACUUGCCAUUCUCCAUAUCAACACAACUAGCCAAGUCUGACGAAUAACCAUCUGGAAAUUUAACCGCAUGUUUCACACAUUCCAAUAAACUUGUUUUGGCAGCUGCUGUCAAUGUGUAAGCUGGAAAAGGAGCUUUACCCCGACUAUCAAUAUGUAACUGUGGCCGAGAACAAAAUUGUUCUAUAUCCAAUCUUGACAUGAUGUUGUCUUUUGAUUUACCCUUCACAUUCAUAAGAGUAUUCAUAAUGUUGUCCAAAAAAUUCUUCUCUGUGUGCAUCACAUCAAUAUUAUGACGAAGAUUGAGGUCCCUCCAAUACGGCAGCUCCCAUAGUAUGCUUUCCUUGUGCCAGUUAUGUUGCUUCCCAUAACCAGGCAUCUUCUUUUCGUGACCGUUUCCACCGACGUCCUUGGUACAUGGUGGAUUUACACCAUUCAACUUCUCGUAAUAAACUUGUUCACCGGUCAAAGAUUGAGGUGGAUACUCUUUAGAUGCGUCUCUUCCUCUUAGGAAGUCUUUUUUGUUCUUCCUUAAUGGAUGACCGUGAGGAAGAAAUCUUCGGUGACAAUCAAACCAACACGUCUUCCUUCCCUUAGGUAGAUAAAAAGACUUUGUAUCCUCCAUACAAAUUGGACAAGAUAAUUUUCCAUGGGUGGUCCAUCCUGAUAACAUGCUAUAUGCAGGAAAGUCGCUUAUCGUCCACAUCAGCACUGCCUUCAGAUUAAAAUUUUGAUUCAAAGAUACAUCGUAUGCAUCGAUCCCAGUAGACCACAACUCUUUUAACUCCUCAAUAAGCGGUUGGAGGAAGAUAUCGAGACUAGCUCGCGGAUGAUUAGGCCCUGAAUUCAGAAUUGUAAGAAACAAAUACUCUGUAUUCAUGCACAUACCAGGGGGUAAAUUGUAUGGAGUUAGGAUCACUGGCCACAACGAAUGAUUACGAGACAUGCCAAAUGGAUUGAACCCAUCUGUGCAUAAUCCAAGAUAAACGUUACGAGGUUCUUCGGUAAACCGGGGAUGUUGCUCUUGGAAAUAUUUCCACUCGGCCGCAUCAGAAGGAUGAUUCAUUUCUCCCUCCUUUGAUUGAUGCUCUGCAUGCCAUCGCAUUGCCGCUGCUGUCUUGUAGCUCUGAUACAUUCUCUUCAAUCGGUCACCAAUAGGUAGAUACCACAUACGACUAUAUGGUACUUUGGUUCGUCGACGGUCAUCCUUAGGCUUCCAUCUUUGUGCACCACAAAACCGACAUUGAUCUUCCUUUUCAUUUUCUUUCCAGAAAAGCAUACAAUUGUUCAUACAAACAUCAAUUGUAUGAUAAGGAAGACCUAAAUUGCGCAUCAAUUUCUCGGUAUGGUAAUGCGAACCGGUUGCCUGGUUUCCUUCUGGUAAAAAAUCAGUCAACAUUUGGCAAACCGAAUCCACACAUUUUUCACUCAUAUUAUGAUCCGCUUUGUUUUGCAUGACUCGAGCAGCUAACGAUAACUGCGACUGGCCUUCACGACAACCAUCGUAUAAUGGAUUUUUUGCACCUUCUAACAAGUCGUAGAAUUUCUUCGAAUGGUUUAGUACCGGUUCUUCCACAUUCUGAUAACUAAGAUCCUCAUAAUAGUUAUCAUCAACCCCCACAUUAUAACAAAAUGCAUCAUUCACCAUAUCCACAUAUGGAUCUUCUGCUACAUUACCCCCUACUUCAUAAUUCUCACUUACAUACGUCCUAUCAAUGUAACUUGGUCCUAUAUCCAUAUUGAGUUCCUCUCCAUGUUUAUACCAAACAUAAUAAUCUACCAUAAAUCCAUGACUAAACAGAUGACUCAUAACUCUUCUACCCGAGACGAUAUGUUUAUUGUUCUUGCAAACACUACAAGGACAGUGAAAUUUACCGCGAUUACUCUGGACUAUAGGCUGGCUAUUUGCAAACGUCAAGAAUUCCUCCACACCCGCUUCAAAUUCUUUUGAAAAAUUUCCCGUUGCUUCAUCGAACCUCUUGUACAUCCACUCUCGAUAAUUACCGCCGUCAUUACCGCCAUAAUUGUAAUUUCCCGCCAUUCCUCUAGAAUAAAUAACUAUAAACGUUUUUUUUUCUUAUAAACGCUCUGCUUUUUUUUUUCUUUUAAGUGUUGAUUAUGUUUGUUGUAAUGAAGAGAAGAGAGAGUGAUUUUUGUUAUAUAGACAAAUUUGGUGACUAAACAGCGACUAAAAUACGACUAUUACUUUUACUCGCCAAAAACCGGUACACCAACCCCAUCUACCUCUUCAUGAAAAAAACAUGUUUUUUACCGGCAUUUUACGACUAUUUACCGACUUUUUAACGACUAUUAUGCGACCCGCCGAAUGAGUCGCUAAAUAGUCGCCUAUUUAGCGACAACAGUCAUUAGUCAUUCAAUAUAGUCGCCUAUUUAGCGACUACAGUAAUUAGUCAUUCAAUAUAGUCGCCAAUUUAGCGACUAAAAUACGACUAUAGUCGGGGUUUUAAUUGUAGUCGUAUAAUAGUCGCUAAUUUACGACUAUUAGAAUGACUACAGUAUGUAGUCGUUAAUUAGCGACAAUACGACGACUAUAUAAUUGUAGUCGUAACAUUAGUCGUAUAAUAGUCGUAUAUUAGUCGUCUAAUUUAGCGACUAUACAAUUAGUCGCCGAUCGUAGUCGGUAAUCGCCUGUUUUCUUGUAGUGAAAGAAUGGUCUAGCAAGGGGUCUAAGUUUGCAAAGCUGUCUCCAAAUCCAACUACUUGAGGAAGCCGGGUUUAAAUCCCAGAAGCAUCUAUUACCAAUCAAAUUCAGGCGAAUCCAGGAAACCCAUAAAGAGCCAGCAGCUGAAAACAAAAGCCAAAUCAACUUUAAAGCAAGCACUUUAUUCCAUGCCGUUAAUCUCCUAAGACCAAGACCUCCACAAGCCUUAGAAGUGCAGACCACAUCCCAAGCAAUUUUUGCCCCUCGGGCUGAAUUGGGUGCGCCCUUCCAUAAAAAAGCGCAGCACAUCUGUUCAAGUUUGAGUAGGCAGUGAUUUGGAAGAAGGAAGAUAGAGGUCCAGAAGUUUAUGGUGGAAAAGAUGACCGAUUUCAGUAACUGUAAUCUUCCCGCAUAGGAGAGGUGUCUAGCAGUCCAAGAAGUGAAUCUGAGAUUAACCUUGUCAAUUAGGCGCUGAUAAUCUUGUUUUCUCAUCUUUUGAGCCAUUAGCGGGACUCCCAAGUAACGAACAGGGAGAGCACCUUGAGUGAGGUUAAAUUGGGCUGCCAUGGAACGAUUUCUCUCAAAAUCGCCACCAUCAAUCAAGAGGGCGAUUUUCUGUAUAUUGACUCCCAGACCAGAACCAGCUUUGAAGUCGUCUAAAAUUUGAAGGAUGCCAGCGAUAGAGGCAGCAGAACCAUCAGAAAAGACUAACACGUCGUCAGCGAAGCUCAGAUGAGUGACAAGAGGAGAAAAGCACUUAGGAUGAGGCUGGAAAAGACCACUAGCAGCGCCUUUGUCUAAGGAUCUAGACAGAACAUCCAUAACAAGAACAAAUAGAUGAGACGACAUAGGAUCCCCUUGUCGUAUCCCUUUCUUUCCUUGGAAGAAGCCAAUCAAUUCUCCAUUGAAGGCAAUGCUAUAAGAAGGAGAAGAAAUGCAAACCCAAAUCCAGUUGAUAAAAAUCUCAGGAAGCUGCAUUGCCUUAAGGAUAUUGAUGAGGAAGGUCCAAUUCACGUUGUCAUAGGCCUUUGAGAUAUCUAUUUGCAGGCAGCCUCUAGAAACUGCCCCAAUUGUGUGAAAGUUCUCAACUAGUUCAAAAGCAAGAAGAACAUUUUCACAGAGCAGUCUCCCUUUUAUAAAACCUACCUGAUUGCCUUGGACUGCAUCCGAGAUAAACAACUUGAGCCUCUUGGAUAACAGACGAGUGAUGAUUUUGUAGACUGUGUUACAACAAGCGACAGGUCUGAAUUUGGAUAACUGGUCAGCCCCUGGAUCUUUGGGAAUUAACGUGAUGGCAGUUGCGUUGAAUUUUUUUAGUAGAUGACCUGUCCUGAAAAAAUCCCUAACCGCCGCCACAGUGUUGUCCUUUACCACAGUCCAAGCCUCCCAAAAGAACUCGGCCGAAAAUCCAUCUGGUCCAGGAGCUUUGUUUUUUGGCAUGGAGAAGAGAGUUUGGAUGAUUUCUUCAUCGCUUGGAAUGGCUGUGAGUUUGGCAGCAAGAUCAGAGUUACACCGAAAUGGUUGAAGCUCUUGUAGCCUUUCAACAGAGAAAGGCUGAGAUAUGUCACUCGCAGAACCCAAAAGAUGAGAGUAGUAUGCAAUGAUCAUAUCCUUAAUCUGAUUGACAUUAUCCACCUUUUCAUUGUUCUCACCCCGGAGAUAAGUGAUAAUAUUUUUUGCUUGAUGAGCAAGAACCGCUCUGUGGAAAAAAGUUGUAUUGGCGUCUCCUUCUAGCAACCAGCGAAUCCUGGAUUUCUGCUUGUAGAAAGACUCUAAGGCAGUCGCAAAAAAAUCCCAUUUUUUCUAGCAACAUGCUCCUCUCUGAAAAGAGAAUCAGACGGAGAAGAGAGUAAUUCCGAUUGGAUAUUCUCUAAGGCCAACAGAGCAUCCUUGGUCUUUUGCUGGAUAUUACCAAAACCAAUCCUGUUCAAUCUCUUGCAACAAAUCUUAGCCGCCUUUAGGUGUUCACCAAGAGAAAACAUAGCUGAGCCCACCAUAAUCUGUUCUUCCCAAACAGCCAAAAUAGAAGAGAUGAAAUCUGGAUGUGUGGAAAGGAAGGAGAAGUACCUGAAACAUUUUUUUGAUCUCGCAGGUUGAGUGUCUAAAUUGAUGAUGCAAGGAGCAUGGUCAGAUUCGCCAGGAGGAUCAAAAACAGCCACUGCAUUAGGGAAAGUAGAGAACCACUCACCAUUUGCUAAGGCUCUGUCCAGUUUCCUUAUUAUGGGAUUGUCAUCCUGAUGAUUAGACCAAGUGUAAUAAACCCCACGACUAGGAAUAUCAUCCAGCUCAUUAUCCCUUAAGCAAUUCUGCAAAUCCUCCAUUCCAUUUAAAGACAUAGUAGAAUGAAUAACCGAGAAGUGCUCAGAAGAAUUCGCAAUCUGGUUAAAGUCUCCAACCAAAGCCCAAGGAGUAGUAUUUAGGGGAGAAGAAGAAGAUAACGCAGAGAUAUCAUCCCACAAAAACCUUCUCGCCGCUGGGGUGUUUCUUCCGUAGACAAAAGCGAUCACAAAGGAUCGAACAACAUUAGGCAGCUUUAUACUGCAGAGAAUCAGCUGAUCUGACUUCUUGAAAACCACACCUGAGACCGAUGGAUGCCAAACAACCAAAAUACGUCCCAAAUCUGAGAAACUAUAAUUAUUAUCCGAACGCCAACCAGGAAGAGUGGAGGCUAAGACUGAAGAAGCGUUGUCUUCAGAGACAUGGGUUUCCAAAAAAGAACCAACCAAUAAACUAUUGGAAGCAACCCAACUUCUGACCAUUCUCUGUCGGCCAUGGCUAUUCAAGCCUCUUAUAUUCCAACAAAAAACCCUCAUAAUGAACAAAAGGGGAGGGGUUGAAAGCUGAGCUUUCAGAGAUGAGCUGUUCCGCUCGAGGACGCGCCUUGAACGGGAACAUAAACUGCAGGAGACUUAGAACUUAUAUGGUUAUGCCAUUUCUUCAAUAGUUUUUUCCUCUGUUUUUUUGACAUGACGCCCCAGCCUGGUGGUAUAGGAAAAUUGGGAUCAAUCUCCUUGCCUUUCUCUCUACUUGUGACUUUGUCCUUCCCAUGUUUUUUCUUAUCCUCAACAAAACCAGAAAGAGUUCCUUCAGGAGGAGUAGUCUUCGAUGGAGCAAUCACUGCAGAGUUAACCCGUAAGGCCUUCCCUUUAACAAGAUGAUCCUGAGGAGGUAUGAUGAUCAAGGUAGAGGUCGCUGGACCUUGAGUAGAAGGUGGGGAGCUUCUUGAUCUUUUGCUUGAUCGAGAUCUCCUUCUUUUUGGCUUAAUGGUCUCUGAAUCCGGAAUAACCUGAUUGUCCCCAAUUGGCAACACAGAAUCUGACCGAGAAGGGAGGAUGACUGAAGGAUGAGCCACAUCAGAAGAACCUGCGGGAAUGAUUUUCUUGAAAGGAGACUUCUUCAAGAGUGGAGAAGGACAUCGACUAAGCAAGUGACCAUACUUACCACAAUUGAGGCAAUGAGGAGGUGGACGCGGAUAUUCCACCUCAAUACGAGCUUUGUUCCCUUGAACAUCUCUGACUAUGACAGUGGUGGGAAGAAUCUUAUCAAGCUUAAUGACAACUUUCACCUUUGUCAUACCCAUAUUGAUCGGAUCAAGCCUCGACUUCUCAGUGUGAAGAGGCUCACCUAUACCACUGGCGAUGACACUAAUACCGUCAAAAGAAUAUAAUUGAGGAGGGACGUUUUUCAGAAUCGCCCACGUCGGAGCAGUCUGCAACUCUUCUAAUUCCGAAAGGCCUUCUGGAGACCAAGGGUAAACUGUGCAAGAACAGUUACCAGCUUGCCAGAAUCCCACAUCAACAACCCAAUCACGAGUGGCAACUGAGGGAAUGAAGAUCAGAGAGGCCGUUUCUGAUAUCACUCUCACUGUGAUAUUACCGUAUCUACCCCAGAUAGGAUUCAGGUCAUUGAAAAUCCUCAGAAGACGUGGGACAGAGACCAUGGAAUUGCGCAAUCAAAUGCCCCUUCCACAUCUCAGCCGUCUAAAGAAGAACUGAAGCCGGAGCAGUGACAACAGGAGUACCAUCCUCGAGAAAGGUUGGUGAGGACAUCUGUUUUAGGUUCCUGAGAGAAGCCUUAAACUUCUGAGCCCAAGGAAGAAUCACAUUCGACUUGUUUGGUCCGUUUUCUUGCUGCAGAACAACAGAAGGAGAUGGAGGCAGGAUUGCUUCAGACUUGGUCGAGCUUCCUGGAGGUGAGGGUGAAACCACAGUGGAGGAGAUCUCAGACACCGUGUGUACCACGAUAGGAGAUUCGGCCACAAUUUUAGGAGAAACAACAGGAGAAUCCUUAAUCUCACCAAAAUUGUCAGGUCGAAGAGGAAUUGAAGACUGAGAGAUGGUUGUCGGAAUUAACUCCUGUUCCGGAGACGAGGGAAGAAUUCCCAUUAUCUCAACAGUAGAGGAAUCAACCAAAUCGACCGGAGAGAACUUUAUCGGUAUGGAUCCGGCGGGGGCCGAAACCCGAGAGCGAGAGACUGGCUUAACAGUGGAGGCAGAGGAAACACGAGCAAACUUGGAGGUGACCGGAACAUGCCAUUUCGGCCGAGCUUUCUUCGCCGGCAUCAAGAAUUCUCACCCAACGGCGUGUGGCCGGGAGGCGGCGGCGAUUAGGGUUACGGAAACUAAUCGCCUUUGGAAUCGCACGAAGAGAGAGAAAAUCCUUUUUUCGUCGACUCAGCUUUUUUAUUUUGUUGCUCGUUAGCCUCCAUUUUUCAUCCAGUAAAAGUUAAAAAGAAUUAAAGAACAAAGAUUCGUCCCAAGAAGAAAAAAAAAAUGUCCCGGCAAAAGCAAAUCAAGUCCAGAAAAAACAUUCAUCUUCUCAUUGCUCUACGUCAAAACAGCAAAAAAAGGAAUCACACAAGAUCAUGUAUAUCUUCUUAUGAAGUGAAACGAACAGAGAGAUUUAAUGCUCCAGCCUACGAGCCUAAUAGUCUGUACAGUUGGAAUAGGACACAAGCUCCUUAUAAAGUACCCGACGAAGGAAACCAAGCUUCCAAGUCAUACUUUUUUGCAGCUGCAUCAUUCAAUGCUCCAGAGACGACCAAGACGAUUUGGUAUGGAAAGGUUUAGCUGGUUAGAAAACUAUUGGGAAUUCAUAAGGUUUCCCAUCUCAUCAUCCGAGUUCUUCAUCAUCUCAUCGACCAUUUCCCACGAAGCAUUCUCGUAGAGAACUAGUGAUGCAAACCUGGUGAACACGGAAAAUGCCACGUGUGUCUCUUUCAUGGGAACCAGCUUCUGUUCUAAAGCAGGACGAGUAAGAAACGAUCGUCUUAAAGCUGCGACUAUCUUUAUUUAUAUAUUUAUAUAAUAUACCUUAGGGGACGAUCAGUCGGAUGGAUCCACUCAGAAGCCGGUCCAAAAGGGCUCUGAGACCAGAAAAGAAACAUACGUUUACCAAAGUAUGGAAACACAAAUCCUUGUGGCUUGUGAGUUGACUAGUGAAGCUAGCAUAUCCAUCAGAAGAUCCAAAAAUAGCGCUGAGACAAGAAAAGAAACAUAUAUUGAUCAUCAGUCUCCAUUAAACCAGAAGCAGAAAGAUAGACAGAAACAAACUCAAGACUUAAAAAGAGACCUGCAUUGAUUUGAAGAGCUGAAAACUGAUCACACCUUCGUUUUUGUUUCCCUUUUAGGCCUGACAUUCGAAAUCAGAAAUCAUCAACUUAUGCACAAACAACAUUAACUGCAUCAGCAAACACAACGGUAACUUCUUUCUCAAACUCCGAAGACCUGUCCCAGUCCGGUUUUUAUAAAUCGUUGGUCAAAACUCAAAAUCAAAUGUUAACCGAUCACUUAUCACAAAUAAUAUCACGUCAAUGACCGUAACUUAUUAAAUACGUGUACAUUUGGAAUUUUUGCCAAUUCUUUUGAUAUCUAUCUCUCUCUCUAUAUAUAUACUAGAUUUACUCGCCCGCGCAUCAAAUUUUAACUGGCUACAAUACAAAAUGUUAAAAAUAAUCAUAAUCAUUUGAAUUUCAAAAACUAUAUAUAUAUAUAUAUAUAUAUAUAUAUAUAUAUAUAUUCAUACUUAUUUUACAAAACAAUAUACAACAUAGAAAUUAUAAAAUAUAUUUGGUAGAUACCACGUAAUAACAAAAGUUAUAUAAGAUCAAUCGGUCUCGGUAGUCAUCAAUGAACUUUUAUCAAAAAGAGAGUUAUUUCCAUAAACAAAUCUUGUAAGUAUAUUUGUCGUGAUGUUUUGUUGAUCUAUUCGUACCUCAUACUAAAAGUAAAUUUGCUGAGUUUGAACAUCAAUUUAUGAAAAUGUAUAAACGUUAUAUUCAUGCCGUUUCAAUAGGUUUGGAGAGCACAUUUUACCUAUUGAAGCAAGACCAUCAUACCUUAAAGAAAGUUUUGACCAAAUCAUGAAUGUUUUUAUCUUAUCUAUCCUACUACGCUUACAUGGCUCGACGAUUUAACUCGAGGUUGAAUAUGUUAGUCUGGUUUAUAGUCUGGUUUACUAAACCAAACUAUCCAAUAAUGCAUACAUAUAUCUGAUGCUUCAAGCAUUACUAAAUUUCUCUUCAAACAUUUUUUCGUCAUCUUCUAUAAUGCACUUGUUCGCUACCCAACAUCUACUAUUCUUUUAUCUUCUAUGCUCACUUACAUAUAAUAAAACUUUAAAUUGAUUCUUAAUUCAAAACUAUUUCCUCAUUUUCAUCUUCUUAGUUUAUUUUUCUUUUAUUAAUUAUAUGGUUUUCACGCUUUAACGUAAUAUAAUUUUACGAAAGAUAUAUAUUUGUUAAAAUUUCUUCAACAGUAUUUAUUUAGAUUCUUAAUUACCUAUAUUUAAGCAACUUCACCUUUUUAUUUAGAAAGCAAACAAUAAUAUAGAUAUAAUUAUAUUAUUUUAAUUCUUAUAUUUUAAUAUAAUUUAAUAUUAAGAUACAAUUAAUCUUUCUAUUUUUUCGUCAAUGUGAAUUUAUACUAUUACUCUCUUGAAAUAUAGUUUUCAAUUUUAAAUAUAAAUUAUUUCUUAUAUCUUAAAAAACUUAUACAAUCAUACAUUUACUAUAACAUUUAACCAUUUAUUUUCUAAAUAUAAAAAUAAUAUUAUUUUAAAUAAAUUUCUUCCACUUCAUUAUUAUCUCUUAAAGUUAAUGUUUCAAUGAAAUAUGAAUAUCUUCUUAUUAUUAAAAACAAAAAACUCUUAUAGUCUUCCAUUUCAAUUGAAUUCUUUUGUUCAUCCUAAAUUAUAUUUGAGGUUUUCUUAUUAAACGUUUUUUUAUUUUUAAUAAGUUCUUAUUUGUUUGUAAUUGUAUAAUAAAUUUCAUUAAGAAUCCUUUUGUCCAUCUUAAAUAGCAUUAGUAUUCCUAUGAAAUUUUCAAAUAUUUUGAAAUAAUUAUUAGUGGGAUCCAUAAUAUUAAUUUGGUGAUGAUGUGGACACCCUAAGAGGAGAAAAACUCUCCCAUUAUAUAUAUAGAUUGCUAAGUUAAUAAAUUUUCUUAAUAAAUCAGAGUAACACAAUUAAUGUUUUUUCUUUUCAUUUUGAGGGUCAAAGAGUUAAACAGUUAAUGAUAAUCUCUCUACUAAUUAAUAGUCAACAGUUUCCAAAUUAAUGAAUAUCUUUACUAAUUAAAUCUAUACAACUUUUAUAUAUAACACAUUAGCCAAAAAAAUUAAAAAAAACUCUCGUAGAAAACAAAAAUGAAGAACAAGUCAAUUUAUGGCUAUAUCAUCAUCGUCGUCACAUUAUUGUCGGUCGUGGCUCGAGUCACCCUAGCUCAACCUCCAAAGGGACAUCCAGGAGCCGAUAUCAACCCGCAACAAACUCUUGCGGCUCAUAACAAAGCCCGAGCAGAAGAUGGGGUGGGUCCAAUGGUGUGGAACGAUACUCUUGCAGCCUAUGCACAGAGCUUUGCUAACAAACGUAUCGGAGAUUGUGCUCUAACGCAUUCCUCGGGACCUUAUGGUGAGAAUAUUAUUCUCGGGAGAUAUCCGGACUCCAACCUGAGCGGACCCGUCGCGG
rnacentral:lncRNA from 1 species